rnacentral:lncRNA from 1 species
UUUUUUUUUUUUUAAGUGUAAUUUGUGUAAACGAUUCCAUAAAGAAAUAUGUGGAAGAGAUUAGUUAUGCAAAUAUGAUUUCUUAUAAAUUAAUUAUUCAUAUAAUUAUUUGUUUUUUUUUUCUUAACAUCUUAUAGUUACAGUACAGUAUUAUGUUUUAUUAAUCAUACAAAGUUAAUAAUUCAUAUAAUCUCUAAUUUUCUCAUUAAAAUAGAUACAAAGUUAAUGUAUAUUAAUAUUUUACACGUAUAACAAUAGUUUUAGUUAAUUAUAUGACCAAAUAAAUAGAGUUAUUUUAAUUGUGUGUGUUUCACGGGGUAUAGUAUAGCUAGUGUCCUACAUUUUUAGAUGCAUUUUUGUAAUCCCAAGUUACAUUAUUUUAAUAAUAAUUUACUUAUAUAAAUAGUUGUAAAGCUGACUUCAAUUCUCUUUCCUAUUGUCGGAUAAUCAUUUUCUUUUCAUAAAAAAAAGCUUAUAAAAAGAAACAAAUGCAGGGUGCUUAUUAUCAAAGUUUUUGAAAUUAAUUGGUCUGAUCCAAAUUUUAUAUGAAUUUUAUGUUAUGUGAUUCAAUCUUAUCAUGAAAAUGUAUUAGUCUAAUUGGUUUGGAUUUUUAUGGUGUAAUUUUAUUUUUUAAUUAGCAAAAUAAAUAUAUUUUUUUAAAUUAUUAAAAUUGUGUUACAUUUACACAAUUUUAAUUAAAAUUUUAUUAUAUUUAUGUUAGUUCAAAUACAUUAAAAUUAUAUCAUUUUUACACGCACAAUAAAAUUAUACCAUCAUAAUUUAUUUAUUUUGAUAAUUUUUAAAAAAUUUACCUAUUUUAAUAAUUGAGAGGUAAAAUAUCAAUGAAUUAGUAAAAAAUCCAAUUCGGUCUAAUAUUAUAUAAAAUAUAUAUUUUAUGAUUCGAUUUGAAUAGUUAAUUUUCAUUGAUUUAUAUAUGAAUUUUAAAAUAGCUAAAUAAAUAAUAAAAAUAUCACAUCAAUGUGUUUGAUAGUUGUUAGAAUGAUUAUAUAUAAUACAUCAUAGCAAACUAAAUUGGUCCAAUUAUUUUAAUUCAUAAUAUUUUUAGUCUAAUCAUGUUUGUGUUGAUAGUAAAAAGUGAUUAUAUAUAGUAAACCAUGUUUAUAUUUUUGUUACACAUUUUUUUCAUAGUAUUAUUAUUAUUAUUAUUAUAUUAUCUUGUGAAACAAAAUUGAUUAUAUUAUAGUAAAACAGUGAUUUUUUUUAUGGAAACAAAAUUUUGUUAUCCUUUAUGCAAAAGUUAAAAUUAGUGAUUGAUAGUGGAGCGUAAUUAGAGAGAGAAUUGAGGAAGAAAUCAAAUAAGAAGACGACAAAAGUAAAAGAAGUAGCUUAAUAAUUGAAGUUAACCCUAAAAUUUUAAGUGCUUUUCUUUUUGUUAGGGUGAAAGUGAUUUGAGAAAAGCUAUGAACCAUAAAAAUCUCCUUCAUGGAUCCUGUUCAAAUGGAAACUAAGGUCUUCUCCAUUAAUCAAAAUCACCAUAUCAAUGCCAUCAACCUCUUCUUCUUUCUUCCAUUUUUCUUCAUUCUUCAUUUAUCAUCAAAUUCUUUUAACCCUUUCUUUCUUCUUUCUUCAAUUAAUCUUCAUUUUUCAAUAAACAUAACAAUUAAGCACUUUUUGGAGACUAAAACAAUCAAUUUUGUAAAAAAAAUAAAAUUUAAAAAUUUUUCUCAAUCUUUUUUUAUAUUUUAUUUCAAAAGAUGUUGGAGAUCCCACAUCGACUAGAGAUUAGGACAUUUCAUUGUAUAUAAAUGGGUGCAAACCUCAUGAACCGAUUUUAUGGGGUUGAGUUAGGCUUAAAGUCCACUUCGUAAUAUGGUAUCAUAUAUACAAAGAGAAUCAUCUCUCAAAGAUAAUUAGUAAAUUUAAAUAUAUUUAUUAUUGAUAAAAUAAUAACACUUUCAUGUUGAUUAAUUUUGUAAAUUGAUGCAAAUGCAGUAUUUUAUGGAUAGAGUUACAAUUAUGAGUUUAUGAGUGACUAGUUACACUUCUUUCAUACAUUUUUUUUAAACCUUCCCUUAAAUAAAAACUAAGUAACAUAAAAAUAUUCGUCAUAGAUAUAGUCCAAGAGUUAAAGUAAAUCUUUAAAGCAUUUUUUUUAUAAACUCCACUAUUUUAUUUAAAAAAAAGAAAAAAAUUAAGUAAAGAUACAACUUUUAUGAAUUGCAUUAGACUUUAUUGGUACAAUUAUUUCUGUCUUUCUUUUAUCGUUUUCAUUUUAUAUAUACAUUUCAAAAUUACACCUUUAAAAUCUAAAGGGGCAGCAAAAUCAUUUCAAUUUAAUUAAAAAAAAUUAUUUAGAAAAAUAGGCGCAUAUCUUUAUUCAAUAUUAUUUCGAAAAGUCCAUAAAAUCGUAAAUUAUUUGUAAUUUCAGUGAAUUGUAUUUUUCUCCCGUUAUACAUUAAAAUAAGCAUAAUUUACUGAAAAUAAGUUUUAAUAAUUUUGUUUUUUUGCAUAAUGAUAGUUAAUUUUAACAUGUGUCAUGAAUUUAGUUACCUUGGAAAGUAAAGUGAAGAUUUUAUGAUAAUGAAUAUAGUAAACAACACUCUACCUACUAAAAUACUAAUAGGAUGGUGGUUAUGUUAAUUGUCGGUAACAUUAAAAAUAUAAAAUAUGAUUAAAAUAAUGUUGGAUAAAACUGUUUUAUUUGUAUUUAAAAGAAAAUAAUAAUGUAAUUUGUGUUUAAAAAUAAAAAUAAAAUAUUAAUUAAAAAAUGAGAAGUAACUAGUUAUGUAACAUUUGAUGAGAAAAAAAAAGUGAGGGAGAGUAUUAAGGAAGAAGUGGUUUUGAUGAGAGGAAAAAAAGAAGAAAUGGAUAAAGAAAAAAGAGGUUUAGUUUGGUGAGUUGGGAAAUACAAAAUCGGUUGACUCACCAUUCUUUCUCUCUCUUUCUCUGUUCCUCCAUUCUCUGGUUCCUGUUGAGUAGCUCCACUCUAUAUGCACCUUCCACUCCUUUUUCGCUCCUUCUUCACACCCUUCUCUUCACUCUUCCACCCUAUAUGGCUAAAUGCCCCAAAACGACAUCCACGCCCACCAAAACGGUGAAACCACCGUCACCACCCCGCUCCACCCUCCACUUCUGACCCUCCACCUCCAAGCCAUGACCUCCACCACUUCGACCUCCACCGACCCCCUCCCAUCGGACGACGGCGCUGCGGUGAGGGCAGUCAACAAACGCUUCGAGGGCCUCCUCACUGUCCGGACCAAGGCCAUCAAGGGAAAGGGAGCCUGGUACUGGGCCCACCUCGAGCCCAUACUCGUCCCUCACCCAGAUACCGGUCUCCCCAAAACCGUCAAACUCAAAUGCUCCCUCUGCGACUCUCUCUUCUCCGCUUCGAACCCUUCCAGAACAGCUUCCGAACACUUAAAGCGUGGAACUUGCUCCAACUUCAGCUCUGGGUUGAGACCCGGCUCGGUGCCUUCUCCCCUGCCCAUUUCCUCCAUCACUCCCGGUUCCAACCGCAAAAGGGGUUCGCCUCAAAUGGGUGCCACGUCGCCCUCUUCUUAUCAAAAUCACUCCUUGGCCUUGGUCGAGUCUUCCCGGUUCGACAUCGGGUACCCCCAGAUGCAGAACAGUAACAACAACAGCAAUAGUAAUAAUAAUAAUAAUAAUAACAACAACAACAUUAUGCACUUGCAGCAUCACGGGCAGAGCCAGCAGCAUUUAAUGUUGUCGGGUGGGAAGGAUGAUUUGUGUGCUUUGGCCAUGUUUGAGGACAGUGUGAAGAAGUUGAAGAGUCCCAAGACUUCUCCUGGUCCUGCUUUGAGCAAGGACCAGGUGAAUUCUGCUUUGGACUUGCUCUUCGAUUGGUUCUACGAGACUUGCGGCUCUGUGUCCUUGUCGAGUCUGGAACAUAGAAAGUUUCAGGCUUUUUUGAGCCAGGUUGGGUUGCCCGGAAAUUUGAGGAGGGAGGUUUCUGGGGGGAGGCUUGAUGCUAGGUUCGGGGAGGCCAAGGCUGAGUCCGAGGCGAGGAUUAGGGACGCCAUGUUUUUUCAGUUGGCGAGUGAUGGGUGGAAGAGUGGGGGUUUGUUUAGCUUCAACCCGUGUUGUGGUGGGGGAGAGAGUUUGGUGAAGUUUGUGGUGAAUCUCCCCAAUGGGAGCAGUGUGUUUCAGAAGGCUGUGUUCACAGGUGGAGUGGAGAAUUCCAAGUAUGCCGAGGAGGUUUUGUGGGAGACGGUUACGGCGGUUACUGGGAGUGUUGUCCAUAGGUGUGUGGGGAUUGUCGCAGAUAAGUUCAAGGCCAAGGCGUUGAGGAACUUGGAGGCGCAGCACCAUUGGAUGGUGAACACUUCCUGCCAGCUUCAGGGGUUGGUUAGCUUGAUCAAGGAUUUUAACCGCGAGUUGCCGCUUUUCAGGGAUGUGAUUGAGAAUUGCUUGAAGGUUGCCAAUUUUAUGAACAGUGAGUCGCAGGUGAGGAGUCUUUUCCUCAAGUGCAGGGUGCAGGAGAUGGAUUGUGGCGGGCUAAUUCGCGUGCCUUCACCCAAAUGUGAUCCGCUGAAGAAUUUUCAAUUGGUGUUUCCUAUGUUGGAGGACAUUUUGAGCUGUGCCAGAGUGAUGCAGAUGGUUGUGAUGGAAGAUGGGUUUAAGGUGAUGUGUAUGGAAGAUACGUUGGCGAGGGAGGUUGCAGGAAUGGUGCAGAAUGAGGGGUUUUGGAACGAGUUGGAGGCGGUUUAUUCAGUUGUGAAGCUUGUUAGAGGGAUGGUGCAUGAUGUUGAGGCUGAGAGGCCAUUGAUUGGUAGGUGCUUGCCUCUCUGGGAGGAGCUGAGGAGCAAGGUGAAAGAGUGGUGUGGGAAGUUCAACAUUGUGGAAGGACCUGUGGAGAAGAUAGUUGAGAAGAGGUUUAGGAAGAAUUAUCACCCUGCGUGGGCAGCAGCGUUUAUACUUGAUCCACUUUACUUGAUUAAGGAUGCAAGUGGAAAGUAUCUUCCUCCGUAUAAGUGUUUGACGCGAGAACAGGAGAAGGAUGUGGACAAGUUACUCACGAGGCUGGCUUCGCGAGAAGAGGCUCAUGUUGUGUUGAUGGAGCUAAUGAAAUGGAGGUCAGAUGGUCUUGAUCCGCUUUAUGCGCAGGCUGUUCAGAUGAAGCAGAGGGAUCCGAUUACAGGGAAGAUGAAAGUUGCAAAUCCACUGAGUAGUAGACUUGUGUGGGAAACAUGUUUGAGUGAGUUUAAAUCCCUGGGGAAGAUUGCAGUGAGGCUUAUUUUUCUGCAUGCAACUUCAUGUGGGUUUAAGAGUAAUUGGUCUUUUAUGAGGAAAUUUUCAGCUAAUAAACAGUCAAGAGUUGCCUUGGAGAGGACUCAGAAAAUGAUAUAUAUUGCAGCUCAUGCCAAGCUUGAAAGGAGAGACUUUUCCAGUGAGGAAGAGAAGGAUGCAGAGCUGUUUGCCAUGUCUGGUAGUGAGGAUGGCAUGCUGGCUGAGGUUUAUGCUGAUGCUCCCUUAGUGUAAUGUGCUUUUUUUCAACUCUUAUAGAAUUGUGUAAUUUUAGGAUUUAUCAGAUUCUUUACACAACUCUUCUAUUAUUCCCUUACAUCUAGUUGAAAAAAUUUCAUGACUUGGGGGUUGAAACAGAAGGAAUAUUAGAAGGGACCAAAAAAAGCAUGUUGUUAGUGACUGUGUUAUGAUCAGCUUUGAUUCUAAUGAAUCAUCAAUCUUUUUUCCAGUAAUUAUUUUGUACUUUUAGGGUUGUAAAGGAGGAACUCUUGCUCUUUUAUCAGCAUAACAACAAUUCAGGGAAGGAGCAAGAAGAAUGUCAUGUCACAAAAAUUUUGCUAGUGAUUUUGUAAUGAGAAUGAUUAUUGAAUCCUAAUUCUAAUAUCAAUCUACAACUUAAAAAGAUGCGCUUAAUUAAUGUAUGUGUAAAGUUUGCCUUGAUGAGAAACACCUUGUUUACAAACUUCCUCUCAUGUGAAAAACUCAAUUCCUGAUUCCUCUUCUACUUGUUCUUCCGCUUCACUUUCUGUAGGUCAAAUACUGGACUAGAAGCAUUUUUCAUGCUUAUGGAGCUAGCUUUCAGGAUUUUAUUAUUAAUUUCUUUAUGAAGCUUCAGCUGUUCACUUUUUUAGCUAUUGACAUUGAUAUGAUAAAAAGCACUCAUGCAGAAUAUUUAAAAAUUCAAAAGCAAACUGAAUUUUAUGGUCUGUAUGAAAAAUCAUUAAAAAACAAGAGGAAAGCCUAUAUCUGGAGCAAAGUUUUUGUUUUCUCAACGAAAACAACGUUUAUAUGACAUCAUGGGGUGUCAUUAACGUGAUUUCUUCACCUGAAGGGGGAAAAGGACGCUACAAAUAGUCCAUGGAAUUUUGAUUAUAGAUCUCAAUUGAUAGUUCAUGUCUUGAUAUGCCAUAACAUAAUGCAGAGUCUAUAGAUUCUGCUUGCCACACUAAUUUGUGUGAUUGAAUAGAAUAGGAUGAAUUAUCAUACUGUUUGACCACCUGAUUUCCAUCACAUCCAAAGACUUUAAUGCUUCAGUUUAGUUCUAAACUGAGUUGACCAAAGAACAAAAGGUGUCUCACUGCUUUCUGCAAACUGCCUGAUGUAGAAGUUUCAGUUUCUCGUAGGGUAUAUCAAGAUAAAGAGUUUCCCUUCAUGUUUCCUGAUUUUUAAAACCACUUGGGCGUGGACCAUAUAGUUAUUGGACUUAUCCCAACUACUCUUUUUUGUGUUUUAGUAACAAAGAAAUAAGAGAAUUCUCAAUUACAUGUGAUCAAUUGGUAUUAACUAUUAAGGUCCAUCAUGCUGUUACAAACCAGUGAGCCAGUAACUGAGCACAAUUAGUCCACUUUCAAGUAAAUUUCAACUUCCAAGCUGUAAGGACAGCACUUCUAUUCUAACGGUAUAUGUUGUUCCUUGGUCUCUCUUUUUCAUAGGGCUAUUGAUGCAUGUGAGAACCUUUAGAGGAAAAUGGAAACAUAUAUUGGGCCGUUAUUUGGCCUCACCUUUGAAAACUGAUUCAAGUUUUGGCGUCUUCUGUUCUCAUCACUGCACAAAAUUGUCACAAGUCAUUUAAUUUAGAUUAUUUUCAUGAGUGGAAAGAGAAAAACAGCUGAGGCUAUCUCUACAUCUGUUCCUAGUCAUGUUUCACCACAACUAGAGACUGCAUGGUUAGUCAUCACAAAAAUGGGAGCACUAUAACACCAUAUCAAAUUAAUAACAAAAAUAUGUGAUGAAAUUUAUGAUAUUUCUUCAUGAUGGAGGCAAUCUCAAAUGAUAUGGUGUGUACUCCUGCCACUACUAGAUACUCUAAUGAAUAGGGAGUUAAGUUACUACAAAUGUUAAACUAAAAUAGGAGGCUCCCAAAAUUUGAAUGUUACUUUUUGGUGCAGAGUUGCAAUGGCUUGAAGCAGUAGUAGGGUGGUAAAGGCAACAUGGUUUUGACGUGUGUCAACCUCGGAAGAAGAUAAGAAUCUUUGUAUCCGUAGAAGCAAUUCUCAUAGAUAAUCUGGCAUAUCUCCUGGUGUGUUUGUUUACUACAAAAUGAUUAGGCCCACAAGGGAGAGUGGAUAUCCAUGUCAAAGGGUGUCAUGGUCAAAGGAGAGUGAGGUAUGAGUGGCCUUCCUUCACAUCAAUCCACACACUGUUUCUCUCUCUAUAUAUAUUAUGUUUGUGAAUAUUAUUAUUGUUUUUGUUUAGCUAAUGUCCCACAGGCUUUGGUAACUUUCUUUGAAACAUUUAGUUUUGUGAUAAUUUAUUUGUUAAUGGGGCCUUGGUUGCCAUGUUUAUCUCAAUGUUGCAAAUUGGAAUUUUGCAGAAUUAACCGUUUAGGUUGCCAUGAUUGCUAAAAAGGCUUGGAAAAAAAAGUUGAAACAAGGAGUGUGUCCUAAAAAAAAUGGAAAAAGAAGAGACCUGUCGGUAUGAGAAGGUACAUGAUAUGGUUGAGAGGGUUAUUGCAAUAUGCAGCAGAGACUCAAUGUUUCAGCAGAUUAUUGGAGCCAUGAACAGAAGGUUGGUGAUUCAAGGGUUCUGGUGGUGAUGAAAUUGCAUAUCAUUUUGAAUCCUUCUUGUCAGUCACAUGCACAUGACACCCUUUUUAUAGUUGUCAUCAUACUUCUAUAAAUUUCAUAAAAUUAUGAAACUGAAGUCUGAGAUACUAUCAACCUGAUGCAAGCACAACAGUUUCCUAGUCAAUAAUUAAUACAACUUCUGCCUCACUAUUCCGUGCAAAUAGAACUUCUGCAAAUCAUGCUGACAUCUAAGUAGGGUAAAAUUUAUUUUAACCGAAUUCAUUUUGAACCAAUUAUGAUUAGAAUGUAUAUCCACAUUAAUCUUCACUGUAGAUUUUAUAAUAGUGUAUGUAAAUCAAAGAUGCUCAAAUCCACAUAAGAAAUAAAUAAUUUGGCAUGUUAAGCAAUUUUCCUACAGUAGGCCUUUUAGUACUAAACCAAUCUCUUGCUAACAUAUAUAUCAAAUGACUAUUUUGAAAACACUUGACUAUAAAUCACUAAAUCUUAUGUAAAUAAUCAAAUUUAAAAACAUUUAAGUUGUAACGUGUACUAUGUAAUAAUAUCAAUGAUAAUAGUAAUAAUAAUUUGAAGAUAAAUUAUUGUAUGAGUACAGAAUUUAUAUGCAUACUGAAGUAAAAGCUGAAGAUGCAUCAAAACGAUAAUAACCAAAGACAGCAAUAUUUGUACUGAAGUUAUUUUAAACUUCUGAUUGGUUAUGUUCAUAGAUACUGCUGCUACAUGAACGAUGACUCUAGUACUAUAUUCCAUAAUAAAUCAUGCCAUAAUAUGUCCUUUCACUGCACGUACAGCAGCUUGAAACUAGCAUCAAGAUAGCCACCCCUUUUAUCUACUAACUUUUCUCCACCCUUUUUCAUCAUGAACCUAUUCUCUUACAUAUUAUGAAGUACUCUCAAAAAGCCUCAACAAUUUAACUCAUUUUAGACUCUAUAUUUUAACUGCACUCCAUUAUAUAUUGAGUUCACUGUUUUUGCAUUGUAGCAUAUUGGUAAUUUUCAUGGAUAUAUCAUAUAUGUGCUUAAUUUAAGUGUCUUCACCCACCUCAAGGGAAGAAAUAAUGAAAGUUUCUGUAGCUCCUUAAUGACUGGCUAAAAGUCAAACACGGUUGUAAAUGAAAAAGUUAUGUGGCUGACUGAACUCAUUAGUAGUGCAGGGUGCUGUAUUGCUGAUUUCUUCAGAACUGAUUUAUCUUUCUACUCAAUUUGGUGUAGUGACAGUGGAUCAUGUCGGCAAUGGCAAGCAAUUCUGACUGCUGACCAACUAAAAGGAAAAGACCCUUUUUUUUCUCUCUCUUUUUCUUUUUAAUUCAUAUAUUUUUUUUCCCUUUUGCUUGAUGUAUGGUAUAAUUUCAUUUUUCAUUCCAGUCUGGUUGUUCUUGUAUAGGAGAGGAGGAUGUUAUGAUUGGCAUAGGACAAAGCCAUCUUUUUACAAGAAUCUUCACACUUUCAAUGUUCCCCCAUCAUUAAUCUUUCUUUUUAAUGUCUCUCCUUUUACAUCCCACUAAACAAACCUCCCUUUGUUUUAGAUUUCAAGAUACAUUCUUUUUACCUCAUAAAUUUGUGUUAUGGGCUUGUAUAUUUUGAUUCUUUGCCCCCAUGAUUUCAUUCAUCAAUCUUUUCUUGGCUUAUUCAUUCAUCAAUGUAGGAAUUAAGAAAGAGUUCUUCCCUUACCAUCUAUCUCCUGCUUCUGAGAAUAAUAAAACACUAUUUAAAAGAAAAAACAGUCUAUGUUAAUUUAAUAUUAUAAUAAAUUUGUAAAUUUUUAUAAUAAUUGUCUAAAUGGCCAUUGUUAGUAUAACUUCUUUACAUCAACAACAAAAAGGAGAAACAAUAUUUUUCAAUUCAAUUUUACUAUGAUUUUCUGUUGGUGUGAACUAUUAUUUUUUACUGGUGAGAACCAGAUGAGUCCUAUAAGAAUCGAAAUCGGUAGGAGUUCUCUCAGUUCCUAGAGUAAAGAGUAAUUUUUAUAAAAAAAACACAUUAAUGAUGAGAAAAAUAAGUAGGUAAAACUUUAUCUGAAUUUGUGCAUAUAUAAAGUUUCCAUAUGGUAAAGAUGAUGAAAAAUUUUAACAAAAAGAUUCAUCUUCAUCUCUACAUCAUACAUUGAAAUAGCUAAUGGUUUAACUUUUACUAUCUUGGAUUAGGUGAUUUCUUGUUUAUUCUGAUUUCCAAAUACACUUUUAUUCUCACAAAAAAGUGUAAACCCUAAUGUGAGAAGGAAUAUUUGAGAAACAGUUGAUAUUCCCUCCUUUGGCCUAUUGAUUGUGUUUUUGAUGCCAAUCAGCUAACUAACCAUGAAAACUUUAACCUUUGGUAGUAUUUUGGUAGAUUUGAAAAUUUGGAGAUUGUGAUGAUGACAAUGAUUACAUGUUAAUCAAUUCUUCUCCUAUGAAAGGUGUGGACUGUGGAACAAUGAUUACACAUUAAUCAAUUCAUCUCCCCUAUCUCAACAUCUUGACCCUUGAUUUUAAGAUCAAUGGCUUUGCUUGCUACAUACCAACUUGCCCUACCUACCCCAUACACAAGGGGUCCUCUAAUGUGUGUUAGAUGUAGUAGAAACAAUUUGUGUAAUAAUGUAAAGCACAUAUUAUUCCUUGUUUUUUAGGGCAAUGCAAUCAUAACAAUGUUUAUACACAUGUUGGUAGAAUAGAAAGUGGACAACAAAAACCACACAUUAUUAUUACCAAUGUAUUUAAAACCAUAUUCUAUACUACUACACAUUCAUAUAAAAUAAUAAUAAUAAUAAUAAUAAUAAGUUCAUAUGUUGAAGAAAAUAAAAAUAACAAACAUUUUAGGUUAUUUAAUUUUAUGGUUUAUUUAUUUAACCAGUUAGUUCAUUAAUCCAAUUGACUGAUUUUUAAAAUAGAGUAAACCACCACAAAAUAGAUAUUUUUAAAAUUUAUGAGUAAUGAAUGCAUUAACUAAAGUGUUUUUUAUGUUAUUUAUUAAUUUUUAUUAUAACUGCGUUGAAAGUGAGAUUAAGAUAAUGGAAUUUGUUACUGCUAUGUGUAGAAAAUAAACUCUUAUUUUAUAUUUAUUUUAUCUGAAAGUUAAUUUGCAUUUAAAACGAAAUUAAAGUUGUGGAUCACGUGAGUACACACCUAUUCUUCUAGGUAUUUAUCUUUAGAUUAGGUUUUUCUUUUUAUUUGGAUUUAUCUGUUUUGCCAUAUUUCUGACAAAAGAUUAUUUCGAUGAUGUGAAAAUUCCAUAUUUCGUUAUUUCAAUAAAAUAAAAAAAAGUUUAAACAACUUAAUUAGACUGAAUUUAGUGGGGGAAAAUGUGCUAGCUAAUUAAAACAUUUUUUUGGCCGUGCUACAUUUAUUUUUUUGAGAUUUCUUUUAAAUAUUAAUAAGGACAACAUAUAUUCAAGAAAAUAAUAAAAUAUAAUCAAUAAUUUUUGGAACCUAAAUAAUAUAUUCAAACUAAACAUAUUUAACUUUCAUACAAAAUUAUUCUCUAUACGUUGUAAUAUAAUUUUUUCUUCCUUCUAGUACUACUCCCACCUUACAUAUUAAUAUGAAACAACUAUACACUUCUUAUAUCAAUAAUAUUAAUCACUACUAAAAACUAAUUUUAGAAACAAAAAAAUAAUUACUUACUAUAUUGAUUAAAUUAAAAACUAUCUUAAAAACUAAAAAAAUUAUUAGUAUCUACAUUAGUUUCUAAAUUGAUAACUAAUUAGCUACUAAGGUUUUAACUACUAACUACUUUAGAUUCUAAAACUGAUAGCUAAUUAGAUACCAAUUAAUUAAUUAAAUAUUAAUUUAACCAACUACUUUAAAUUCUAAAAUUGGUAAUUAAAACCUUGAUAGUUAAUUAAAUACCAAUUAACUAAUUAAAUGUUAAUUUAUAAAAGUUGGUUUAUAAAUCUAGAAACUAUUUGAUAUAACAAUAAUUUUUUAAUCUCUAAAAUUUUUUAUUUUGUUAUUUAAUGAUUUUUUUUUAUAAUGAGUUCCUUUAUGCUCUCAAAUAUAUAAGUGUCCGUAGUUAUGAAUUUAAUGACGAAUUUAGUGACGGAUUAGGAGACGAAAGCUUCUCCACUAUUAAGCUCACUUAUUAAUACAAUACAAGUAGAUAAUGAAGUUUGAUAUUUUAUCAAUUCAAAUUGGAAUAAUGAAUUGACCAAAGUCGAUUUUUUUCAUAAAUCGUGUUGGGUUUAAUUUGGUUGGUAGUCAAUUCAAACUCACUUGCACUCUCAAAUCAACCUUUGAAUUUUAUUCAAAUUUCAAUUUUGAAAUCAUAUAUAAUUUACAUGUCUCUCAGCUACAAAAGCUACUAUUCAUUCAAAGUAAAGUUACUUACUCACUCUCUACAAUUAUACCACAAAUUCAACUUACCACUUUUUAAUUUAAAUUUUUUUCUACCACAUAUUCAUUGCAAAAUUAAAGCAUAAUUGUUUAUAUCAUAAGACUUGAAGUUUAUAUAAUAUAAUAUAAAAUUAUAAAGUUUACCUGAAUUAAGAAGUAGAAGAGACGAAUCAAAGCGAUAAAGAUCUGAAUCUCAGUAGAUCAUGAAAUAGGUUAGAUCGAUAAAUAUCCGAAUGUCAGUGGAUCAUAAAAUAGAUUAAAUUCUUAAUAAAGAACUGGAUUAUCAAAUUUUGUAGGACUUUCUUAUUUUAAUAAGAACUCUCUAAAAGCCAUUUCUCUUUCCCUUAUGCAAUUGCAAGGCUUUAUUAAAACUUGAAACUAGUAUUCAUCUCACGUGACUAAGUAUUAUAUUUGCUUAGAUAAAAAUUUCUCUUCUUCUUCACCUUUCUUUAUUAGAGUUGUUGGUGCUUGAUUUGCCUAAUAAGUUCAAGAACAGUGAUGAACAUGAAUCCUUAUUAUUAGCUCAUUUUCAUGAAAGCAAAUCAAAGGUGAGAAAAUAUCAGAAAAAUCUGAGGCUGAGAUUGAAAGUGGAUUGGAGAUAUUUGUUUAUUCUAUUUGGUUUUUGUUUUGAUUAUAUGGUUUCAAAGAGUUGAAGUAUCAAUUUCAACCAACACUUUGUAACAAAGACCAGUGACAUCAUAUUCAUGCAAAUUGCAAAUGUUUAGUGGAGAAGUGUUUGUCCAUAUUGGAACACACAGUAACUCAUUCCCAUCACAAGUAAAUUACCUAUGAUGUUUUUGCUAAUUGUAAUUAAAUCUUCUAAUCAGUUCCUCUUAUCAUAAUCAUCUCUUUCUCUACAACAACUUACUAAGCUAAGGUUGAAGGAUAAUAUGCAGAAGUUACACAGAGCAUGUUAAAUUAGACAUUACUGCAGUUGUGACAUUUUUUCAUACACUUGUUAGGCAUGGAACUUUAAGUACAAGCCAUUAUGUGCUAUUUUCUAUCACAUGGUGUGUUACUUUUGCAGUUCCCACUUAAAGCUUGACCCUACAAACUUUGCCCAAACAAAUCUUCUCUGCAUCAGAUUUCUUUCUUUUCUCAUUCUGUCUUCACUGUUUUUCCCACCAAUCUAUGGCAUAAUUGGCUCUUGUAUAAGUGGCCCCAGUUUCAACAGAAUCACAAGAACAAUUGAAAAUAAUAUUAUGGUAUUAUUAGCCUAUUACCCACAAAGCCUCAUAUAAUUUUCAUUGAUUAAAGAUGGGUCCUAUCAUUAUUAGACAAUACACAUUAGACAAAGACUAAUACAUAAAUAUCACUUAUAGUUAGUAUUAAGAGAAGGGAGAGGUAACAGUUCAAGCACAGUAAUAUAUAUAUGUAUAAUAGCACCAAUCAGCAAGAUUUUUAUUACUCAAUUAGAUUACACUACUUUGGGAAAGUGAGCAACCAAUAAUCAUUUACACUUGAAAGCUAACCAUAUACCAUACCCUCAUUCUUAAAGUAAUUGAUGAAGGUGUCUUCAAACAUGAAUUCAAAGAUAAUGGUAUUAAGAAAAAACUUUAAACUAAUUCAACUUUAUAAAACCGACUGACUUAUAAGAUGAGGUUUGUACCUAUUUAUAUACUAUGAAAUAUCUUAAGUUCUAGUCGAUGUAGAAUCUCGAACACACCCUCUCACACCAAUACUGUUUGCGUGAGAUUAUAUAUUUAUGGAUGGUCUGAUAGCAGUCCGAUAGGGGUGACCUGAUAAAAUUAACAAAUUCUCCUUAUAAGGUAAGAUUUAUACAUACUUAUAUACUAUGAAAUAUCCUAAGUUCUAUUCGAUGUAGAAUCUCCAACACACUCCCUCACACCAAGACUGUUUGCGUGAGACUAUAUAUUUAUGGAUGGUCUGAUAGUGACCCGAUAGGGAUGACCUGAUAAAAUUAACAAUUUCUCUUUAGAAUAGACUUAAGAUUACUCUGAUAAGAAGUGAAUUUUAAGCCUAACUCAAUCUUAUAAAACCAACUUAUAAAGUGAGGUUUGCACCCACUUAUAUUAUGAUAUGACUUAAUCUCUAUUCGAUGUCGGAUCUCCAAAAAGGUUUCACAGGAUUUUGUUUUCUUGGCUUGAAAACCGUAGGAGGUGAGAAAUUGUUUGAAAUAAAAGAAAAAAAUAAAAAGUAGAAGGAAAAAUGUGAUGUUAAUAAUGAAGUUUUGUCGUGUUAGUUAGAAGUGUAGUGUGAUAGAGAAGAAAUUAGUGGAGGCAUGAAAUAUGGAAUUUACCUUACCUUACCUAAUAAUGGUUAUGGUGUAUGAUGAUUACAAAGCUUUUUAUUAUACUUUUUGUUUUCUUGUAUUCCUCUAUUUCCAUAAUUACUAUUGUACUCCCAAACAAUCCCUACAACUGGCCACCAAAACCUAUUAUUGUUGUACUCAACAUCAUAACAAAAACACAUGUAAAUCUAAUCUCAUUGGACCACUCCAAACCUAAUAGCUUGCUAACAUGUUCUUAAUUAGGUAUGUUUCCUUCUUAAUCAUUUUCGUUUCUAAUAUCAUAUUAUAUAUGCUAUGCUCUUCUUUCAUUAUAUGUAUUAUUAUUAUUAUUUUUCACAAACACACUUUCUUUUUUUGUUUUACGAAAUUCGUUUUAAUUAUAACUUUGUGUACAAUGUAUUAUUACAAAUUUAAUCAACCCCAAGUUUGCAACCAAGUGAUUUUAAUGGAAAGUGCUUUUGCAUUUUAUACAAACAAAAAAUCAUAUUCUCAUGCAAAGCUGCGUUUUGAGGCAAAAGUUUGACGGUUGAAGAAUCUAAUAGUUAUUAAAAAAGUGAUUUUGUAUUUUACGGUCGAUUUUAUUACUAGUAAUAGUGUUAAAUUUAAUUGAAAUUAAUUUUAAGAACUAAAUUUAUUAUUGUAAAAAAAUUAUCAAAUAUAAACUAAUUUAAUGAUAAAAAUAAUUAAUUUAUAUUAAUUAAUUUAGUUAUUAUUUUAUAAAUUAAAAUAUUAUUGAUAUUUAAAAUAAUUUCUAUUAUAAAAAAAAUUAUAAAAUAGUUUCUAAAUUGAUAUGUAACAUUAAUUAUUAAUUUAAUAUUUUAAAGAUUAAUAAAUUAGUUUUUAAAACCAAUUUUUCUUCUAGUGAUUUAAGAGAUAUAAUAUUCAUUUAUCAUAUUGACUUUAAAAUGUUGUUGAUAAUUGGUUAAAUAAUGAUUGAUUAAUUAUAAUUGGUAAUAAUAAAUAGUAAAAGGGUGAAGAAUAAGAGGACUUACCAAUAAUGUGCAUCAUCAUUUAGUAACAAUUGUGAAAUUGGGGUAAAGACUCAAACUUAACCAAUUAUAUGCUAUAUUGUCAUUUGAGACUAUAAUUUUUUUUUCACACAAUAAAUUAUUAAGUUUUGUUGAUCUUUUUAAAUUAAAUUUUAAUUAUAUGCCAUGUAAAAGUUAGUGAGACUAUAGACACAUAAUAAUUUCAAAAUAUCUAAUAAUGUCUCCUAUUGAUGACUAGAUUGUGUUCUUUUUUAAAAGGAAAAUUGAAUUUUAAAUGGGCUUUAACUCUUUUUUACUCCAUUAAUGUCUUUGUUCACCUUUUAUUUAUUCAUUUUGCACUUUCCAAAAUAUAAAUUUGACAUUAAUGAGAAAGAGGUGAGCAAUAAAUUAAUGGAUACAAGAACAAAUACCUUUGAGAUGAGAUGAGUUUAGUAGAAUUGAUCCAUUUAAUAUGUGAGUCCAGUGACCAAAGAUAUGUGUCAACAAUUAUUUGGGCCAAUGUUUUAGAAGACACAUUUCACAAAUGAUAAAUUCUCCCUCCACCUCCAUCCAUUUUUUUUUUGCAUCUUCAUAAUAAUUAUAAAAAAGUCAAAAUUUUUUAAAAAAUUUAAAUAAUAUUAAAUAAAGUAUAACUUCAAUUACAUCCAUGUACUCUUAUACUUUCUUUCAAUCACAACACUUUCAUUCUUUUUCGGCCGCAAAGUUUGAAAUAACAGUUCCUUCAUUUGAGUUUGUGUGAGACGAUUGACGAGAAUAUUUAUUGUAUUCCGAGUUUCCAAUGCAAAGAUAAUUUUCUUUUGAGUUUUAUACUUCAUUUUUACACAUCGCUGGUUUUUGUUUUGUUUUGUAGCUUAAAAAAAAUCGAACAAAAAUACUACCACUAGUAAAAAUAUCACAAAAUUUACCUCAAUCACUAACAUUCACCACCAACUACAACUACUUGUAAAUGAAAAAGAAAACACCACAUUGUCCAUCAUGUUCAAAAAGGUAUUGUUGAAAUUAAAAAAAAAGAAAGUAUAGAAGUGCAAAGAAAAUAUGAAGGUGUAGAAAGAAUUUACUUCGACAAAUACAUAUGAUUUAGGAUUAAAGAAAAAGAUAAUUUAACCCAUUAUUAUAGAAAAUAAUAAAUGAAGUAAUUAGAUGAAUAAAAAUGUUAUACAAAUGUACAAUAUUAUAAAGGAAGAAAAAAAGUAGCAAUCCAUUUUACUAAAGAAUAUACAUUCUUAGGAAAAUCGUUUUAAAAAUAACAAAAAAUUGCACCUUUUUUUGUAAACCUACAUAUACAAAUUUAUAAUUGUUUUAAAUACUAUAGUAACAUUCUUUAUACAUUAAAAAAUCUACUUUAAUUGUUUGAAAAAUGUUAUAUGUUGUAUACUCCUACAAGAAUAGCUAUUUAGAUGUUAAGAAAAACAAAAAAAUUAUCGUUUCAAUCUAUAAAAAAAAUAACAUCAAGAUCAAACAUUGAAAGCAUAUAAAUAAUCUUGAAAAUUUUGUCCAAACAAAAAAAAGUUUAGAUACUAUAGUCUUUAGCAUAAAGUUAACCUAUCAAGUUUAGAAAUGGAAAAUUGUAGCUAAAAAUAUAAGUGUUUCACAAUAUCAAUUCUCCUCUAGGAUGAUAAUGGGUUAGAAAAUUGUUUUAUUAUUUGUUAUAUAUAUAUAUAUAUAUAUAUAUUUCAAAAUAUCUAAAAAAAUUAUAUAUCAAUUACGAUUCUGUAAAAAUCUUUUUUACUAUUAGCACACAAAUUAUUUACUCAAAAACAAAUAUUAGAAUUUUUAUUAUUAUUUCUCAUCAUUUUUUACUACCUCCUUAACAAGGGUUUCUUUAUACAUCUCCAUAGUUUCUUCAACACUCCAAUCUUCUUAAAAUACUAAAAUUACCAUGUAUUUUAUUGAUAUUUUUUCCAUUUCAAAAAUAUCUUACAAAUUUUAUAAUUCAGAAUAUGUUUCUUAAGAAAAAUACAUUCUUGAUUCGUAAGAUCUUCAAAAUAUUUCCAAAUUCAUAAAUACUUUUCUAGAUUCUAUAAUCUAAAAUAUAUUUAUUAAAAGAAAUACAUUAUGAAUUUUGGAAUUAAUAAUGUAUUUAUGGAUCCAUAAAUACAUUUUGGAUUGUAUAAUACAUAAUGUAUGUUUUCUUAAGAAAAUUAUAUUCUAGAUUAUAGGAUACGAAAGGUAUUAGAAAUAUCUUUUGAAUUCUAUAACAUGUUUCUAAAAAAUACAUUCUUAUGAAAGUAUCUUAUAAUGUUUUUUUUAAGAGUUAAAUAGUCUUUUCUCAUUUAUGAAGGUGUCAAAAGAAACUAUGGAGGUGUAGGAAAAAAAUACCCUCAACAAGUAUUUGAAGAUUAAACGGGCCAUAUGUGGGCUAUAAUUAAAAUAGGCCCAGCCUGUGACAAGAGGCUUGGGCUAUCUAUCCAUUUUUCUAAGUGGAAGUGCUCUUUACUAGAAUCAGCAUGAUUUUAUGCCAAAAAAAAUGAUGCGAUUCUACUCAACCUCUGCAAAACCUUCUCAUUCUGAUCACUAUUCUAGACUUGUCUCUUUGAUUGAAUCAUGCAAGUCAAUGCAACAAAUUAAGCAGACCCAUUCACAGUUAGUAACCACUGCUCUAAUCUCACACCCUGUUUCAGCCAACAAGCUCCUCAAGCUUGCUGCUUGUGCUUCUCUUUCUUAUGCCCACAAACUGUUUGAUCAAAUUCCUCAACCAGACUUGUUCAUUUACAACACCAUGAUCAAAGCACAUUCUUUGUUACCGCAUUCCUGCCACAAUUCCUUUGGGGUUUUCCGCUCAUUGACCCGGGAUUCGGACCUUUUUCCGAAUCGAUAUAGCUUUGUGUUUGCUUUCAGUGCCUGUGGCAAUGGGCUGAGCAUGCAGGAGGGACAGCAGGUUCGCGUCCAUGCUGUGAAGGUUGGUUUGGAGAACAAUGUGUUUGUUUUGAAUGCCUUGAUUAGUAUGUAUGGGAAGUGGGGACUUGUGGAGGAGGGCUGGAAGGUAUUUCAAUGGGCUGUGGAUAGAGACUUGUAUUCUUGGAACACCAUGAUUGCUGCCUUCGUUGGAUCUGGUGACAUGAGUCGAGCUAAGGAAUUGUUUGAUGGAAUGCAAGAAAAAGAUGUUGUGUCAUGGAGUACUAUAAUAGCUGGUUAUGUUCAGGUAUUGCUGGAUUUGAAAGUAAACAAAAUAAUGAUAUUAGCAUUUUACACGAUUGCCUUGUUCGUUUGAAGUGGACAUUUCACUAGGACGCGGUUGAAAGUAUGUCAUAUUGGUUGUGUUUGACUUAAUUGUUAAUGUGCCGUGUCUAAAGUUGCUUCAUGCUUACUAUAGGUUGGGUGUUUCGUGGAGGCUUUGGAUUUUUUCAACGAGAUGUUGCAAAUAGGUCCCAGGCCAAAUGAAUAUACCCUUGUAAGCGCUUUUGCCGCUUGUUCGAAUCUAGUAGCACUGGAUCAAGGAAAGUGGAUACACGCUUACAUUGGGAGAGGCGAGAUUAAGAUGAAUGAAAGGCUUUUAGCUAGCAUCAUUGACAUGUAUGCAAAGUGUGGGGAAAUAGAAUCAGCAUCCAGGAUUUUCUUUAAUUACAAGGUAAAGCAAAAAGUUUGGCCAUGGAAUGCCAUGAUUGGUGGGUUUGCAAUGCAUGGGAAACCCAACGAGGCCAUAAAUGUCUUUGAACAAAUGAAGGUUAAAAAAGUUUCCCCUAAUAAAGUCACAUUCAUUGCCUUAUUGAAUGCUUGUAGCCAUGGCUAUAUGGUCGAGGAGGGGAAAUUAUAUUUCAGAUUGAUGGUUAGUGAUUAUGCUAUUACACCAGAAAUAGAGCAUUAUGGAUGCAUGGUGGAUCUACUUAGUCGAUCGGGUUUCUUGAAAAAGGCUGAAGACAUGAUUUCAAGUAUGCCAAUGGCUCCUGAUGUUGCCAUCUGGGGAGCACUGUUGAAUGCUUGUAGAAUCUACAAAGACAUAGAGCGGGGAUAUAGAAUAGGAAGGAUCAUUAAAGACAUGGAUCCUAACCAUAUAGGGUGUCAUGUUCUAUUGAGUAAUAUAUAUUCAACAUCUGGGAGAUGGAAUGAAGCAAGAAUGCUGAGAGAAAAGAAAGAACUCAGUAAUGAGAGAAAAAAGAUUCCUGGUUGCAGCUCAAUUGAAUUGAAGGGGACAUUCCAUCAGUUCCUUGUUGGAGACAGAUCCCAUCCUGAAAGUAGGGAGAUUUAUUCAUUUUUGGAUGAGAUGACAAUCAAGUUGAAGAGUGCUGGGUAUGUUCCAGAGUUUGGAGAACUUUUGCGAGAUAUUGACGAUGAGGAAGAUAAAGAGACUGCUCUGUCUGUUCACAGUGAGAAGUUGGCUAUUGCUUUUGGAUUGAUGAACACAGCAUAUGGAACUCCAAUUCGCAUUGUAAAGAAUUUAAGGGUUUGUGGGGAUUGCCACCAAGCAACAAAGUUCAUCUCCAAAGUUUAUGAUCGAGUAAUUAUAGUAAGAGACAGGACAAGGUAUCACCACUUCAAAGAUGGAAUCUGUUCUUGUAAAGACUACUGGUAGAUAAGGAAGCAGCUACAUAUGUCAAUUAAGCUUCAGCCAACAUUUUCCCCCUUUUGCCCACCUUUGACACAACAGAACAUUUUUGUUUAUAUGGCAAACUCAUAUAUUGAGUCGACCAGACAAAGAUAUGCAUUUGAUGAGAGAUUUUAGCUAACAAAAACAAUAAUGUUGCCCAUGCGAUCAGCUCCUGUAUAACAUACUAAUAAGAAAAGUUCAAAGAAGGAAGAAUGACCUUCUAUGAGCAUUAUUUGCAUUGUUGAACAGUUCGCCAAUUGGUUUAUUAAAGGAGACUAUUGCUUUUGGGGCUUUUGGCUAAUUCUUGAAGAAUGCCCUUUACGGUGCUGUCAAUUCUUUACAGCUUCUGAUAAUGGAAGUUGCCUGAAGUUUGUACGCUUCUGUUUCUAUUGUAUACACUAUAUAUGUACUGAACAAAGAAUAGCUUGUCCUUGUUGGAACAGAUAAAGCACAAUCGUUGAGGAGUAAAUUGUUGUAUAGUUAUUCUUGACCAUUUUGUAUAGGUCUCAUUUUUCCGAAAACUUUUAUUUUAUAUUUGGAUAUUUACCAAAACCUUUUCUUUGAGGUUGUUUCCUCAGACCGUCAUUAUUUCAGUUUUAUCAUGGCUUCGUGAUUGUAUUGCGCAACUUUUAUGAGAUUAGUAAAGUUUUGUACAUUUGGUACUCUGUAUAAAACUUUAAGCUGAGGAUGUUACAGGCUUAAGAGCGAGAGCAACUCUGAAUUUUGGACAAAAUAGAUGUAGAUGUUGGAAGCUACAUAUAUAUGGGAUUAGAUUUAAGAUUGUUGUUAUAAACCUGUACUGUUUCAUUAAGGGAUAAUAUCCUUGCAUCUCCUCUUUAUUCUUGUCUGAAUAUGGAAAAUAGAAGCUGAAAAUGUAUCGAACUUACAUAUUGAAAGCAGAGACAACGCGUUCCAUUCUCAACACUGUUGGGCAACACAUUACUCGAGUUUGGCUACAUAUUUACAUAUAUUUUCAAGGUAAAAGGUCAUUUUGAAAUUAUACAAAGUUAUCACAUUAAUCCUUAAAAUUAAAAAAUAAUAAUACCUGAAAAUACAAUUCAUUAACAUUAGUUCAAUUCUUGAUCCAAACUUGAGAGAUAAUAUUAAUAUGUUCAUAGAUAAAAAUGACAACAAGUAAUAUUUCAAAAAGGUAAUAUACUGCAAAAAGAGGAAGGCCAUAAACUAUUUCUUUUAACUCGUAUGAAUUUACCUUUUGAAUUUCUAAAAUAUAGCAUGACAGCAAAGUUUACAUAAUGCGACAGAAAAACAUCUGAUUUUACAUCCAACUGACCAAAAACUUUUAUUGCACAAAAGUAAGCAGAAACUUAUUACUUACACGCCAGUAUAAUUCAUGUGUGACUGUAAAGGGCUAUACUUUCGAAGGCAAUCAUACAAAAUCACUCCUCCACAUUUACGUGAGCACUGGCUGCUUCCAUCAUUCCAUUGCGUAUCUGCUCUCCAAUAUCCCUAACAUGGCCAGGUCCAUGGGGUAUAAAAACAGUGGUAUUCUUUGAUGAGUUCCCAAGAUCUUUGAUUGUGUCAAAGUACUGAGUUAUCAUGAUAAGAUCCAUCACCUCCUUAGCAUUAGUGCCUUCUACUUUGUGAGAGAAAUUCAGGAUGUUCUCUCUCAAGCCAUCGGUAAUAGCUUGCCGCUGCCUAGCCACACCAACCCCACCCAAAUACUUGGCCUCGGCUUCAGCUUCUGCUUUUUUAACUAGCAAUAUCUUUUCGGCUUCUCCUUUGUACUCACUUGCAAGUUGCAUCCUUUGAGCUGUCAAAUAAAAUCAAUCCUCACUGAAUACCGUGGCAUACAAUUGAACGUACCAUAAUCUUAAUUAAUCCACUAAUAUUUGGAUUGGCGGAAAAAGAUGGAAUAGAAUAUUAAUGGUGUUAUGCUCCAUUGCUUUAAUUGAUAAAACAAAGAUGAAAAAUAAUGAAAACCAUGAAAAUUAUUUCAUUGUUUACCUUUAUUUUUAACAUCCACACCCUCAAUUUGGGUGGAAUGUGACGGAAUGGAAUUUUGUUUUAUUUCAUCAUAACAUCUCCAAACAAUGAAAUGGAAGUAUAUUGCAUUAAUAUUAAAUUUCAUAUUUUCAUUUCAAUCCAUCCCAUCCUUUUGCUUCAAUCCACACUGCCCUAUUAAAGGGUAAAUACACUUCUAUAAUAUUUGCUCAUUUUAGAGACAAACCCAUCUAAGAGGAGUAUGUUUAGAGAGGGAAAUUAUAAUAUGCAUACAUACAUGUUAUGUUACUACUUCGUAAUAUUGCCAUGAAAAUAAAAAUAAGAACUAUAAAACAUGAAGUGUUAUUACCUGCAUUGAUCUCAUUCAUUGCCUUACGUACAGAAGGAUCAGGUAUAAUAUCAACCAUGAGUAUGUGCUCUAUAUUAUACCCAUAUUCUCCCAUUACCUGAUAAUUCAGGAGAUAAAGACCAUUGGUAUUCAGAAAAAUAAUCAAUCGAGGAUGAGAGAACAAGCCAACCAAAAUCUUACUAAGUCAUCAUAUUUCAAAACAAAUCCUUAUUCAUAAAAACUUUCUUAGUUUCAUUUACGCCACCAACAAACUAUAGUUUUAAAAGAAAUAGACGUCUUGUAAACAACUACAGAUUCUCUCUUGACUUGUCACCUCUCAUAUACUUCGGUGUAGAUGGCCAGAACUUUAUUUUACUUCUAUUCUAUUUAUUUCUUUCCUACAUACUAAAACAAUGUCCAGGCCAGACAUGUGUCUGUCGACUGUUGGAACAAAUUAUUCCCACCUACUUCCUUCUCUCAACAUGGCCACCUAUGCUUUCUAUCUAAAUUACUGAUCAAUGAUUAACAUAUGUUUAAUUUCUCCUUUCCAAUGGAAACAACAAAAAACACACUCACUCACUCUUUGUCAAUAGAAUAGCCUUGAACAUAUAGAUGAAUUUAAUAUGUACUAACUUAUUAUUUGUAUAUUUACAAGUCAUAUGCAUAAAGACCCAAGAGACUCUUCCAUCAAUGUAUCAAGACCUGAUAAACUUUCACCAUAAGAAAAUAAAAAUAAGAAAAAUGAAUUAAGCUUUUCACAUAAGCUAAAAUCAACUUAUUCACUUCUAUAAAAGCUCUUUUCAUUUAACUUAAGCAGAAGUUAGGCUGCAUUAGUUGAAUUUAGCUUAUAGAGAAGUCCAAAGCAUUUUACCUACUUGUUUUCAUCUUGUUAAAAUUGUGAUUAAUAUUUCAUUGUAAAAUUUUCAUAAAGCUGUUUUUGUGUGUGUGUGUGUGUACUUACCUAGUCUAAGGAUUGAGCGUUAUAGACUUUAGUUAUUCCUUCUGUUGUAAAAUAAAUCACUUGAGGGCAAUAACUCACUGAUUUUUAUCACUUCUAAAAUCAAGUUGGAAACGAUGCGAGUACAAUCCUGCUCUGUCUUCACCUGUCACCGAACAACCACUGUUAGUUAUCUCCGGCCGACAUUGCCAUUGUCCGCCAUCUUUUUCAUUUAGCAAAGUCAGAGUUAUGUGCACCUCAAGGACCACAACCCAACCUCGACACUCAUGUGACCACAAACCUCCAAACAUGCCACCAUGCACUGAUCUCCAUCAACACUACACCAAACACAUGUUUCCCAUAAGCUUCCUUCCCAUCAAUGUUUGUCUAUUCAAAGUCUUCUGGGCACAUUUUUACCCUUGGUUCCCAAUUUCAACAUCCUUGGGCAGUUGGUCAUGUCUCUUUCCUCACAUAUUAGGGUUUUCCUUCCAUCUCUCCUGGGAUUGUUGCUCAAGGGGAGUCUAGUGUGUAAAUUACAUUGCUCUCUCUAUGGGCCGAAGUAGUCAUCCUGAAGGUAAAUUUAGUAAUAUUAUACAGAUUUUUAGAUUGAAACAAAGUGAAAUAGAUAGAUCACUUAGUUUUCUAUUGUUAUACUUCUGCCGGGAAGUGUGUUAAUCUAAUGAUCUGUGUUGAUGAUAUAGUUAUUAUAAAGAAAUGAUACCAUUAGGAUUUCUCAACUAAAGGAGUGCUUAUUUAUCCAUUUUCUAACCAAAGAUCUUGGUUAUAUGAAAUACUUGUUGGGUAUUGAAGUGACUCUAUCAGAGGAAAUUGUUAUUGUUCACAAAGAAAAUAUGCUUAUGAUAUUCUAGAGGUGACAGCGUUUGUUGAUAGUCCUAUGAACCCAAAUCAAAAGCUAAUGAUGAAUCAAGGUGAAACUUUUUCAAGAUCCAAAGAAAUAUAGGAGGCUAGGAGGAAAACUUAGUUAUCUCACUAUUACAAGACUUGAUAUUUCUUAUGUAGUUAGAGUUGUUAAUCACUUUAUGCAAAAAAAUUACCUUGAUCACUGAAAUAUUGUAAUUUGCAUUCUCAAAUAUAUCAAAAAUGAGUUCAGGACAAAGAUUGUUAUAUGAGGACAAGGGAGGUACUCAAAUUAUAGGGUAUUGUGAUGCAGAUUGGGCUAGUUGUGCCAUUGACACGAGAUCCACCACAAAAUAUUUUGUCUUCUUUAGAGAGAAUAUUGUCCCUUGGAAGAGCCAAAAACAAUAUGUUGUUUCUCAGAACAGUGCAGAAAUUGAAUAUAGAUAUAUAGCUUUGACCACUUGUGUGGAUUAAGCAACUCCUCCAAGGGUUGAAAUUUUGUGAAGUUGAGUAGAUGAAGAUGUAUUGGGAUAAUCAAGUAUCCCUUCAGUUGUCUCCAAUCUAGUGUUUCAUGAGAGAACCAAACACAUAGAGGUUGAUUGUCAUUUUGUCAAGGAGAAGUUGUUGUCCAAGGAAAUUACUGGAUUUAUCAGCUUUAAUGACCAACUUAGAGAUAUUCUAACUAAGUCUUUGAGAGGACCAAGAAUUCAGUUUAUAUACUUCAUGUUUGGUGCAUACAAUUUAUAUGCGCUUGAGGGGAGUGUUAAAGUUGUGAUUAUUAUUUUAUUGUAUCAUAAUGCUGUUUUUUUUAUUUUGUGUAUGUACCUAGCCUAAGGAUUGAGUGUUAUAGGUUGUAGCUAUUCUUUUUAUUGUACUCUUCUCAUCUUUCCUACACACACAUGUAUAUAAUACAUCAACCGAGAACAAUAACUCACUGAUUUUUACCCCCUCUAAAUUCAAGUCUUCUUUCUUAUACCAGUGCUUGUGGAAAAGUUUAUCCAAAUAAUACGAACUACUUACAAAAAGGAAGUUACCUUUUCAAGUUCCUCCAAGACAGAUCUGGCAACCUCGCCCUUCUGCUCAAAGAGCUCAUCCAAGUUCAUUCUCGGAACAAUAGCACGUGUCACUGAACCACCAACCAAACCACAAAACACACAGUUAAAACAACAAAUCAAAAUUCACACAAUUGUCCACAAAAAAAAAAAAACCGUUAACAAACACAACCAUCGAAAACAUAAGCCUGGAUCUGCUCCUGAGGAUUCUGCAAUUCAUAGAAAGCAUCAUCCGCGUUUUCCUUAAUCACUCGGUACUGAAUUGAACACAGCAACUGCACAAACACGUUGUCCUGCUCCACAAUUCAAAAUUACAAAUCACUCACUAUUCCUCAUUUAUAUCAUUCAUAGGUCAUAAUCUGCACUCACUAACUAAAAAUCACACACUGUGCUAACAAAUUAACAAAAAAAUUACUCGAUUGUGUCAUAAAAUCUGAUAAAAUUUAAGAAAUAAAAAUAAUCGGGAAUUGAAACGGAAUUGAUUGGGGACCUUGGUUUUGGUCUCGAUUCGGACGUCGAGGGAGGAGAUUCUGGUGGAGAGGAUUCCGGCGAGGCAUUCGCCGGCGAGAGGGUUGAAAACGUGGAAACCGGGUUGCGCUAGGCGGUGGAAACGCCCCCACUGUUCAACGACGCCGACGCUCGAUUGAGCGACGCAUCCACAGAACAAACAGAACGAGUUUCCCAUCUUUGCUAUUCUAAAAUCAAAAGCAGGAACAACCACAAACAAACACUGCCUUAAAUGAAAAUAUCUUCUUCUUCUUCUCUUUUCAAAGUUAACGUGUUAUAUACUUUCAUUGCUCAUAAGAAGAAAUGUUAAUUGGGAUAAAUGUUUAAGAUUUUCUCCAUGCUUUUAAAUUUCUGUUAAUAAAGAAAGAAAAAGAAAAUUGAAUUUACUUUAUACAUUUCUUUUUUUAUAAAUCACAAUAUGUAUGUAUUGGAAAAAAACUAUAUAUUAAUUUUUUUAACAUAUGAAUAUUAAUUUUUAUAAUAGUUAGUUAAAAGUGAUAGAUAAUUGGCUAUUAAAAUUAGUUUGGAUAGUUUUUUUUUUCUAUAAACAAGUUAAAUACUAUAAAAUAGAUUUUAGAUAAAUUACUAAAAAAUAAUUUCUAUAAAAUAGUUCUCUGAUAAAUUAAUUUUAAGUUUUUAAAUUAUGGUAAUGACUUCUUUUUGAAUUUUAUAUUUGGUUAUGGAAAAAAUUAGUUAAAUAAAUCCUCCUCCGCCAUUAAAUAAAAAAUAAUAUGUUUUUCAACUUUUUUAGUAAAUAUUUUAAAAUUUAUAUGAAUGAUGAUUUUUAAAUUGUUAAAAAGGUAAAAGUUUUAUUAGUACAUUAUCAUUAAACUUAAAUGUUGUAUUUUUCAUGUUUUAAAUUUGUUAAGUACAUAAAAAGUACACUAAAAAUUAAAAUAUUUCAAUUUUUAAAAGGGAAUUUGCAUCACAAUUCACGAGUACUAUUUCACGUGAUAGCUUAUGAAAAAAACUACUUCACGUCACAAUUUAUAAUUUAUAGAAAAACUGCUUUCACAAAUAAUAUUUUUUGGGCAGGUUGAAAAAAUCAUUUAAAUAUUUGAAAAUAUCUUUAUAUUUAUUUGUUUAUUUGUUUUAUAUAAUAAAUAUUGAAUAUUUUAUUUUUAAAAUAGUAAAAAUAUUUAUGAAAAGUAUUAAAUAUUUACGAAAAUUAUGAGAAAACAUAACAAAUCUCGUGUUUAUAUUUUAAGGCUAACUGCGUGUAGAAAAAUUGAUAAAAUGUGACGUGUAGCACAUUUUUUUAUUUGUUAACAAUAUUAUUAUGAUUAAAAAUUAGAGGUAUUCAAUGAAAAAUAGAGAUAUUUAUUAAAACAUACAAGUUGAAACAAAAUUAAAUUAAAAUAAAACAUAAAUUUUCUUUUCUUUAAUGUUUAUCAUUUUAUUUUGAUUUGGGGAAAAAUGAUAGAAUUUUAUAUUUUUUCUAUUUGAUUAUAAAUUAUUUUAAACAUAAUUUAUUUGAGAUAUAGUUUCAGCUAUUCUAUUAGCUAUUAAUUAUGACAAGAUUAAGUAUGUAAUGUUGUAUACUUUUACAAUAAUUACUAAAUAAUGUUUUAUGUAAAUAUACAAAUAAAACAAAAAUUUCAACAUAUUUAAACAUAAAAUACUUUAGUAAUUUAAUAAGUUAAAGUGAAAAAAAUAUUAUAUAACUUAAAAUUAUAUUACAUACCCAACCCAAUAGGUAAAACCAAACGUUCAACUUCCCACUCCAAUUCGACGCCGAAGCUGAACCUUCUCAUUAUAAAUAUAAAAUAAUUAAUAUCUUUGACAAUAUUAAAAUAUGUUAUAUUUCUAAAAUUUAGUAUUAUUUUUUAGUAUUAAUAAGAAUUAAAGUUAAGUAUCAUGUAUUUGUAAUUUGAAACUAUUUAUAAUAAUAAACCCAUAGCUUGUGCGAUUAAAAAAAUAAAUAUGAAUUAAUUUAGUCAAUACAGUUUUCUUUUUGACAACUAUGAAAUAAGUAUUAUUUAGAGAUAUUGUAUUUUAAUGAAAAUAAAACAGUAACAUGGAAAUAUUUUUGGAUUUUUUUUACAGUAAUAGUAUAAAACGAAGGUUCUUAUGAGCCAAUAAGAUAAGGUUUGUAUAAAUAAAGUUCAUAUUAGUCAAUCAAAAUAAAAAAUAAAAAUACAAAAUGAUAAAUUUAAAUUACAUUAUUUGAUAUGAGUUGUACAAUAGAAAAGUUCUUGAGAUAUAACUAAUUAACCAAUAAUGAUAUAAGCUUCUUUUUUUUUUCAAAUUGAAUAGUUAUAAUAGUUGCAUUUCAUUGAUUAAAUAAUCAAUUACAAUUUUCACAUAAUUAUAAAGAUCAAUUGUCUUCAUGUAUAAAUAAAUCAAUUGUCUUUACUCAUUUUUUUUCGAGAAAGUGAAGGAUAAUGUUAAAUUUAUGUAAAUUCAAACUUUAUACAAAUAAUUAGAAGAUUAAAUUAUUUAAAUAUAUUUGAAUGAAUAAGUAUGUAGGAUUAAACAUUUCUAAGAAAAUCUUAAUUAUUAUUUUUCGUCAUUAAUAUACUUUACUAGGGAUGACUUCAACAGUCAGAAUCCUAACAUUUAAAAACAACUAAAAUAAUUUAAGUAAUAGUUAGAAUUAUUUAAAAACUAGAAUCAAAGUUUUAAAAAUUAUAGCAUUAGGUUUACCAUGAUAAUUUAUAAUUUAAUGUAUAAAUUAAAUAUAAUAGUUUUAAUAAUUUGUUUUUAGGAAUGAUAUUUCUGCUAAAAAAAACUUUAGUGAAAUUUUACCGUGACCAAAAAUUAAUUUUUUAAUUUAUACUCUUUUACGGUACUAAUAAUAAUUUAACAGAAUAUUUAAUAAUUAUUAACCGUUAAGCAUAGUUAAACUACUAAUAUAGGAGUAAAAUUGAAAUUUUAAUUUAUAGGGGUCUAGUUUAAAUUUAUGGGGUGCAGAAUGCAAAGCUCUGAAAGCAUAUUUGAGAACCAUGCUUGGCCCAUUUGGUUUUCUAACCUCAUCAUCUCACCAUUUCUAUUUUGUUUUCCCUUUCUACACUUCCAUAAUUUUUUUAUACACCUCCUAACAUUUUGAGAAAGACUAUAUUAUACCUUUGUCUCCUUUGUAUGUGGAAGAGUUUUUUUUUUUUUUCUAGAUUUCUAGACUUUUUGAGAAAUAUAUUUUGGAUACUUUUUAUUAUACAAGGAAGUAUGUUAUAAGAUCUAACAAUUAAUGUUUAUUUGUUUUACUAUAAUUUGAUAUCUAUUUUCCCGGGAAGAAGAAAUGAGAGGUGCGGUGAAGACGAAAAGAAGAAAGGAGGGAUGCGGUGAAGAUGAGAAGAAAAAAGGAGAGGUGUGGUGAAGAGGGGAAGAAGAAAAGAGAGGAAGGCAAGACAAAGAAGAAUAAAAGAGUGAAUAAGACUGAAGGCGCAAGCGAAGAAGUGGGAGUGCAGGAUUUUAAAAAUCAAACAAUCAACAAUGGUUAGGUUGAAUCUGUCAUUAAAAACCCACAAACACUCUUAUAACGACGGUUCAUGAUAGAAUGGUCGUUAUAAAAACUAAAUAAUUACAAGUUUACCACCGAUUUUUUUAACGAUGGUUUUGUAAAAAUAGUGAGUCGUCGUAUUGAAGUAUUGGUAUCUAAAGUAGUUUUUAUUAUUAAUAAAAAUUUAUAAAAUAAUUUUUAAAUUGAUAUCUAACUAUUAACUACCAAGAUUUUAGCUACUCCCUACUUUAUAUUCUAAAUUAAUCUUUUAGAGACUAAUUUAAAAUCUAAAAUAUUAGUAAUUAAAACCUUUAUAGCUAAAACCUUGGUAGCUAAUUUAGAUAUCAAUUUAGAAACUACUUUAUAAUUUUUUCUUAAUAAUAAAAAUUAUUUUAGAUAAAAAAAUUUUAUUCUCUAAAAUAGUAUCUAAUUUAGUAAAUAUAACGAUUAAUUAUUUUUAGUUUUAAAAUUUAGUUAUUAUUUAAUUUUUUUUGUUAUAAUUGGAUCCAUAUUUUUGUGUUAAUUUUAAAUACUUUUGAGCUAAAAACACUCUACGUUGGUUUUAAUAUCUAUACUUUUGCUUAUAAAAAAAUAUUGAUUUAUAAGACUAGAUAAUUACAAGGCAUGAUUCCAUAAAGCAAUAAACAUCAACUGCAUAUAAAUCUAGCCCCAUGCAAACGCACUUUUUUCUGCUUUUUGUGCCACAAUCAAAAGAGAUGCAUGCAUACUUUUCACGUGUGCUACAUUCAUAUACACAAUAUGCAUUAUAUAAACAUCAUCAUUAAUUCUAUUUCAUACACUCUAUCAUUCAUUGCCCAUUAUUUUCAAACACUAUAAUUAUUUGUUCCCUUCAUUUAUAUAUAUUAUAUUCAUAAAAGGCUUACAUUAAUACCCAAAAAAGACAGUGUGGUAGAGUAUAAAGUAGCACCUAUACAAAGCUUAUAAAUGAGGUAUGUAGAUCCAUACAAACUUGUGUCCUCCAUCUCCAUGGAUGCACCCAAAGCCAUCUACCAGAAUCUAUAGACCCAUAACUUGUUUAUUUCUGCAUCAUAUAACAUAAUUUGUUGUAUGUAUAUCUAUUCAUUAGAUUUUCAUAACCAAUUGGAGUUUGGUAGAAGAUGGGACAAGACUAUUGGAGUUAAAUUUAGAAAAAAAACUAAUGCAAAAGAAAAAAAUUAGCUAAACAUUUAACCAAAGUGUAUAUAUAUAUAGUUUUUGUUGAUUUAGGUUGGGGUGUGAAGUCCUACCUUAUUUUUAUUUUUGUAUAAGAGUUGAAUCACCUCUUAAGUGACUCAUAUUUAUUUAUUGUUUCUUCUCGAUAAAAAAAAAAUAAAUGAUACGACAAUAGUCUGAGUUACAGAAUAUGUUUAAUAAAUUUUAUUAUGAUAGAGUAUAAUACCAUAUUAAAAAAUAAGUUAAAGUCUAACUCAUUUUUCCAAAACUAAUUUUAAGAUACAUUUAUAUUAUAAUUAAUUUUAUAUAUAGUUGAUCUGAAAUGGUUAUGAUACAACAUUACGAAGUGAACUUUAAGUUUAACUCAACCCCAUAAAAUCGGCUCAAUGAGGUGAGAUUUGCAUCCAGUUAUAUACUAUGAAAGACUCUAAUAUCUAGUAAAUGUAGGAUCUCCAACAGUAAUCUAUAAAGUUUGUUAAUAAAUAUUUAUUAUAACUAUUAUUUUGUGGAAGAAAGUAGAAAAAGCUAAAUGGAUUGAACAGUUGGAGUAGAGCAAUUAAUGAAUUGCAAUAUAUUAUCUUCCCGAGGAAAAAAGAGAAAUGGGGUUGAUAGAAAGAAAUUAGAGACCAUUAGACAGAAAUAGAUGUGUUGGGGUUAACAAUGUUUUUGGUAGGGGAAGCAAGUUGAUGUGAUAUAGAUCUGUGUUGAAGGUUAUUGGAGCAGAAAGAAUCAAAGGGAGUUGUUAAUGUACCAUAGCCAGCUAAGUUCACCCUCCAACAAUUAUCUUAUGCAACCCUCUCACUUUCUUUCUUUCCUCUUCGUGUCUAGGGUUUUACCAAUUAUAUAAUCAUUUUCUUUCUCUUCUCCUUUUCUUUAAUAUACAUAAUAGAUACAAAUAACAUAUUAUUAUUAUUGAUAAAAAAUUAUGAUUUUUCAAAUAUUUGAAUUAUUUUUCAGCUUAAAUGGUUUAACUUUUUAAAUUUUGUAUUUGGAAAAAAUAAUUUUGUAUUUGAAUAAAAUAUUUUAAUUAUUGUUAAAUAUAAAAACUACCACUUAUAUAUAUAUAUAUGAAAAAAUAGACGAUACAAAUUUCACUAAAAAAAAUCUUCUCACUACAAGAAAAACAUGAAAUAGAAACCAAUUUUUAGAGACUAAAAUAAUUAGUUGCAAUAAUAACUAAAUUAGAGACCAUUUUAGAAAUUAAAAAAAAAUUGGUUUCUAAAUUAGUUUCUAUUAUUGUUAAAUAGUUUCUAAAUUGGUAUCUAAUUAGCAACUAAAUUUUUGCUACCAAAUUUAGAAACUAAAUAAUUGGUGGUUAAAACCUUGGUAGCUAAUUAGAUACCUAAAAACUAUUUAAUAAUAAUAGAAACUAAUUUAGAAACCAACAAUUUUUUUAGUUUCUAAUUUAGUUAUUAUUGCAACUAAUUAUUUUGGUUUUUAAAAAAUGGUUUCUAUUUUAUGAUUUUUUUUUUAGUGUCUUAAAAUUAUUGAAAAAUAAUCUUGUGAAUAUUGGUUGGGAGAAUAUACACUAACAAGCAUCAACUAAAAAAUAGUUUUAGCUUACAUCGGUUAAUCAUUUUAAUAAUAUUAGUUAGAAAGUUAAUUAAGAAACCCCAAUUUGCAUCAGUAAAAAGGUAAUCUUAUUGGUAUCGAUGAAAAUUUUCAACUUAGUAUUGUCUUAAAAAUAAUUUUAACGUUGGUCAAACAACGACCUUAUUCUUUAUUCAUAACGUUAGUAAAAAAUAACUCUGAAUCACAUUAACUAAAAAUAAUAUUUGUUGAUAUUAAAAUAAUCUUAUUAAAUUACCAAAAAAAUUAUUUAUUUGAUAAAAGAAUCUUCACUAAGCAAUUAACAAUAAAUCAAUGCAACAAACAAAACCUUAAAGAUGAUUGGAAAAAAAAAUUAUCAUCAACUGGAUAAAAAAACAAUAUUGAGUAUGACAUUUUUACUUAAGUCACCAACAAAGGAACAUUGAUUUGAGAUAGAAGAAAAUAUUAAAAAAAAAAUUAAGUUGUUGAACUGUAGUUCUCUAAUUUAAAUAAUAAAAUUAGUUUCAUAAAUUUCAAAAAAUUAUUAUUUUUUAAAUAUCUCCAUUCAAAUGACAUAUUUUUCAUCCUAAAAUAUUUCAGAUUCUUCGUAAAAAAAAUAAUUAUCUUCUAAACUUUCUGUAUCGAAAUUUAAGAUUAAUGAUUUCAAAUGUCUUUAGAAAUAAAAGGAAAAAAAGUUUUACAGAGUCACUCUAAGGAUGUCCAAUACAUUCACCAAAUAAAAAUAGAUUUGAUGCGGAUAACACAAUAUAUAACAUAAAAGAUUGGAAUAAUAAUAGUAGGCUUUGGAAAUUUGGACUGAAGAAUCUUGUUUUGAAUGGGAAGUUGAUGAGAAAAGAUUUUUAAUGUAAUAUUUAGAAGCUAAGAAUCUAUAGAAAGAUAGAAAUAAUUCUUGGGUUUGGAAGGAUUGAAAGAAUUUUUGAGUUUGGAAGGAUGAUAAAAAGUUAGUAUAUAUAUGGUUAGUUCCGUCUAUAGAACUAUAAGAAAUGAGGUAAAUGGGGAUAUGAGAUCUAUGAUUUUUGUUGAAGUAUUAAAGCUUUUCCAUCUACACAUACAUUAAGUAGCGUGGAGGAUGUUAAUAGAUAGGUUACUAACACGUGUUAAUUUGGAGGGCAGAGGGUGACUUUGGUAAGUAAGUUAUUUGUAAUGUGUGGGAACACUAGAGGAAACAACGAAUAUGUUCUUUGAAUGUGAAAUUGCAUUAUUGGUAUGAAUAAUAAAUGAUUAGGACCGACAUAGUCAACCACGGGAAAGCUAUAGCACAUUUCAUGCAUUUUAAUCUAGGGUGGACUUCAAAAGAGGUUAAUAGAGUAUGAGUGUAUGUGUAUAACAGUGAUAUAAGAGAAAUUUGGAAGCAAAUGAAUCAAGUAUUUCCACACACAACUUCAAAUCUAAGAACACUUUAUUUACAUCACUCAUCUUAAAUUUUAAUUUUUAUUUAUUUUUACUUCCAAUGAUCUGUCGAUGUCAACCUCAUCAACUUGUAUCACUUAUUUAAAUGUUCUUAGUCAUAUUAUUUUUCUUGUUAUGGUUGAUUGCUAACUCAAUAAGAUACCUUAUAAUUCACCAUUAUCAAACCCAAUUGAAGGUACUUUAUUUUUAAAAUUGAGUAAAAUUAUUUCCACAAUUAAAAUUCAUUUUUCAUUAAUUACUGAACAUAAUUAAUAUGUGAGUCAAACUUACUCUCAAUUAUAAAUUAUUCAUUAAAACAUGUGCACAUGUAACUUUUGGAAAUCUUAGAUUCCACAGAGUAAAAAAAAAAAACAAUGGUUCAUCUCUUACUUUCAUGGAGGACCCUUGUGUUAUCAUUUCCUAGACUUAAAAUAAUUAUAAACAUGUACGAAAUAAAUAAAAAAAAAAUCUUGGAGUAAUUAAACUAGGUAUUUAGUUUCAAAUUGAAUAUAUAUAGUCUUAUUUUCAUGCAUAUCCAAAUGAUAAGGACAACUUAACAACAUCAAUUAUAUAUAUUCUAAGAUAUUUGAACUUGUUUUGAUUUUGACGUGAGAGGUGUGAAUAAUUAAAAAGUAAUAUUCACGAAAGUUUAUAACAAAAAUCUAUUUAAAAAAUCUUUAAAAUAUUUUCACACAUUCACUUUGUUGUAUUGUGCAUGUGCAUAAUGUAUAACAUAAUUCGUACAAUAAAACCACUUGCAUGCUACGGCUCACCAUGAUUUGGUGUGCGUGCACACUAAAUAUCAUUAUUCAUUCUCACAUGUUUAUUCAUUAAUUUGUCUUAUGAUUAAUUGAUUAGAUUUCACGUGAUUUCCAAAAAAUAUUUAAUAAUAUUUAUUAAAUGUAUUUAUAUUUUUAAAUAAACGUUUUUUUGUAAUAAAUUUAUUUUAUUUUAGUUUCGUAUCAAAUGUUUAUACAGACAAACUAUAAAUAGAGAAAAAAGUUGUCCUUCCACAGUUAGGACAUUACAGCUACAAUGGGAGAAUAUCGAAUACAGACUUUGGAAAUCAUAGUUUGAUUUUCAUAAUGUCUGUUGGAAUAUGAAGAACAAAAUUAUUGAUUACUUUAGAAAUUUGAAUUAAAUUUCAUAUAAUUGAUUUGUUUAUUAUACUUUUUUGUGUGUUUAUUUUUAAGUGUUGUUUUUUAUACAAUAGCAAAUAAUAUAAUUAUUGGAGAUCUCACAGUUGACUAGUUCAUAAUAUAAUUAGAUGUAAAUAUCACAUUUCAAAUCGAUUUUGUUGAAAAUUUCACAUCAACUAUAGGUAAAAAUCUUUCAUAGUAUAUAAGUAAGUGUAAAUCUUAUCUUAUGAGUCGAUUUUGUAAGAUUGAGUUUGGUUUAAAUUUUACUUCUUAAUAUGGUAUCAUAUAUGGAGUUUAUUCUAGCGAAAGUUUGUUGAACUAAUCAGGUUACCUGCUAUCAGGUCAUCCAUUAUAUAGUUACACGCAAGUGAGUCUAUCCUAACGAAAGUUUGUUGGACUAAUUAGGCCACCUGCUAUCCAACCGCUAUCGUACCACCCAUUAUAUAGUCUCACACAUGAGUUAUCAGGUCUCAAUAUGAGAAAAAUGCAUUGGAGAUCCCUCAUUGACUAAAGAUAAAAAUGUUUUUUUAUCUUACAUAAAUACUGUGUGUUAGAGAUCUCACAUCAAUUAAAAAUAAAAUCAAUUUAUAAUAUAUAAGUGAGUGCAAAUCUCACUUUACAAAUCAGUUUUAUAAACUCUAUACAUCUCCUUGUUAUAUAUAAUAGAUAAAUUCUACAAGAAUUAAACGAGAUUCUUAACGGUGGUUUUUAUAGAAAAAGAAGAUGGAAGACAUGGAAAAGAAGAUGAAUGGAAUACAUUGUUCUAACUUUGAAGAGGAAAAAUUGUUGUUAGAUAUAAAUUCAUUCUCCUUUCCUUUCUAUAUGUUAUUCUAGUAAUUAUAAGAAUAUAAUAAUGGAAGCCUAAACUAUCUUUAAUAAUAACUAUUGAUAAUUAGGUAUUUCGGUAACAACAAUCAAAUACUCCAAAUUAUUAUUUAUUUAUUCUUUAUAGAUAACAAAAAAAAAAUCUUAUAAUUUUUGUAGCAAAGUGAGUUUUUUAUAUUUGAUUCAGGUAACUUUGGUGAAAUGGAUUUUCCUCAUGGAUUUUACUCAUAAAUUUUGCAGGUAAAUUCUCCUUCCACCUUCAUAUCUUUUCUUUUAUCUUUAUAUUUUUUUUAAUUCUAACAUCCUUCUAGGUAUGUUGGAGAGUGUUGUGCAUUUUUCUUUAUUUUCAAGUUAUGAUAGUUGUUUAUGGUGACUGGUGGUUGAGAUAAGUUUUGUGAUGUUUUUAAUGGAGGUAGCUAUGUUUUUCUUCACUUGUUUUUUUUUUCGUUGUUCAGGAAGCCACAAACCUAGAAAAAAAAACCAACAAUGUACAAAAAUGGAGUAUAAAACUAAAAAAAAACUUAUUUUUCACACUGGAAACAUUUUCUUCUCGUCAACCCUCUCAUACACGCCCUCAAAGAUGGAACUGUUUUCUUAAAUGUUGUAGCUGGAGAAGAAUGGAAGUGUUGCAGCUGAAUUACAUCCGGAGUGAUCUAAAAAGGUGAGCUUAAUUAAUUUCAUUUAGGAUUAUUUAAAUUUUUUAAAAGAGUUAAAACUCACUUUUUACAAAUUAAUCUAAAAAUCCAUUUAUUUUUACUUAUAUUGGUUGCUUAUUAUUUAAUGGAUAGAAAAAAUUGUUGCAAUGUAAAUUAAUGUUAAAAACUCUUAAUGUAUUUUUUUAAUGGGGACUAACCUGUUUAACCUACAAAUGUUUAUAAAACGAGAUUAGGCGGGUGUGGAUGACGGUUCAGUCCAUUGAUUUUCUCAUAAAAUCACUAUUAACUACUCACACAAAUCUUUAACAUAUUUUAAAAUAUAUUUAAUUUAAUUAAAGUAAUCAUAAUUAAAUCUAAUUAUUAUUUUUAAAUUAGUUCACACACUUAUCUAUUAAAAAACACUAAUCCUAUACAUAAUUUAACUUGUAAAAACCUUUUCAUAUAAACUAAGUUAUAGAAAAAAAAUUAAUUAAUUUUUAAUAUUUUUAUUUUUUAUAAAUACUUAUAAAAACUCCCCUAAACAUAAAAAGAAAAUACUAAAUUACUUAGCAAUUGAACUUCACACAUGUAAAUGACCCAAUUGCCCACGAAGAAAAUCCAAAUUUUGGAAAGUACUCGCAUAUUUCCUACAAUUGGAUAAACUCCAAAACGACAUUGUCCUUUGUUCUGAGAUGGUCAAAUUGGUUAAGUUUUUAGGUUCCUUUUUAUAAAUAGUUUAAAUCAUUGAAUGUUCUUUUUAUGAUUUUGUGGAAUGUCUAUAUCCCGGAAACUCACUUAUAUUCCAUUUGGUCAACAUAAAGAUUCAUCAAAUCCAUCACUAUAUAUGUAUACUUUGUAUCUGUAUAACAUAUAUUCCACACCAAAAUCAUCACACCAUGUGCUUCUUUUUUAAUUUUCUUUACCACUUUCUUAAAAAGAAAUUUUGUAUUUUCAUGUAAAGAAAACCAUCAAAUAAAAAUAAUUCUUAUAGAAUUCAUGAACAAAUAAAUCAGGUUUAAAGAUAACUUGGUUAUCAUUGAGUUAGAAAUCACAUUCAUUAGAAAUUAGAUUAGAAAUUACGAAAUUUCAUAGGUAAAAAUCUAAAAAGUCGAUUUUAUAAGAUUUAAUAAGAUUUAAAAUUAACUUCUUAAUAUGAUAUUAGACUUAUUUAAGUAUAUCCUAAUAUGUAAGUAAAUCCAAACUUUAUUUUAUGCAUCUGUUUUAUAAAAUUGAACUAAAUUUAAGGCAGAUUCUCCCUGCACCAGAUCAUUUUGGACUGCACCCAGUAUAUGUAUAGAAAAUACUCUUAAUGAAAUGAAAAUUGGGUUUAGGUAAACUGUGCACCCAACCCGCACCCAACCCAGCAGUGCACCCUUCAUUUUUCUGUGGUCACUGUGAGGCAGCAUCGCAAAAGCUUGGAAACUUGAACAAAAAGCAACCCAAGCACCUCCAUUCUUAUUCUUCUCGUGACUGUGACAGCAUCAAAACUCAAAAGCAUCGUUGAGGCACCGCAACGACAGCAAACGAAGCUAUCGGAGAAGAAUUGAAGCCACCGGAGAAGGAAACAAAGCCACCGGAGAAGGGUGCACUGCUGGGUUUGGUUGGGUUGGGUGCAUAUUUUAUCUAAAUCCUAAUUUUCAUUUCAUUAAUGGUAUUUUGGUCUUUUCCUUUGUAUAUAUUUUGGGUGCCGUAAAAAAUAUCUAGCUUAGGGAGAAUCUGCCUAAAUUUAAAAUACAUUUCUUAUUCAUAAUUAAUAAUUGUGACACAUUUUUUUUAAAUAUUACACGUUUUUUACUAUGACCCACCACAUGUGUCCAGCGAGAUCCCAUGUUUGCUGCUAUGUAUAUAUAUGUAUAUAUAUAACCUCUAAAUCAAAUCCAAGGAACACAACAUUUUCAUCAAAGCUUUGAAUACCCUCUUUCAUUUCUUCCAAGAAAAGGCUUAGACAAUCCCAAAACAGAGUGAUUAUAUAACAUUUUUUGCACAAAGCCAUGGCUUGUUGGUCUGCAGAAAAUGCCACAAAGGCCUAUCUCAACACAUUGAAAAUGGUUAGUAUUCUGUUCAUGGCUUAAUCCCUUAAUACAAUCUCUGGUUUUAAUCCAUUGAUCCUUGAUACAAAUCUUUAUUACAAGAAUCAUUGAGAUGAAACACCAAUUUUUAUUCUAGUUUCUGAUCUGAUUUUUGGUUAUUUUUUUCAACAGGGUCAAAAGGCCAAAGAGCCAGCUGUUGCAGAGUUCAUAUCAGCACUAGCUGCAGGCAACAAUGCACAACUAAUGGUUGUGGCAUGUGCUGGUGCAGCAGACUCCACCACACUAGCAUUAGUCACUGCUGCACAUCAAACUGGUGGCCAUGUUGUUUGCAUUGUCUCUAGCCAUGAAGAACUAAAGGCCUCCAAAAGAGUCCUUGGAGUGAAUGCCAGUGAAGUCCAAUUCAUGGUUGGAGAGGCUCAACAGGAGCUACUGCUGUUAAGGCAAGCAGAUUUUGUGCUCAUUGAUUGCAACCUUGUGAGGCAUGGAGAGAUUGUUAAAGCAAUCCAAGAUGGUGGCAUUGAGAAUGGUGCAGUGGUUGUUGGCUGCAAUGCACUCAGCUGUAGAGGGUCUUGGUGGUCUUGUGGAUCAAAAACUCAGUUGUUGCCUAUAGGAAAAGGGCUUCUGGUGACAAGAUUUGGAGCAAGUGCUGCAAGUCCAAAACAUGGAUCUGGAGUGAGUAAGAGCAAAAGUAGUUGUUGGAUUGUUAAGGUGGAUAAAUGCACUGGUGAAGAACAUGUGUACAAGAUCAGAGUUCCACAAGGAAAAGUGAUUCAAGCUUAAUCAUGUGGUUGGUUAAGUGGUUGAUUCAAGCCACCAUGCUACUUUUCCAUUAUUUUCUAGGGAAAAUGGAGUGGUUAAAUUUUGCAAUUAAAAGGAACUAGAGGAGUUGAUCUUCUUGGUCCUACUUCAAAUGUAUAUAGCAAAUUAUAGACAUAUUAUUAUUAUUACAAAAAUUGGUUUGCAAAGUUUUGUUGUCUUGCAUAAGUACUUCUGAUGAAGAUAGAACAAAACUCAACCAUAAGUACUUCUGGUGAAGAUAGAACAUGAACUUCUGGUUCAUGUCCUCUUUGUAGCAGCAAAUCAGGACCACAACAAGACAAAAGCUAUACCAAAAGUUUUAUAGCAGACAUUCUGAGUCAUAAAAAUAAAUGUAAAUCUUAUAAAACAAAAUCUCUUAUUGGUUUGAUGUAAAAUACCAAUAAAUAGUAUUUGAAAGAUAAAAAGGUUUACCAGUGAAUUUGACCCAAUUUUUUAAUUUUUUUACUUCCUCUAAAAGAAGUUGGAUCAAACAUAUUUCAUUAGAAGCUCUCACAAAUUUAAGCAACUUAAAUUUUUAGAAGCUCUCCUUUUUUAGUGUCUCUCCCAUAUUUGUUCUCUCUUUCAAAAUAUAUAAAAAAAAAAAAAAACUUUCAAGCAAAUUUUAUUUCACUUUUUAAAUUCAUAUUUUGAAUUGGAAAUCUAUAUAAUUAAGAGUGUUAUAUAUCCACUAAACAAGAUUUUAAUUACUUAAGAAAAAACAGAUCCACAUCCAUAAAAAUAAAAAGUGACAAAUAAUUAUGAAUCUUUUACCAUUUGAAGCAUAUUUUUUUAUUUAAUCGACAUUUCAUUUUUUUUCACGAAUUUUCUCACAAAAGAAUUAACGAUAUUAUUAAGAACUAUUAUAUAAUAAAUAUUCACAAAUUAUGAUUAAGAGAUAAUUUAAUUUUAUUAUAUUCAAUUUAAUCAUUCGUAUAAUUAAAGGUUUAACAUUAUCAUUAUAAAUAAGUAAACGUGCUAAGAUAAAUGUAAUAAAUUUUUAAUACUAAACUUGACUUCUUAACUUAGAUUUAUACUAAUUUAUUUAUCGGAGUAUAACUAUAACACAAAAAAAAAUCAUAAAAUAGAAACUAAUUUUAGAGACAAAAAAUAAUUAAUUGUUAUAAUGACUAAAUUAGAGACAAUUUUAAAGACUAAAAAAAUGUUUAUUUCUAAAUUAGUUUCUAUUAUGAUUAAAUAGCUUCUAUUAUGAUUAAAUAGUUUCUAAAUUGGUAUCUAAUUAGCCACAAAGAUUUUAACUACCAAUUAUUUAAAUUCUAAAUUUGGUAGUAAAAACCUUGGUAGCUAAUUAGAAAUCAUUUAACAAUAAUAAAAACGAAUUUAGAAAUCAAAAGUUUUUUUAGUUUUUAAAAUUAUUUUUAAUUUAGUCACCAUAAUAAAUAAUAUUUUUUUUUUAAAUUGGUUUUUAUUUCAUAGAACAAGUAUUUGUAUGCUCAUUUGAAAAGCUUGAAGAGAAGAUUCCAAAAUUUGUAAAGCCGAACAGCAUGAACGACAUGUAUAAAAAAAACACAACGUUGUAAGAACUUUAAAUCCACAUCAAUAAUUAAAAGCAGAAACAAGAACACCUUAAGUUGUGGGUUUUGUCGAGAUCAUACAUCAAUUUCUUGACCAAAGUUGUGUUAAUUUAUUCCCAAAGCAUUUCUAUUUGCUGAAUAAAACAAAAAGUUCAUUGACUCAAAUUGAGAACUGAACUUCUUUGCCACCCCAGCCAUUACUGAACCUUGAAAUGAAUGACAAAAAUUGUGCAUUAAUUAAUUGAGUUGCACAUUGUUUUUGGCGAAAGUUAGAGGCACAGAGCAUCAUGCAUGUGAAAGAAGCAAGACAGUCACAAGCAGCAGGUACAGAUAACAGCCUGUGCAGACAACAAUUAGAGUACCUUAAGGUCACUGUUUUCCGCCAUUAUAGCCUCUAACUAUAAUAAGAGCCACACUUUCUAGGGUUCCUACCCUCCCUAACGUGGACCUUGUGAUUUUGUCUAUACAAAUUACAACAUCUUCAAUCAUAUAACGUUAACUUUCAUCAAUAUAUGUGUGCUAUUAACAUCUAUCCAAUUUCUCAAUAUAUUAAUAAUAUUUAUAUAAAAAAAAACGUUAUCAAACUCAUCGUUUUUAUCGAAAUCUUCUUCUUCUUAAUUGUGUUUUUCAUUUUAUUUACAUUAUGGAAUUUAGUAUUACUCGUACCUGCAAUAUGUAAUAAAGUGCAUUUGAAUUGAAGUUCAGAAAAGUUAGAAGUAUUUUUAAUUUAAAAGAACAGUUUUUCCGCUUUAUUAUAUAUAUAUAUAUAUAUGAUUAAGUAUCAUUUGUUUUAAAAUAAACAAUUUACAAUUAGUUGGAAUGAAAUAAGCAAUCACUAUGAUUCCUUGACACUUAGUUAGAAUGAAAUAAAUGAUUACUAUGAUUCAUUAAGUCGAUUUCAAUUAUCAACAAUUUUUCAAACAAAAAGUUUAAAAAAUGUGAAUAAAUUUAUGUGUAAUUCAAUUUUAUAAAAUUGAUUUAAUAAUGUGAAUUUUGUACCCAACUAUAUUUUAUAAUUUGAUCAAAUCUUUAAAAGAUAUGAGAUGUCCAACACACAACCUCAUGCCAAAGACACCAAACAUUAAUAUUAAGAAUAUUGGAUGUUCACAUUAAGAACAUUGAACAUGAAAAUAGAGAGAAGAUCGAUAGUAUAUGGUACGAUAGGUCCAACUAAUAUCGCUAGAAUAGGGGCACAUUUUCUCUCCACCUCCAUACCAUCCUCCUGCACUUCAUACUUUUUUUAAUUCCAACAAUACCCUUCUGAGUAUGUUGGAGAGUGUGGUGCAUUCUUUUUCAUUUUCAAGUGGUGGUGGCUGGUGGUGAAUGUUGGUUGUUGAGGUAAAUUUUGUAGUAUUUUCACUAUAGAUGGUUGUGUAUUUGUUUGCUUUUUUUCAUUUUUUGGAAGUUACAAAACUCAAAAAAAAAACUAGUCAGGUACAACAAUGGAGUACAAAACUCAAAAUAAACUAUCUUCACACUUGGAAACAUCGAAUACAACGAAUUUUCUUGUAAACUCUCACACACGCUCAAAGAAUAGAAGUGUUGCGACAAGAAAAAAGGUAUGAAGAUGCGGAGGCACUACUAGAACAUCAUUAAAUAAAAAUCAAUUUUAGAUAAAAAAAAUAAUUAGCUACCAAGUUAGAAACUAUUUAUCAAUAAUAAAAACUAAUUUAUAAAUCAAUAAUUUUUUUAGUUUCUAAAAUAAUAUAUAAUUUAGUCAUUAUAGCAACUAAUUAUCUUUGAUCUCUAAAAUUGAUUUUUAUUCAAUGAUUUUUUGUGUAGUGAGAAACAACUGAGAUUAUUUAAAAAUGCGGAGUUAUAUUUCAUUUAGAGUUAUUUAAAUUUUUUUAAAAGGUUAAAACUAACUUUAACAAUUAAUAUGGAGAUGAAUGGGAAAGUAUGGAGGUGGAUAGAGAAUUUGCCUAAAAUAUAAACUCUCAUAUGAUAUAAAAAAAAUCAUUAAACUAAAAUAUAUGUAUUUACACAAAAAAUAUAUAUAUAUAAUAACAAACAAACAGGAGUAAUAAUAUUUUUUUACAUGUAAUGACAGAUGAUUGUUAUUCCUUAAAAUGUCAACUUAGAUGAAAUUUCAAGUUUUAUAGUGAUUCUUAACAUAAAAAAUUUUUAUAAAAAAAACAAACAAACGGGGAAAAAAAAUACUGAUUAUAUAAUAUUUUUAAUAUCUAAUUAUAUUUAAUUCUAAUAAUUUUUUUAAAAAUAAAAAUUAAAAAAAGUGUCAUGACAAGUGUCCUAACACACAACUUUAACAGACCGAAAAGCUCUUAUGACUGAGUAUUGUCCCCAACUUCUCUUACAAUUUUGAAGAGUUUGAGAAUUUCUUAAUUUACAGAGUUAAAAGGAUGAUUUGUGUUAUAGCCAAGGGACCAAGAAAACCAGCGAAGACAAAAUCUAACAUCAAGAGGUUCAGAGAUAACAGGUUGUAGAUACAAUAAUUAAGCACUGCAUAUUCUAAGCUCAAUGUUGUGCGCUAAAACAACCUUAAUUAUGGGGUCGUGUGGCUUUUUGUUUCUGCAUUCACAACCUUAACCUUUAUGUAAUGCAUGUUGCAUGCAUGGAUAGGUGUACUAUGGUAUCAAACCCAUGAGACCACAAUGUAAUAGACUAUUCACAAACAACCUAAUUAACACCCAACAACAAUUGCUGCCUUCUCGUUAUGCAUGUGAUCCUGCAAGCUCUUGUCCCAUCCAUCCAUGUGUUACAUAAAUUAAAAGGUAACGAUAUAUUGAAAAUUUUAAUUUUUUAUAAAAUCACGUUACAAUUUCUAAUAUUAUUAUUUUACUAUUUUUUAUAUCUUUUAAUUAUAAAUUUAUUUUUUAUUAUAUAUUUUUAUUUUUAGACUCAUCACAUCAAUGGUGAAACUUGUCAUGACAAAAGUUUUUUAUGCAUAUACACCGUGGAUACUUUCACAACGUUAUUUCUUGUUGUUUUUGUUGGGUUUAAUAGUGCCAAAGUUCAAGAGGGGAGUGAAUUAACAUUUUAAAACUUUCUUGCAGAAACAGUGUUUAACACAGUUUAAAAUAAAUAAAUCGAUUUAUGUGAAAAUGAACAAAUUUAUUUUGGCACUGUUUUUGUUUGAAAAGUGUUUAUACAGCAAGGUUAAUCACAAGAUUAUGCAGAUAGAUUUUCCAGAUGCACACACACUGAUAUUAGAACGAAAACCAGUGAGACACAAAACAACAAACUUCCAUUUCAAGAAGUGAUUAAGGUUCAAUUGAUAGCAUGUCAAUUAAUUGAGUAACCUUUACAAUCAACCUGUUCCAGUGACUUUUAACAAAUUAUAAGUGUUCUUCUUGAAACAAACAGUUUUCCAGAAAUUAAGAACAGUGAAUCACAGAACAGCAAAGAACAACAAGCUUCAAUUUUAAGCAAUUGUUUAAGGUUCAAUUAAUAGCUUUGACAAUUUCUUGAGCAACCUAUCACAAUCAAUCUGUUCCAUUGGCUUUUAACAAAUUUUAUAUGUUCUUAUCAAAAUCAAACAACUUUUCCAGAAAUUAAGAACAGGAUGAAACGAGCCCAGAAAGAACAGAUUUAUUAAUGUUUGAACAGAUUUAUUUCUUUGUUGUUCCAACAGUUAUGCAGAAACUUAAGUGCAGAGAUUAAGAGAGAAUGAACACAAGGCAGUUAUAUUGGUUCACUCAACUGAGCUACAUCCAGUCUUCACCUAAAACCAAUGUGAAAUUCACUAAAUCACAGUACAACCAAACACAAUUCCCAUUGUUCUUGAAACCUACAAGAACUUAGGUACUCUUGCUGAAAAAACCUAUUUCAGCUCACACACACUCUCCAAGAAAACCUAUCAAGAAGAGCGUUCAACCAAACUAUUACAAGAAGUGAAAAGUGAAACGACUACACCUGAUUGAGAAAGAUCUGCCUUAAACCAGUAGGCAAGAUUGUUAGAACAGUAGCAGCACCUCACACCAAGCUUUUGGAACCAAACCAAGAACAAGCACUUUGUGAGUUUCGAAAUCUUUGAAGAACAAAUGUUAAUCCUUUGUAAACACUUAAUUCUCUGUUGUCAAACUUGUUUUUGUAAAUGUAUGAACGAUGUUUAAACUCAGAAACAAGUUUUCAUUUUAUAGAAAACCAACUUAUAACAGAUUUUUGAAAAACAGUUAAAGCUGUUAUAAAAUGAACAGAUUGAAAAUAAAAUGAACAGAUUUAUUUUCAAAAAGCAGUUAGAGAAUUUGUUAAGUGAGGAGACUUAGUCAACCAUUCUGGUGCAGAGAUAAAACUGAAAAACGUUUAAGCAUGACAUGGCACCAGAGAAAAAAAGAAUCUAUUCAUUUACUGAUGAACAAAUUCAUUUUUCAAAACAAAAACAGAAAAGCUUAACUAUUUAAACACAGUCGUUUUGAAAGGUAGAAGACUUAGUCAAAAUACAUGAUGCACAAAAUCUAAUUUUCACAAGACUUAGCCAAGACAUCAGUUUAAAAAAUGAAUCUGUUUAUUUAGAAAAGAACAUAUUUAUUUUUAUGCAGUAAACGUGUUUUUUUUAAAACAUGUGAAAAACAGUUUAAGAAAACUUAUGUUUGUUCUUAUCACAUGGUCAGUGGUUAUGAGGUGAGUUACUCAGCAAAAAGCCCACUCUUAGACAACCUCUAAGCACUACCUAAGACAACCUCUAAGCACUACCUAAGACACAUUUAAAGCAAAGCAAAAUACACAUGAAAUGUACAUAGAAGUCUUCAUCAAACACAUGUCUUGAAGGGGCAGCAACCAUCUUCAACAGUUUUAAGUCAUUCAAUAAUAUCAAAUCAUCAUUAGUGAUAAGUGUUGUUUAUAUUUUUUUUGUUAUUUGAUUACACUCUACUCUAUAUUUAUAAAGAAAAUUCACAAUUCACUAUAUAUAGAGUCUAAUACACACAAAUGCAAAAUGAAGAAACCACAAUAAAUAAGAAAGUAAAUAACUCACAUAAAAAAUUUAACAUCAAUUGGAAUUUAGAACUUCACAAACAAAAAUUCCCUAUAAGAAAGAAUAUGAGAUUACAACAUGAAGUUUUUUCUCAAAACUCAAAAAAAAAAUUAUUCGGUACAAAUUCUUAUCAACAAAAUUGUUUAACUAACUUUUAAUAGAAUAUGUGACAAUACAAAUACAAGUUCUUAUCAACAAUAUUGUCUAACUAACUUUCAAUAGAAUAUGUGACAAUACAAAUAGUCUCAAGCACAAUGAUCUCAUUAGAGAGUGCAAAUGCCAAAAAAUACUUGAAAGUUAUACCAAAAAAGUAAAUAGUUUGAACAAAUUUUUUUGAUUCAGAUAGAUAAUUUUGAACUACUAGACUAUCUUUUACCAAUUUUAUCUUACUAUGUAUAAUUAAACUUGAACUCUUGAAAAAAAAAUCAUAUAUAUUUUUUAGUUUCAAAGCUUAAAUAUUUCAUUUAAUAUAUACCUAUCUCUUUUAACAAAAAGAGUUUUGAGCAUAAAAUUACUAAUUAUUGUGAUAAUGGUAGUAUAAUUAAUUAUUUGUUUAACUUAUUCAUAUUUUUCAAGCAGAAAAAGUACCUAAAAUUAAUUGGGUCCACAUCAAUUAAAAACAUUAAAUUAAAUCAAUUAUAAUAAUUUAUAAAAUAAUUUACAUCUCACAAAUUUGGAAAAUAAGUUCGAAAUAAAGCAAUAGUAGUAUUAAAAAAAUUUAUUAGUUUAAAACACUUCAUCUUAAAAAUUAUUUAAAUUUAGAUAAAUGCUAAUCACUUUACAUUCUAUCAUUAUAUUGGUAAGAUAAAAAUUAGAUUCAUUUCAUUAAAUAAGAUGUGGAUUUCAAGUCAUAUAGAGGAAAACAAGCGUAUUAAGAAUGGCUAACAAAAUCUUCUAAUGAAGUUUAAUCAUUACCAUAAUAGAUUGAUUGUUGGUAACAAUGGCAUGUAUGAUUAAAGAAACAAUUGUUCUUUGGUAAAUUCUUCCUACACCGGAUUAAUUUCAACCUCCACUCAAUCUACAAUUAAUAUGUGAAAAAUGUUAGUACAAAAUGAUAAAAAUGACUGAAAGGAGAUUGUGGAUAAAAAAUAUAUUUAUAGAACUGCUUUAAAUAAAUUUUCGGAUUUUAAUUUUUGGAAUACAUUUUUAAAUUUUAAAAAUUCUUUUUCAGAAUGUAUUUUUCAAUUUUGUGUUCUAGAUUUUCUUUUCUGGAAUGUAUGUUUUACAUUUCAUAUUCAUUUCCAAAACAAAAUUUUAACUUUUGAAUUAUAUGUUAGAUUUUUAAAUUUUGAAUAGAGGAUAAUUUUGGACAAUUUGAAAGAUGAUAGGGAACUGAUUCUUCCUGUACUUCCAUGACUUCUUCGGGCACCUCCAUAAACUUUUAAAAUACUAAAAUUGUCCUUCAGUAAAAAGAUAAAAAUUAAAGUUGUUUCACAUAGGUACUAGUGUGGUGGUGGUGGUGCAGAGUGAAAGAGAAGGUGCUUGGUGUGGUGGUGGUGCAUGCUCCUUGAGGUGCUGUUUGAGCUGGUGGUCGGCGGUGGUAACGUGCUAGUGUGAGCGACAAUGCUUCUCAUUCUACUAAACCCUAGAUAAUCCAGUUCUUUACGCAUAAAGCAAAAGUGUUAUGGAUUAGAUAAUCCGUAAGAAUAGUGGAUCCAGAACGUGCAAAACCACACUUCUGGAUUGUGUAAUCCAGUACUAAAUGAACUAUGGAUUACGCAAUACAAAAGUUAAUUUUGAACUUGAUAUAUGCCUUACGUAUUACAGAAUCCGGAACUCAUGUUGAAAUUUGACUUACGGAUUACACAAUCCGAAAGUAAUUUUGAAACUUCAAAUAUGACUUACGGAUUAUGCAAUCCAUAAGUCAUUUUAGAACUUCAAAUUACGGAUUACAUAAUCUAGAAUACAUUUUGUUGUUAAAAUGUACCAGAAUACAUAAUCUGGUGCCUAUUUCUGUGAAGGAGCACAAACACUUUCUAAUAUACACAAAACCAGUAAAAUUAAACUUACUAACCUAUGAAUGAAAAUGACACUGGUGAAUGAUGGAGAAGGAAAGGUUAGAAAGGAUGAGAACUCUGAGAGAAGGAGUGAUGGAGAGAAGAAGAAUUGGAAGGAGGUGGGAGGGGUGGCUGCGGCGGGGAGAGUGAAAAGGUGGUGAGGGAAAGAAUCACAAUUGGAAUUAGGUUAAAAUAAUAUUUUAAAUUUUUAAAUCUUUUACUGAAGGGUAUAAUAGUAAAUGUGCUUUUAGUAUGGAGGUGGCAGAAGAAGUCAUGGAGGUGCAGGAAGAAGCUGUCCUAAUAGGGUGUAGGUUGCCUUGUUCUACAUAAAAAUUGGGCCAAUUAUCAGACAAUUGUCUAAUCAUUUAGUAGGCCUGUUGGCUAGUUGGAUAACAUGAUGGCAGUUUCUUCCUGCACUCCUACAUUUUUCUUCCUGCAUUCCCACAAUGUUGUGAAAAGACAAAAUUGUCCUUAUAUAAAAACUGUACAUUUAUUUUUUUGCAUUCCAGAUUAUGAAAUCUGGUAAAUUUUUGGAUUGGCGCUUUCGGUAAAAUUUUCGGUAUCCCAGAUUGGUGCUUAUGGGUAGUACAUGAAUGGCAAUGCUAAUAAAAAAUAAAAGAAUGUAGAACAUCCAUAAUUAAAAAAAUCAUUCUGUAUCCGUCAAUCUGUAAUUCAAAAUAUGCAUCCUGGAUUCAAAAAUCCAUAAUUGAAAAAAUCAUUUUGGAUCUACAAAUCCAUAAUAAAAAUUAGGUUUCUGGAUUCAGCAAUCCGAAAAUCAACAAUUUAUGCAAACCUUGCUUCUGGAACACCCCCUCAUUCAGAAAACAAUAUGAUUCACUUCCAAAUUGAUGAAUCCGUAACACACUCUCGUAUCCCAAUUUUAAAUAAAAGGUGAAGGUUAGUUUCAGAAUUUAAAAAAUUGUGGGAGUGCAGGAAGAAAAAUGUAGGAGUGCAGAAGAAACUGCCUAACAUGAUCCGGAUCAUAGACCCCAAUGAAAAAGUUGUAAAACCAUUAAAGAGAUUUGCUUUUGCACCCCCAUACUCUCUUCAUACACUCCCAGAAUUUAAAAAUUGAUAAGUGUGCCCCUAUCAAAACACUUCUUAAUCAAUUUAAAACGAUAUUCCUAGUCACGUAAGCUCGAAUAUGAUUUUUAAUGACACGAAAUAUAGUUUUUAAUUAUAAAAUUUAGAAUAUGAUUUUGAAUUAUGUAAUAUGAAAUAUAAUUGUAAAUUAUGUAAUUCAUAGCUAUACUUUAGAUUAUAUUAUUUAAAACCAUAUUCUAAAUUAUGUAAAUAAAACUGUAUUAUACAAAAUUACAGAAUUUAAAAUUUGAAAUAUAAUUUUAGAUUAUAUAACUUGGAAUAUAUUUUAGAUUGUGUAAUUUAUAAAUACUUUAGAUUGUAUAAUUUAAAAUUUAAAAUUUAAAUUUUUAAAUUAUAGAGCCAGUACACUAUUAAAACAAUAAUUACAAACUUCUGGAAACAACAAAUGCAGAAUAUAUUUAAGAAUAGAUUGUUCCAAAACCUAUUUGGAACACGUAAUUUGGAAACUUCAAAAUAUUCUAAAAGAGGUAAGGUUCUUUUAUUUAAAUAAUAAAUCUGAAUAUUUUAGUAAAUGCAUUAUAGUCAUGGAGUGAGAGAAGAAACUAUAGAGGUGGGGUAGAAAAUGUCACCAUCCUUUACAGGGUGAACUUUCCCAACACCUCAUACUUUUUUAAUUUCAAAAACACCCUUAUGAAUAUAAUGGAGAGUAUGAUGUUUUUUUCUUCAUUUUCAAGUGAUGGUUGUUUGUGGUGGUUGAUGGCGAACAUUGGUAAUUGAGAUAAGUUUUUUAGUGUUUUUACUAGUAAUGAUUGUAUUUUUGUUUGGUUAUUUUUGUUCGCUUAUUUUUUUUCAUUUUUUUUGAUGUAUAUCGGAUUGCAUAAUCCGAAAAAUCAUUAAUUAAAUUGUAUUUCAGAUUGUACAAUUUAGAAGGUAUUCCCAAAUCCAAAAAUACCUUAUGGAUUGUAAAAUAUGGAAUACAUUUUAAAAUUACAUUUUGGGUUAUACAAACUUUUCGAAAAUACCUUUGAGAUUGAACAAUCCAGAAAUCACAUCUUUUUUCAAAAGGCUUAUAGAUUUUAAAAUGUAUUCGGGAUUGUACAUUCGUAAGUCACAAAAUUCAAAAGAAGAAAAACACAACAAGGUGCAAAAAUAGAAUACAAAACUCAAAAGAAUUAGCUGGGAAUGUCGAAUACAACGAAUCUUCUCGCCACAAUCUCACACAUGUUCAAAUGAUGAAAUUGCUCUCUCAAACGUUGGGACUGGAGAAAAAUGAAAGUGUUACAGCUCGAAAGAAAGUAUGCGACUGAAAGAAAAAUAUGGGGAUGUGAGAGUGCAACUAAGUUUAUUUAAAAAGAUGAUGUUAAAAUCGACUUUUCACAAUUAAUAUGGAAGUGUAGAGGAAAGAUACGGUGGAGGAAAAAUUUGUCCUUUACAAGCAUGCUAGCCCAACAACCCAACACUAUCAUGAAACAAGCUUCCCCUAUAGUUCAUGCAAACCAAAGGCAAUUGCUUCCUGCACCUAACAAAUUUAAACUUGCAUCCAAUCACUGACAUGAAAUGACCAAAAUACUCUUUAUAAUUUCCCAGAAAUUCAUUUUUUGGAAUAUAUUUCUGGAUUUUGUUUUCCAAAAAGAAUUUUCUAAAAUUUAUUUUUUUUAUUCUAGAAUUACUUUUUUAUAAUGAGAUUUUGAUUUUCCAAUUCUAUUCUGGAACUUUAUUUUCAGAACACAAAUUCAGAUUUCAUUUUUUGGAAUGUAUUUUUUAAUUCCAGAUUUUCAACUCCAUAAUGAGUAGUUUUGGAAUUCCAAAAAUUGCCCAAACUGAAAGGGUCUUCUAUUCUACCUCCAUGUACACUCAAAUUGCUGCAACCACAUUCCAAUCCUACAAUGCCAAAACUUUGUUUUCAAAGGAUGGCCCUUAAAAAUUAUAUAAUUUUAACCCUUAUAUUAAUUGACAUAUGUUAAUAAUUUGGUGUUAAUUUUGUUUCAAUGGAGACUCUGUCUUGCUUCAUUAGAAUAAUUCCCCUGGGAAUAUUAAGUUGUUAUUAUAUUGAUAUAAAAAUUCUGCAUUUACACCAACAGUGUUAAGAAUCAUAUCAAUAGACAAACUGAUUGCACAUAAAUUUUACCUAGUCAUAGUGAAUAACAAUUACAUUACUUUAGCCUAGUGCUGUGUUAUUCUAUUUCUUUGCUAUUCAGGUCAAUGAUAGCUUAGAAGUUUUAUCCAAAAGAUGUCAGAUAAUCAUAGUUCAUUGAGAUGAGACAAGCCUACACCAGUUAAAAAGAAAAAAAAUUUGUUCAUCUACCAAUGUGCAUAGGGAAUUAGGAGUGAGUGACAAGACUUUCAUUCCAGUAAAUCAUCAAUUCAACAAUUCACCAAGACAUGCUUUUGCCUGCAUGGUGUCUCCAAAAAUCAAUUGUUACAGUUACACAUGUACCAAAAAGAAACAUGUAAUUAUAAGCCUUCACAACAUGUUUUGUGAGUUGGAUCCAACACCUAUCAGUGGCCCUCAAUGUUUGCUGGUAUGGUAGGCUCUUAAUUAACAUAAGCAGUGAAUUCAAAAUGGAAUCCAGAUUCUCUGCUCAAUCUUUUGUGUUGUCCUUCUAAUCUGUCUUCAAAAUGCUAUGCAAGACCUUUCUAGACUUCAAUAAUUCAACACAUUUGCUAUUUUUUUCAGAACAGGUAGACUUUAACUUAACACCAAUUGAGUAUUUUUAUAAACAUCAGUAAUAUAGCACAAGGGUAUUCUAGCCUCAAAUCCUAUUAAUGGUUUGAGUUUUUCUUUCAAGAAAAUCACUUUUUCUAACAGAAAAACCCGUUUUUAUAUUUCUUUUGACAUGUUUGUUAAAACUUUUGCAAAAACCAACCAAAAACAAGCUGAAAACAGCUCAUUUUAAUAAGCUGAUGCAAAAUCGAUUUCCAGAAACACUUUUCUUUGUAAAAAUUACUUAUUUUUUAUCAUUUUUCAAACACUUUACUUUUAAGUUUAAGAACUUUCAACCUAUAGUACGCUAGAGAAAAGAAAUGGCUAAGCCCUUGCACUCAAAAGCAACACUAAAAGAAGCCACAAAGUAAUAAUCUCGAAUCAGCAUCCAUAAUCUUAAAAAGGAAUGGAGGGCUUUACAAAGUGCUAACAGUGGCAAUAAAGUAUUGUAGCACUAGGGAACUUGAUGCAUUGUAUUCAUGACGUUCAUUUCUAUUAUUGCUUUUACUUUUUGUCCAUGGUUGGUUGGAAAAAGGUGAUUAAAACAGAAGGGCAUUAACCACAGAACCCAAAAGACAAGGAAAAACCAGAAUAACAGACUAUUAGAGAAAACAAAUGGCUGAAAUGAAUAAAAAUAGAGAUAAAGAUCCCUUACCUAGCUACAACCAAAGUUCAACGCAUUCACAUUCAUUCACAUAAAAGCUAGUCCUAAGUUAAGGACACAGAAACAUGGCAUGCCUUAAAGGGGUCACCAUCACCAUGACCAUGAGCCAGUGGCCAAAUACUAGGAAAACUGAUGUUGUGUUGAUGGUUAAAGUAAUUCAGGUAAGAUUCAAAUCAGAGACAGCUACUACAAUUCCCCAGUUCUUGAACAAUGGCUUCCAUGCUUGGCCUCUCAAAUUGAGACUCAUGGGAGCAAAGUAACGCCAUUCUUGCUAGUUUAGCUGCCUCAUAUUCAAAGAACUUGCCACGCAAGUUCGGGUCAAUAAAUUCUUGAAACGUGAAGGACUCUGCUGCAAGGCGCAUUGCACUUGUGAUCUUCUGUUUCCCUGUGAUAAUCUGGAAAAGAAGCACUCCAAAUGCGUAAACAUCACUUUUCUCUGUGAACCGGCCGGUUGUGGUGUAUUCUGGAGCCAGGUAUCCCUUUGCUGCACUACCCUUUAGUGCAGAGAAGACAAUGUCAUUGGUGAGAAGCUUGUACAGGCCCGAAUCUGAAAGCAUUGGGUUGUACCGCUGAUCGAUUAGCACUUUCUCAGCUGAGAUGUUUUGGUGAACAAGGGCUGGUUUGUUUGCUUUGUGUGCAUGUAAAUAUGCUAUACCUGGUUAAGAAAACAAGGUUUCUGUUCAGUAUACAUGGAGAUUGGAAACCAUGAGAAUAUGUCACUUCUGAUUGUGUUCAGUAAUUAAAAGAUCACUUCAUCAAAAUGAAUGCAAAUCAAUCACAAUAAUGUUAGAGAAAAUUUAGUCUACAAUUAGGAUACAGGUUUGUAACUAACUAAGCACGCAUUUAUAAAAAGCAUGUAAUAUGUUAUGCAAUAUAAUAUGAUGUUUUGGCAUCUCUUGAAGCAUCUAUAAUAGUAACAAGAAAAGAGAUGCUCUCAGUUAUUCACCAAACACUGCAUGUUCUUAGCAAUAGCAUGCUGUUUGUUGGUGUAUACUUUAUAUCUUAGAAUAGAAAAAAGAUGCUGAUUGUUGAAGUAUCAAACUGUGGGAGAGUAAAUUAUUUUAAUAAAAGGUGUGAUAGAAGAGUAACCUUUAGCAAUCCCUUUCACAAUAGAAAUUCUAGUUGACCAUUCAAGAACUUCUCCAUCACCUUCCUUCACAUCAAGGUAGCGUGUCAGGUUUCCAUUAGGAACAAAAUCAUAAACCAAGAAGCAUUCCCCUCGUCCCCUUGAGCAACAAAAUCCUCUCAACCUCACUAAAUGUUCAUUUCUCAGAGAGGUCAAAAUGUUCAAUCCCUUCAAAAACUCAGCUUCAUCUGAUUUGCAACUAGUUUUACUGAUGCUCUUGACAGCAACAGCAGACCCAUCUCUUAAAACCCCUUUAUAUGUUGCACUAAAGUUGCUCUUCCCCAGCAGAUUCAACUCUGAGAAAUACUGAGUAGCUGACUCCACUUCUUCCAAGUUGAACCUGAAACUCUGGAACAAAUCUUGCUUAUCUCCGUUGAAAUUCCUGCUAUCAGCCAAAGGGUCCCACCCAUUAGAAUACUCAAGGCUAACCAAAGGAGAUCCAUUUUUCCUGUAUAUACUCUUUGCUUGCUCUGUACUCAGUCGGCCUUCAGAGAUAUCAAAAGCACUUCCAAGCUUUUGUUUCUGCCGACGAUACAUAGUGAAGGUCAAAAUACCAAUUGCUGAUAUUGCAAUUGUUGCUAGAACUAUGCCAACUGUAAUAGAUGUGGCUUGUUUGGAUUUUGAUGGAUUUUGGCAAUGAGAUGUAUUGCAAGGCGACUUGACAUUAGCAGUUUCUGGGAUAUCUCUAGUGAUACUACUGCCAACUCCUGCUCCAUAAGGUUCAGGUCGAGUGAGAUUGACAUUACCUGAAGCAGUGCAAGCCUUCAAGGAUGAAAACCCAACUCCACAUAACCCCACAUUGUGUUCAUACACAAAUCCACCCUCUAGUCUCUUUAAAGCUUCAUCAAACCAAGGAAAGCAGAAUGAACUUACUUUACAAAAAAUAUCAAUAAAGAAAUGGACAGAAGCAAUAAAAUAGCAUUAUUAUACCAGUGGGUACAUUCCCAGAGAGAGUAUUGUUGUGAACAUCCAGAACUUGCAGUGAAGGAAGAUUAGCUAGCUUAGUGGGAAUGGAACCAAAGAGACUAUUAGAACUCAAAUCUAGCCUCGUCAACAUUCCCAAAUCACCUAGAAUAGCAGGGAUAGCUCCAGCCAACUGGUUUGACUGAAGAGCAAGAACACUGAGCUUUUUCAAAUCACCAAGCUGUGUAGGUAUACUUCCUGUUAACUGAUUAUAACAAAGCUGCAAAACUGCAGAACAUGUAAAAAAAACAAAUAAGCACACUCCUGAAAUUAAACCACCAAUCAAACAUUAUUUCCACGAAAAAAGCCAAAGCAGGCAGUAAGAAUUCAGUUCUAUGGAACAAAUACUGAUUUAUAAUAGAUUUUUUAUGAACAGUGAUAGAUGCUAGAAUUUUGAAUGCAUUGUAGCAUUACAUAAAUCCUUCAUUUAUCCAGAAAAAAAGGGUUAAGAGAUUUCCAGAAAAAUCAUUAAAUGGAUCUCAGAAACUGGGACAAGAGGUUAACAAUGCAACCCUUUAAUUUUCUAGUUCACACCUACCUCUAGCAAUUAAACCAGUUUACACCAGGUUGUUCAAAAUAGUCUUAAUAGUUACAAAAAGCGCCUUGUAGUCCAUAACCAUAUAGUGCAAAAGCAUUCAAAGCAACCAUUCUUUUUCUUUCACAUGAAUUGACUAUUUUGGAAUAUCACAGUGCAAGAGAACCAACCAUUAGAUGGAGAAAAAAGGAUAAAAAUAUAAAUCACAGAAAAAGAAACUCAAUGGCACAGCAAAUAAACGAAAUAAAGCUCAAAUCUUUCAGUAAAACCCGCAACCACACAACAUUUAAAAGACAUAAAAAGAAAACCCUUUAACAAAGGACCACAAGAAACCAAAUCAAGGUGGGAAAAUACUGAAAGUUUCAAUUUUUACACCAAAAAUGGUGGCAUUAUACCUUGAAGAUUCUCCAUCCUGCCAAUCUCAGGUGGGAUUUCACCAGACAAAUGAUUCACAUUCAGGUACAAGUCACUGAGCUCAGUCAAGUUUGCAACUUCCCUUGGAAUCUCCCCAUACAAAGAAUUGUAAUGCAAGUAGAGUCCUGUCAAGUGCUUAAGUCCAGCAAUGGCUGGUGAAAGCCUCCCAGAGAGACCUUUCCCCUGCAGAGAAACAUUUGCCACCUGACCCAUCUCAUUGCAAGCCACUCCCUCAAAGUAACCACCACAGGCGUUGCCAUCCAAGGUCCAUGAGGACAGAAACUGCCCCUCUGGAUCCAAACUGGAUUUCAGGUCCAUCAGAGCUUUAAGCUCGUCAUUGCCACAUACACAUGUUGGGUUGAAGAGCAAAACCAUGAGGGAGAAGAGGAGUGGAAGGAGAUGCACUGAACAAGCCAUGUUCAGAUGAAAAUGGUUACUGAUUCAACCAAACUCAGUUGUUAUCGUUAUUGUUCUUAGCUCUGGUUUGUUGUUCUGAAACCUAUUUUACUAGAUUCUGUAACAGCAGUGUUUGUGUCUGGUUUUGUGUGUUUUUAGAGGCCAAAGAGAGAAGUGGUGGUGGAAGUGACAAAAGGUGCAGGGAAGUGGACAGGUCAGAAACAAAAAAGGGAACACAAAAUAAUAAAUAGCAAUAACAUCUCAUAAUUUGUUUCUUCUUCUUAAAAUUAAUUCUAAACCAAGAUAGAUUACAUUUAAAUAACUGUGUUAUCACAGAAACUGUGUAAUAGUAUUCAUUAUAAUAUUUUAUCUCAAUUUUCAAAUACCAAAGUUAAUUUUAAUGUAAAAGUGGCUUUAAAUUGUUCAUGUUUUGUGGUGUGUUUGGGAGUGACAUUGUUCUCUGAUAUUGCUGCUGAAUACACUUCUUUGGAAGUGAAAAGAGAGAAUUUUUUUCUUUUGGGGUGGAGAGAAAGUAAGAUAUUGUCACAGUGUGUGCAUUGGCAUCAUCAUUUUUAUUAUGAUUACUAAAAUCAACAAAGAUUGUUUCACCUACCUAAAUAAAAGAGAGUGAUGUAAACUUAAUUAAUUUCUUAAAUUAGCACUCCUAAUAUGCUUCAUGUUAUGAUUUUAUCUCACUUAAUUUAACCUUUGUUUAAAUUGAAGAGUAGAAAUAAGACUGAAAAAAAUGGAAAUUUUGUUUGAAUUAAAAAAUAAAUAAAAAUUUAUAGAUUUUACUCAUUUUUCUUUAAUAUAAGAAAUGAAAACUAGACAUUGAAAAUAAAAAUAAUAUUUGUUGUUAAAAUUUUAACUGAGUUUAUUUCCUUUUGAAAAUAACAGGAAAAAAACUCAAUAUCCAUUCUUUUAAAAAAAAUUGGUUAAAAGUAUUAUUUUAACUUUCUUAUAUAAAAUGUUUAUGAUUAAUUAAUAGAGUUACCUUAACAUUUUCUCACAUAAAAAAUUUAACCAAUUUAACAAAUUGGUAUACACAAAAAUCCAACACUUAAAUUAAGAAAAAGUAAAAAAAAUUGUGGAAAUAUUUUUUUUUCACUUUCUAUUAUUUUUUAAAAAUUUAUACAAUUUAAUUUUCAGAUUUUUUUUAUUCUUUCUUCAUUCUCAACAAUGAUCACAACAUAUUUUUUUCCAUUUUUUCAUCUCCAAACAAUUCCUAAAUUUUACAAGUAUCUAUGAUUUAUCUCUCACUUCAUUUAAUUUUGUUCCUGACACUCUAACUUUAUAAUCUCAUUAUGUUGAGAAGUGACAUACACAGCUUGCAUUGUAUCCAUGAUUAUUUUUUUUCAGGUCCAUUUAUGAGUCGUGAAGAUAUUUAAUUGAUAUUUUUAUUAUUAAUUAUCAAUUAUAUUAUUUCAUUACAACAAUUAAUUUAGUAUUUAAUUGAUGUUUUGUUAAUAAUUAUGACUUUUCAAAAUUGGUCAAACAAGAAUUACUGAGUGAGUUGUUUGCUUCUUACUUGACUUCAAAUAUUACUUUUUUGUUUAAGAAAAAAUCUAAUAAAUAUUUUUUAGCCAUCUUUUAUUAUAAAUAUGUUUCAUCAAGUUUUUCUAAAAUAAAUGUUUAGAACAAAAUGUUUCGAUUAUUUUUUAGUUUAAAAAUCUUAUGGAUAAGCUUGUCUAAAUAUACUAUAGAUAAAAAAAAAUACUUAAGUUUAGGGUGUCUUAAAUAUAUUUUAAAAUAAUUUAAUUAUUGAACAUUUUGAAAAUUUACAUUAUCCAUUUUAAUAUUUUUGUUUCGGUGCAACGUGGCAAUAAUAGAUGAAGAAAAUCAACGGAUGCAAUUAAUUUGUGCGGGUCCCACUCUGAUAAUCGGGUUACGUCUGUCACGUGGGUCGGGUAUACUGUGAGAAACACGCGCGUAAGAUAGCGCGUGGGUAAACCUUCUUGGCGUGGGCACAGAUUCCCUUGUUUAAUCAAGAAUUUUCGAAUUCAAACUUGGCCACAAUCCUCUGUUUCCAGAUCCAUCGUAAGCUCAAAGUCACCUUCCAUGUUAGUCGUUCAAAGUUCUAGUCAACAACAACAGAACUUUAAAACGCAAAUAAUUAUUCUUAAAAACCACAUUUAAUAAUGUAUUAACAAUGUAGAUGAAAAAUUAUGAUUGAAAUUAAAUAAUAUAAUGAAAAUAACUAAUUAACCACAUUUUUAACAUAGAUUAAACGUUGAUAAUAGGAAUAAAUACUUUUAUCAGAUUGAUUUUGGCAUUUUUUUUAUGUAUCGGCAUGGGCGAGACCGACACGUGGACUCCUUGACCGAGACUCACUUGGUUGCCCGAGACCUGGUUUAUCUAACCGAGACUAGGAAAAUUUGGUCAAGUCCUAAGUGUUUUGGCCGAGUCUUGAGAGUCUUGGCCGAAGCGAUCGAGACCUAAGAGACUUAGCCGAAGCCAGUUAAGCUUAGUCGAGACGAGUAGAAUCACCACGGCCGACCGAUCCAUACUACCGUUAACGCUCAAACCAAGGUCAGUGAAGUUAAUCCGUUAUUAAGAAUUAGGUAAUACAACCAUAAGCGAGAUCCACUCCGCUAAUGGGUAAGCCCAUUAGAAUAAUAUAAAUAGCACACAUCCUAAGAAGAAAGAUACGUCAUUUAUUACUGUUCACCUACUAGAGUACUGAUCACCCGCUUUACUGACUUGAGCGUCGAAGUGUCUUCGCAGGUACCCCACCAUCUGAUGUUCAUCCAAGAUCGAGUGACGAAGAAGAAGUAGGAGGACGAGAAGAACCUCAGUUCAUCAUCCAACAACCUGACUAACCGAAGGAAGGAGAAGAAGAGUUCAAUAGUUUUAUAGAUUGAUUAGGAAAAUUUUAAUUAGCUAUUUUAUAAUUAGUCUCUAAAUUCUAAAAAUAUUAUAUAUAAUUAGUGUGUGAUUUUAGAAAAAAGUUGAUAGCUGGAAAAUGAAAAGAGGUUUAAUAUUUUAAAGGCAUGAAAACCUGAAAAGUGCGUUUUGUGAAAGCACUUUUUCUCUGCUUUUUUGGUCUCUUCAUUUGUGCUGUUUCAGAGGUUGCUGACACCCCUUCCCACUCUUUUGUUUCCACACUUUCUUCUCUCUCAUUCACUUUCACAUCACAAACAAAAAAUCUUCAUCACAUUUUUUUAUCAACUUGUAAUUUUCUAUUACCACCUCUCACCAUGUUCUUCAAAAUAUUGGACUAUUAGAAUGGAAGAUUCCUUUAUUUCAAUCUUUAAAUUGUUUCCAUUUUGUCCCAAUGUUAAUAUAAGUUCAAAUAUCCAUCAACCUUUUGUUUUCAUCCAUUGCCCAAUAGGCAUGGCCUCAAAUAAUUGACCAUACUAUAGAUACUUCUAAGCAACUAACAAAUAAAAUAAAAUGUAUUUUUCCUAAAAAAUUAAAAAUAUAAAAAAUUAUUAAAUAAAAAUUAACUUUAAAAAUAAAAAUAAUGUGUUAUAUUGACUAAAUUAGAAAUUAUUUUAUAAACUAAAAUAUUAUUAGUAUCUAAAUUAAUUUAUAUUAUUAACACUACAAGAAAAUCAUGAAAUAGAAACCAAUUUUAGAGACAAAAAUAAUUAGUUGCUAUAGUAACUAAAUUAGAAACCAUUUUUAAAACUAAAAAAACUUUUGGUUUCUACAUUAGUUUCUAUUAUUGUCAAAUGUUUUCUAAAUUGGUACUUAAUUAGUUACCAAGGUUUUUGCUACCAAAUUUAGAAUUUAAAUAAUUGGUAGUUAAAACUUUGAUAGCUAAUUAGAUACCAAUUUAGAAACUAUUUUACAAUAAUAGAAACUAAUUUAGAAAUCGAAUUUUUUUUAGUUUCUAAAAUGAUUUCUAAAUUAAUCACUAUAACAACUAAUUAUUUUUAUCUCUAAAAUUGAUUUUUAUUUCAUGAUUUUUUUAUAGUGUGAAAAAUAUUUUCUAAAUAAUUAACUAUCAAGGUUUCAACUACCAACUUUAAAAAUAUAAAUAUUUGGUAGCUAAAAUUUGGUAGCUAAUUAGAUAUUAAUUUAUAAAUUGUUUAUUCAAUAAUAAACAUAUAAACCAAUUUUAAUCUCUAAUAUAGUAUCUAAUUUAGUCAAUAUAAUAAUUAAUUAUUUAAAAUUAUUUUUUAUUUAAUAAUUUUCUAGUAGUUUAUGUUUAUAUUAUUUCAUUGUAAAAACACAUUUUUAUUUGGUUAAUGUGAUCUUAAUCAUGUAGUAGAAGAAGAGGAACAAUAAUCCAACUAACAUUUGGUUAAGAGAAAGAAUAAUAUGGAAAGAUUGUAGGAAAAGAAAGAUAAAGUGAUUAAAUGUGAUUAGCAUUAGUUUAUUGACAAAUGAUGUUGGUGUACCUCUCUACUUUGUCCUUGUGUUGAAUAGAUUCCCUCACAAAGAUUAGGUUUGAAGGAUUAACCUUUUUGGAGAUUGGAGCACAAUGUGAAAUAACCAUGUGUUUUGUUUUUGUGUCUUGGUUAACUAAACAUAAAACUAAAUUAAAAGGUUCAUAAUUAUUAAUUAAUUAGUCACCCAAAAAAAUAGGUUUUGGCACAAUAGAUAAAUAUUGCAUGAUGCUUCUUUUGAGGCCUUGGAUUUGCUAUAGCAUGGAAUCCUAGACUUGCCCUAUCUAAAUAUAUAUUAUUAAUAAUUCAAAUUCAAUUAUAAAUAAAAAAGAAUUCUUUUAUUAAAAUAAAUGUCUUUAAUAAGUUGCACUGAUAUUGAUAACAUUGGCUUAUUAUGUCAAUUAUACGUCUAUGUUAAUGUAAUACUCUAUUAUAUUAUCUUGAGUAUGGUUGCCAAAAUGUAAUAUAACUACUAUUUUUUUUUUAUCUCUAGGCAUUAAUUUUUUAAAAUGUAAUAAAACUUUUUUUCUUAUGUAAAAAUGCAUUUUGAAUAUUAAAUCAUAAAUUUAGAAAGCAAGUAAAAAAAAAGAAAUUAAAUCAAAUUGCUGAAAAACUUGAAAAUUGAUACUUCGUGUUUUUUAGAGUAAACCAUACUCCUCUGAUAUUCUUUAAGAAAAAAUAAAUUUUAUAUUUAAUAAAAAUAUUAGAUAAAAUUGUAAUACAUAUUACACUUAAAAUACUAAAAAAAACAACUAAUUUAAAAAAAAAAACAACUAAUUUAAAAAAAUAAUAAUUAUAAUAUUUAUUAAGUUAAAUAUUAUUUUAAAAUUAAAAAAUUAUUGAUAUCUAAAAUAGUUUAUAUUAUUAAUAUAAAUUUAUAAAUUUAUUUUUAAAUUUGUAUUUAAGAUUAUUUACUAAAAUUUUAGCUACUAAAAUUUAUUAAUCACUAAUUUAUAAUUAAAGAUUAAUUUUAAAAUAUAAAAUAAUUAGUAGCUAAAAUCUUAGUAGUUUAUAUUAAAUAAAAUUUAAAAACUAUUUUAUAAAUUUUUAUUAAUAAUAAAAAAUAUUUUAAAUAUUAAUAUAUUUUUAAUUUAUAAAAUAGUAUUUAUCUUAAUCAGUUAUUAUUAUUAUUAUUUUUUAAAUUAAUUGAUAUUUAAUGUUUUUUUAAGUAAAAGAAGACAGUGUGUUUUUAAAAUAGAAAUAAUAAUAUUAAAUACACACAGAUAUUAAACAUAAAAAAGAAAGAAAGUGUAAUUUAAUUAUUUUCAAACAACUUAAACACGAAUUUUAAUUUGAAACCACUUGAAUAGUCAAAUUUAAUAAGAACAAAUACUCAACCUAUGUCCAUUUUUUUUCAUUAAUUUUAUGUAUCUUUCAUCAUAUCUUCUUCUUAUCUUUCACUUCCUUUCUAUUACAAACAUCAUUUUCCUUUUUCUUCCUCAAUUGAUCAAAAAAAUAAGAUAGAUGUUUAUCAUUAUUAAUUCAAGUAUUGUUUUCUCAUGGAAAUUAAAUUUCAAUUAGUGACUUUCACACUAUAAUAAUAAAAAAUUUAACCGAGAUAUAUUUAACGGUUUCGACAAUUUUAAUUUCUCCGCAGUUUGAUUUUUUUUUAUAAGAUUUAACAUGGUUAACGGAUUAUCGACAAUUUUAACUAUCCCCUAAAAUAAUAAUUACUUUUUGAAAAAUGUACAUUCAAUUAUACCAUUCUUAGAAUAUUAUUGGUCACUAAGGUUUUAAUAUGACAUUCAAAGAGUUUCAUCCAUAUUAUUAGUAACCCUUAUCCUUUUUCGAUCUCAUUAACUCUUGCGCAUAAUACUUCUCUAUCAUUCUUUCUCUUCUCUUUUCAAUUCUCAUUUACUUUUACUUUUUAGGACUAUACUCCAAAUAAUUUAUACUUUUUUAAUUAGUCUCUUUAGAAAAAUUGCUUUACAAGGUUAAGACUAUUUAUGCAACAUUAUUUUUUGUCAUUUAUAUUAUUUGUAGUAAAUAAAGUUUUAGAAACAUAAAACUACUUUUAGAAAAUAACUUUAAUAUAUUAUUUUAUUAAUUUAAAAGAUAAAAAAAUAAAGAAAUAAAAUAAACUAGUAUUUUUCAUAACCAAAUUAACAUAUGUUACUACCAUAACACUAAGUAUUUCUUUUCUUUAUUUUUGUCUUCAAUUUCAAUUUUUGUCUUAGAUUUAUCUGAAAUGAUACUCCAACACUUAAAUCAUUAUUCAGAUAAAAGUAAAAAAAUAUUAUAAAUAAUAAUCAAUACAUCUUAUCUUAUAACAUGUAUUUAUUUAAAUUACAUACGAUAAACUUUUAUACAUAAAAAUAAUUAAGAUAUCCCAUAUAAACCUAAACAACUCUUUAAUCAUAAUUUUAUGAUUAUUUUACAUCUUAUCAUUAUUAAUUACAUAAUUAUAUUAUAAUCUUAAAUACUAAUUUAGAGAGUUUGUAUGAGAUACCGGAAUAACAACACAAACUUUUACCAUAUUGGAGUAUUAAUAACUUUUAGAUAGUAUUUAACAUGAUUUUUGGCAUAACACAAUUAGAUUCUAUAAUUUUUUUAAAAUUAACCUAGGAGACAGCAUAACAAUUAAUGGUGGUGAGAACAAUUAUCAUAAUUAACAAAACUUGGAUAUGAUUAUACUUUGAAUUCAUGUGACUAAAAAUUAUUAGCCGUCAUUCUCUCAUUGAUGUUCAUUGAUGUUGGGUAGUAAUGGAGCAACUACCAACAUAGAAGGGAAGGAAUAAACAUGGAAAUUAAUUAUCAUGCUUUCACACAUUCUUCACAUCUUCUAUUUAUUUAUUUUUGUCCAUCAAUGUGCAUUAUUGAAAGGUAAUUUUGCAUCACUAUAACAUAUAUAGUGACCUCUCAAUUCUCUUGUAUUGAACAUGUUUUAUUUGGGUUAAAUUUUUCAAGAUUUUUUGUAAUUUUAUUUUCUACAUGUUCUGGUAUGCCAAUGUAGUCUCACAUUACUUAGGACUUGAGGUCAAUGGCAGUUUAAAUACACUUUCCUCCCUUCACCUUCGGAAACGUCUUUUAAGGACAAAAUUGUGACGGAACACCAACUUCUAAAACGGACAAUACCUCAGAUGCGGUGAUUGACCCUAGCGAUGUUAUUUCUCAGACUUGAGAUCAUAACACUAAUUUUAAAAAAAAACUAUUGUAGAUCAAAUUAUCAACUUUUCAUGUACUUUUAUUUCUUUUAAUUUCAGUGGACUAAACCCUAUCAGACUUGAGAUCAUAACACUAAUUUUAAAAAAAAACUAUUGUAGAUCAAAUUAUCAACUUUUCAUGUACUUUUAUUUCUUUUAAUUUCAGUGGACUAAACCCUAUAUCUAAUAACAUAUUCAAUUAAGGCACCAUAAAAAGUAUUUUAUUUAAUUAAAUAUAAAAACAAAUGUACAAAAAAAACCCACUCUGGGGUUAAACCAUGAUUUUUUUAAAUAUGGAAACUACAAUAGUUAAAAGAUGAAAAAGAAAAAGGGGGAAAGUGAUAGAUAAAAAUUGAAAGGUACAAAAAUUAUAAUUUUUUAUUUUAUUUUUUAAAUUGCAUGAUGAUGUAGAGUUGUCUCAAUUGGAGAAACUUUGUUGGAAGUUUUCUUUUGUCUAGUAAGAGAAUUGAAGUGGGUUUGCAUGUGUGGUUUGUUUUGUGCAUGGCACUUAGAAAAAUGGAGUCUUUAAGAAAUGGUAUUGGUCAACAUCAACAUCAAGAGCAUCUCUUUUUGAUAAGAUAUGCAGAAAGCUUAGGCUGUCUUAUACAUUACAUUACAAGAAAAAAAAAGUGAAAAAGAAAAAUACAAAACCAAAUAAAUAAAUAAAAAAAAACCAAGAUUCCUAGCAUAAAGCUGGAAAUGAUGACAAUGGACCCAAGUAUCCAACUUAAGUAAAAAAUAUUAAUUAGGGUUCCCUUUUAUCCCUUUCCUUAGAAGGUUAACUAAUUAAUAAAUACCAUGCUAAAAAAAGUUCUUAUUAUAUUAAUUUAUUAUGUAAGCCCAUGCUAGGUUAAACCAUUAAAAAAACUUUAAAUUUUUUAAAUGAAAAAUGAAAAGCAGCUUUAAAAGGCAAUGUUCUAUUGUCUCUCACUAACUCCUAUGCAUUAUUAACUACAUGAAAAAUAGGAAUAAAAAAAGUGAGAAUUGAUUAUUUUAGGAGAUACCACUCUCAACUUAGCUAAGCAUUGUUCAAUGACGAACAUGGUUUGUGUCUUUAGAUGAACUUGUUUUAAGGAAAUGAUGGUUUAUUGUGUUAGAAUAUCAAAAGAAUUGGUUUAGAGAUUGUGAUAAAAUACCAAAAAUAUAUAUAUAUAUAUAUAUAUAUAUAUAUAUAAAAAAGUUAAAAUUAAUUACAAUCUCAAUCAUAUAAUUUUUAAUUAAGAAUUAAAAGUAUAAUAAUCAUGGUUUUUAAAAAAUAAUUAAGAAUUAAAAGUAACACAGAAAUAAGUCAGCUUCUGCAAAUAAUCAAUCUUAUGUGGGAUAGUUUAAAUGUUACCUCCUUUUUUUUAGCUAUAAACUUGUUUUGGAAUUUUUUUUUUCCAAAAUAUAAAAAAUGAAAAGGUGUAAAGAGAACAAGAACGAAAAAAAGAGUGAAAUAUUAUAAUCAGUUCCAAAUAGCAACUUAUUUGUGGCAGUUUCUUCUUGCACCCCUACAUUUUUCUUCCUGCACCCCCACAAGGUUGCACAAAGACAAAACUGUCCCUAUAAAAAACUGUAUAUUUAUUUUUUUUAGUAUCCCAGAUUAUGAAAUUCGGUAAAUUUUUGUAUUGGCGCUUCCGGUAAAAUUUCAGAUUGGCGCAUCCGAUAAUCUUUCAGAUUGGUGCUUCCGGUAGUACAUGAAUGACAGUGUUAAUUCAAAGUAAAAAAAUGUAAAACAUCCAUAAUUGAAAAAACCAUUCUGGAUCUGCCAAUCCAUAAUUCAAAAUAUGCAUUCUGGAUUCAGAAAUCAAUAAGUGAAAAAAAUCAUUCUGGAUCCACCAAUCCAUAAUAGAAAUUAGGCUUCCGGAUUCAGUAAUCCGAAAAUCAACAAUUUAUGCAAACUUUGCUUCUGGAACACCCCCUCAUCCGGAAAGCAACAUGAUUCACUUAAUCCGUAGCACACUCCCAAAUCCCAAAUUCAAAUAACAGGUGAAGGUUAGUUUUGAAAUUUACAAAAUUGUGGGGUGUAGAAAGAAAAAUGUAGGGGUGCAGGAAGAAACUUCCCUUAUGUGUUAGAGGCAAGCCUUGUCUAUAGAAGGCCCAAGUUGAAAACACAGAAGGGUGUUUCUUGCUAUAUUGCUAUUGGCACCCCUUUAUUACUAUUUAAAAUCUCCAUCUCUUUGAUUUUAUUUGUUUGAUAAAAAUAUUUACAGAAAGAAGUUUUUACUGUGUUGUUUUUUUUUAAGAAAAUUUAAUAUAACAUAAAUAAGUUUUCUUCUGUAUUAUUUUUUCAAAAAAAAUAACACAAUGGCCAGUGUUAACAUAAUGAAAAUAAGUUUCCGUUGUGUUAUGUUUUUUUUAAAAAAAAAAUUAACUCAAUGGUUCUGUUGUGCUAAACCAAUGCUUUUUCUGAAAGAGAAUUGAAAAAAUUAACACAAAAUUUUGUUGCUAUAAUGGUAUGUUUAACAAAAGGAAUAGAUAUCGAAAACUUGCUUCUAUGGGAUUGAUUUUUUCAAAAGAAAUUUAACAUGUUGAAAAAAAAUUUCUUGUUAUGUUUUUUUAAAUACCAUUCCACUAAGAGUUACACUAUUACUAAUGAAUAUAAGAUAAAUUAAUAUAAUGUACUAUUUAUAUUAUCUUUUUAUAAAUCUUUCAAAAAAAAAAAUAUCUCUUCACAAUAAUCAUAUCAUACUCAAAGAAAAUGAAAAUAAAUAAAACAUAAACAUAAAAUCAUUUUCUAUCUCGUCAUUUUAUCUAUGCUCAGAUUAUUUUUUCGCAAUAUCAUUUUUUUCCUAUUUAACACAUGAUCAUCAUAGUUGAUAAACAAUAUACAAACGCACAAAACAAAGUAAGCUAAUAUUUUUCUUUAAAUCUCACAUACAUGCAUAUAUUGAAACCAUAUAAAUAUAUUUAUACAUAUAUAAUUUAUUCACAUCUCAUCCAUAUACUUUCAUGGAUACAUAAUCAAUUCAUUCAUUAAAUAUAUAUCAUAAUCAAAUAUUUAACUCUCAGUCCAUUGAUUACCUUUCAUGUCAUAAGUUUCUGAAAUCAACAUUACAAACACUUGAAUCUACUAUUAGAAGACAACUUGUUGAAUUAGACUCAUAUAUAUGCACAAGUGAUAUUAACUUCACUAAGUGAUAUCAUUCAUCCUAUUAUUAUAAUAUUCAAGCAUAAUAUGUUGUUAAAGUACAACAAUAUAGUGUAAUAUACAUAUAUUUUAACAUUUAGAAACAUGUUUUUCAAACUUUAGAAAACAAUAUAUCGCUUGACUUUUACUUUGUUUGCCCAACAAAUUAAGCAUUAUAUUAUUAUUCACUUCUCACUCAACCAAAAGUGUCAACUUGCCCAACAAAUUUUGGUUGCCCAACGAAAACUUUGCUUUCUCAACAAUCAAAGUAUUCACUCAAACUAUACAAUUUUGUAUCUCAAUCACUUUCAACUCUUUAAUAUCUCAAGCAUACCAUACAUAUUUAGCUAAUUUUUUUCUACAAGAAACAUUUAAUCAUUUUAUAUAACAUUCAUUUCCAAAUUCAAAUAAUUAAAAUAUAUUAAAACAACACAAAAUACACGUGUAAAAAUCAAAAUAUUAUAACCACGUCACUUUCACAUGUAGAUCAUUUACCCCCAAGUUUCCCUACAUGUCAAGACUUGUUUAUUGAGUCUUAAACUUCUAACCUUUUUAUCCUUAUAGGAAAGAUAAAACUUAUAAAAAAAAAACUCUAUUCAACACUUUUAAAUACACCUACACUUCUAGAUUGACAGAAAUCUACCGUUUGUUCCAUAAACAACACUUGCACAACACAAAAACCCUAAACAUGCAAAUUUUUCCAAAAAUCAACUCAAUAAACGGGCAAAAAGAAAUUUACUCAAAAAUAAUUUAUGAUCGGAGAUAAAUGUGUUACUCUUCAUCAAGAUUUCUAUGGUGAACUCUGAUCUAAGAAAAAAUAAACAAAUCUUUCAAAAUUCCAAAAAAAAAAAAGAAAGAAGAAAAAUGUUUUAAAUAGAUAAUGAUUUUUGUGAAAUAAAGUUUGAAUAAUAAUUUAUUUUUUUUUAUAAAUUUUUUUAGCUGAAAUAAUAAAGUAUUCUUAUUUCAUCUUCAUUAAACCACUCCUCCUCUUAAACCCAUUAACUAGUCAUCACAUUUUUAUUUCAAUAAAGUAAUACAAAGAAAAAAUGUUUCAUUUUUUUUCAAAAAGAUAAGUUACUUAUUCAAUAAAAACAUGUUUACGUCGUUAGUGUUUUUAACUAAAUGCCAAAAGUUUGACUUUUCACUUUGAUUGGGAGUUUGAAUAGUAACUUGGGGUUGCCAAUGGCAGGGGUUGUUUCUUAGGUGCAGUGCCUUGCUCUGGAGUGGGCUUUCGAUCUGGGCUGCAGGGCCUUAUUUUUGGUCUGCAAACACUUCCAAAAGAAAAAAAAACUCAAUAACAAAUUAACAAUUUGAACCGAAAGAAAAGUCAACAAAAAAUAAUUACUCUAAAUUGAGUUUGUCUUAUUUUAAGUAGGCAAUUGCUUUCUGCACCCGAUCAAUUGUGACUGGCACCCGACAUAUUUUUUAAAAUCCUACUAUGUCUUUGUCUUCUUCACUUUUGAAAACAUUGAAUGGUGAGGAAGAGGAAGUUCAUGGAUGUUUGAAGCUUUGCUUUGAGCUGCAAAAGAGGAGGUUGUGCUUCGUUCAUUGUUGCUAAGUUGAGUGUAAGCUUCGUUUGCCAAGUUAAUGAGGUAAGUAAUCCAUUUUCGUUCGUUUCUGGUUUUUGUUCGAGGUCAGCUGGUCCCGAAUAUCAGAAUCCGGAAUUCUGUUUUUUUGCUUAUGGAUAUUAAUAUCUGGAAGUCAAAAUUUUCAAUACGGAUAUUAAUAUCCGGAACUGUGGAUCGUUGCUUCUAGACGCUGAUAUCCGUAGUUCAUCAUUGCCUUACGGAUGUACAUAUCUGGAACUAGUUUAUGCAAUCCGGAUAUAUAUAUCCGGAAGCUAACUGUUGAUAUUUUUUUGGUUAUGGAUUUAUUUAUCCGGAAGCUAAGUGUUCAUUUUUUUCAACAGCCGAAUGGAUACAACAGAGUCAUACAUGGGAGUUUUAGGGGAGAUUGAUAGGUGGGAUGGAUUAGAUGAUGUUGAUCUGGAGUAGUCAAUAAGUUAUAACGCAUUAGAUAAUGAACAAAGGGCACAUGAAUGUAAUGAGGCCAAAUGAGGUAUGGUCAAUGUUGGGUUGUGAAUGUUUUUUUUAUGAAUUAUUUUUAAAUUUGACAUAUGUUAUUGUAGGUAUUUCGUGAUCGAGAUGAGCUGUUAGAGUGGGCGAGAAGUGUUGGCUAUAAUUAUGGGUUUGUUAUUGUUAUAUUAAGGUCAGAUACAUGGACGAGCCAACGAGGAAGGAUGACAUAUGUAUUGUUAGGUUAUGAGAGAGGAGGUAAAUACAAACGGUAUAAAAAAGAAGUAGAUGUCAGUCGAACUGGAAGUAGGAAGUGUGAGUGUCCUUUCAGAUUGCGAGGCAAACCAGUCAAAGGUGGUCAAGGGUGGAUGGUUGAAUUAAUUUGUGGUUCUCACAAUCAUGACUUGGCAGAGACAAUGGUGGGUCAUCCAUAUGCUGGAAGGUUAAGUAUAGAGGAAAAGGUUAUGGUUGAGGAUAUGACUAAAACUUCUGUGAAGCCAAGAAAUAUUUUACUAACCAUGAAAGAGAGAAAUGAGAAGAAUGUGACAACAAUUAAGCAGGUUUAUAAUGCAAUCACUGUUCACCGAAGAUCACAACGAGGUCACAGAACAGAAAUGCAACAACUGAUGUUGUUACUAUAGCGAGACAGGUACGUGCAUUGGUGUAGGUGUGACGAGGUCUCUAAUAUUGUGCAAGAUAUAUUUUGGACACACCCAGAUUCAGUAAAAUUGGUGAACUCAUUUAAUAUUGUCAUAUUAAUAGAUAGUACGUACAAGACGAACAAGUAUAGGAUGCCGUUACUUGAGGUUGUUGGGAUUACGUCUACAUGUUUGAUUUUCUCCGUUGCAUUUUGUUUACUAGCAGCAGAAAAGGAAAAUAAUUUUUUUUGGGCCCUUGACAGACUUAAAGGGUUGUUUUUAAGAGUUGAUUCAUGCCCUAGGGUGGUGGUAUGUGAUAGAGAUGUUGCCUUAAUGAAUGCAAUUAGAAUGGUGUUUCCUGAAGCUUAUAAUUUGCUCUGUCAGUUUCACAUUGAUAAAAAUGUGAAAGCAAAAUGUAAAAUGUUGGUGCAUCCAAGAGAGGCAUGGGAUCAAGCAAUGGAAGUGUGGGGAUUUGUUGUGGAUUGUGAUACAAAAAUUUAUUUUUCAUUACUUACCAAACCAUUCCAUAACUGUUUGGCUACAUGAUGUUCAUAAUUAACAAGUAAGGACUUAUCCAAUGGUCCUCCUGGAUAGCCUUCAUCAUCAACUUCAACUUCUUCUUGUUCAAUAUAAUCUUCAAACUGUUCAUUUGGAAUUGAAGUACUAGGCCCACCCCGUUUUCUUCUAACCGAUGCAGUUGGACACACACGAUCCAAAUUAGAACUUCCUCCACCUCUAGUCUGCACCAUCUUACAUUUCAUAAAAGUAACAUUCAAUCCAAUAUAUAUAAAAAAAUUAUAACACAUAUAGUCUAAAACAGUUGUGAAAAAUUUCACACUAAUACGGAUAUUAAUAUCCGUAGAACAACAACAACAUUCCGGAUAAAAAUAUCCACAAGUCAAAUGUAUCUUAUGGAUAAAAAUAUCCGGAACCCAUUAUUGAAUUACGAACAAAAAUAUCCGGAAUUUAUUAUUGAACUACGGACAAAAAUAUCCGCAAGCCACUAUUCAAGUGCGGACAAAAAUAUCUGGAAGCCAAUAUUCAAGUGCAGAUAAAAUAAUCCAGAAGCAACUGGUGAAGUGCGGAUAUAAAUAUCCAGAAGCCAAUAUUGAUCUGCGGAUAAAAUUAUCCAGAAGUCACUAUUCUAUGGAUAAAAAACAGCGAUGAAGGGUACCUUGACUUCUUCGACGAUGAAGCUCACUCACGGUGAAGCAAACGAACACUACGAAGGUGGCUGACGGUGUUGAACGGUGGCUGACGGUGUCUCCCUGCAACUUCACGGUAACGACCCUAUUUGUUGGGUGCUUACAUUGGGUGCAGAUCACAAUUCAUGUGUUUCUUAAUUUCAUUAAGGGUAAUAUGAUCUUUUCAUAAAUCCGAUUAGGUGCCAGUCAAAAAGCAUCGGGUGCAGGAAGAAUCUGCCUUUUAAGUAUAUCAUAAUUUUGGCUCACUGAACCAAUAAAUAAACUCAUGGGUUUGAACUUUCCAUGUCUUGCAUGCACUAAAGUAUGCUUGUUAAAUUUUUUUUUAGAAAAAAAAAAUUUUAUACAACCGUAUUUAAAGGAUAAUCUUUUUUUCGAUGGUUCAUAACUGUGAAUAAGGUCAUUUGGUAUUAUUUAUUUUGCUAUUUUUAUUUAAUUUCUUUUAAUAUUUAUAGACGGUCUAGAUUAUCUUACAAAAUUUAUAUCCUCUAUUUGCGACUUAUAUACUCACUUAAAAUUUAAAAUUUAUUGUACAACUCAAAUUUGAAAAGUGUAAAACAGUGAAAGAAAAUGGAGCAAAUAAAUCAACAAAAUUGGAUUGGGAUGAAAGAAUUUUUGUAUGUUAAAUGACUUCGGAGAAGACAACAAGAUUGGAUUGAGACUUGAACAAUUUAUAUAUUUAUGUUAACUAUUUUUUUUUAUGUUUUGUUUAUUUUUGUUUAUUAUGUUUAGUUUUUGAUGUUUAUUUCUUUUAUAUUCACACUUUUAUAUUGAUAUAUUAAUAUACAUUCUAUUUUUACUUUGUAAUUUAUACUAUAUAUGCUAAUUAAAUUUAGAAACAUCACUUUCUCACCUUGUAUAUAUAAAAGUUCAGUUAAACUAGUUAUCUUUCUUUAUAUAAAUUAAAAAUUAAUAUAUUUUUAGCAAAUAUCUCAAAUAUGUAAUUUAAAAAUAAUUAGUUUUUAAAUUUAAUAAAUAAGUAACAGUGGAGAGUUGGGUUAAAAAACUAGUAAAUUAGCAAUUUGAACCGAAAGAAAAGGCAACAAAAAAUAGUUACUCUAAAUUUUGGCUCUCUAAACCAAUAAAUAAGCUCAUGGGUUUGAACUUUGCAUGUCUUGCAUGCACUAAGUAUACUUGUUAAACUUUUUUUUAGAAAAAAAAUGUUUUUUAAUAAAAUAAUCACUUAUCAUGUUUGGAUAAACUUAUUUAAAAAAAAAACAGUUUUCUGUUUUUUUCAGAAAAAGUUAUUUCUCAUAAAAAAAUGUUUUUUUAAUAAAUAAUCACUUAAAAUGUUUGGAUAAAUUUAUUUAAAAAAGAUCAGAAACAGUUCUGUUUAUUUUUGAAAUAGUUAUUUCUCAUUAAAAAUAUAUACGGUAGAAGAGAACCUUUUAGUUAAAAACUAUAUUUUUUUACCCUAAACAAACAAAUAUCAAUAUUUACUAAGAAUCACUUAAAAAAAGUUACUUUUUUAACAAUAUUUUUUUUAACAAAAAUCAACCUGAUUCUGCUUCAAGUAUCCACCAUGAUUUUGCUUCCUAAUAUCACCGAUUUAUGGGUUGAAGGAUGAGACUGAAUUAAUAAUUACACAUGAAAAAUCAUUUCUCAUGUCAUGAUUAGCUUACAUCAGAUUCUUGAGAGUAUACUAGCUGAAACAUGUCUCUGCAACUAUUUAUUGGCAAGAAACUGUAGUAUUUAUUGUGAAUUUAACUUAUCGUUAAGUUAAUGAUUUUUACCAUAUAAUUUCCUUGUAUAAUUUAUUUUUUUUGCUUUUGUUGUGAUUAUUAUAUUUUUGUCAAAUGAUGUCUGUAUCAGAACUAACUUAAGAUAUACAUGACUGAUCUACAACCUUUGAAUACCAACAUUGACUGAUAUGUUUCUAUGAUUUAGUCCAAAAUAUUAGAAAAAUUAUACAGUGUUCCUUCAAAAGUCCCAGUGAACAAUGGAUUAUCUUGGCAUUCAAGCAGAGAACCUCAUUGGCUAUGCCUCAUUUGAAAUAACUCAAGCACUAUAAAUUAUAAGUUUGAAAUUAAGAAUUUGUUUCUAGUUAGUGUUUUGUGGAAUGAUUUUAUUUAAUUAGACAAAGAAAAAUUGGAAGAAAAUCAUUUUUGUAAAGUUCAGAUUGAGGGCAGGCUCUACAAAUGAUGAGUAAGUUGAGUUCCAAGGAACAAAGCAAGAUGCCUUAAAAUAUCUCAGUGAUAUGUAUUGUACAUUAAGAUUGGGGGAAAACAUGAAGAUGAGUGAUUUAGAGAGUUGGAGUUCUCUCAGCUGUUCCAGCAAUGACUGUGAGCAAGUUGUUGCCAAAUGGGUCACUGAGAUGCUUUGCAAGGUUCUCAACAGGACCUUCUCCAGUGACAUAGGCUUGGAUGAAGAAACCAAGCAUGGAAAACAUAGCAAGUCUACCAUUCUUGAUUUCCUUCACCUUUAGCAGUGCAGCUUGAUCUGGAUCGUUUGCAAGCCCCAAUGGAUCAAAUGGACCACCUGGAUGAAGUUUGUCUUCGAAAUUCUGCUCAAAAUAGGUCACAAUUUGGUGAAUCAAAUGAUUAAGCACUGUCUUUGGGAGACUGUUCAUGCUCCACAAACUUGAUUUUGAAAGUGUUGAUUGUGAUUGUGGAAAAAAGUUAUGUAGUUUGUUUCCUAUGAUCAAGGUUGUUAAAAGACAUUCAUGUAACUGUGAAAAUAUGUAGCUUGGUGUUGGGAUGAGAAUUUUAUACUAAACUUUACUUCAAACUUGCUUUAGAGAUGAAGUUUCUAAACAUAACUCUGCUUCAAACUCAAUUUCACAUAAAAUCAAUAUCAUUGAAAAUUAAGUUUGCAAACAUAUAUCCAAGCCCACACUUCAAAAAGUUUUGUUACAAUUUUAUGAACAUAGUGCUUAUGUGCAUUGCUAAUUCAAAUAGUUCGCAAAAAUAACAGUAAUAAGAUAGUUCAGUUGACUAAAUAGUAACCUUCUUGUUGUAAUAAUCCUUAUGUUACAAACAAAGAUUAAGAAAAAAUGCAAUGACAAAUACUGCAGUAAAUAUUCAGAUUGAGAAAUCUACAUACCAGGCCAUUAGUAAUUCUGUAGUACUCUGCACCUCCCACAAGAACUACCUCAGCAACGACAGCCAGAAUAAGAUUGAUGGGAAUGGGUUUCCCAAAGUAGUUCAACGUACCCCCAUCAAGAAGCAGAGCUCCAGUCUGCACCAAUUCCAUAAAGAAUAUUGAUUUUGGCUUAGUGUAAGCAAUAUAUGCAAUCACAAAAAGAUUGGUAAUAGCUAAAUUGAAAGGUAGAGAAUAACUCUAGUGAAAAAAGAGAGUAAAUUAUUAGCACAAUUGUCAGGAUUUAAAGGCAUGGUUAAAAAUGAGCACUAAAAUUGAAUGAGAUGGGUAAAACACAAGGGAAAAGAACAUUUUUUUUCAAGUCUAUGUUAAAUUUACACCAGAAUUGUCAUUUACACAAAAUGGAAUUAAACUUUUGAACUCGAGUUUCAAAAUUUGGUUUGAACAGGAGUCUACUAGAGUUAUUUUGCACAAAGAAGAGAAACUGAUAGAGUCAUGCAAUAGUACUUGUAAGGUCUAUUAAAUUCCAUUUGUUUUGUCAUAAAAAACAAUGUAUUAUUGAACUUGAAAUAGUGACAGUUGCUAUAGAGCUUGCAAACCUUGAACCAAACAGCCUCAGGACCACAGUUUGCUCCGUAUUUGUUGAAGGCCUCAGGAAUGAUGAAUCCAGCAGCACCAAGCAUUGCCCAUCUGGCGUGAAUCAACUCAAAUGCCUGAUAUCUGCAUCAACCUCCCCAACAUCACAACACAAGUAAUGUAACAACACAUAAACAGACAUCUAAAUUGUGAGUGUUAUGCAUACUUGGCAAAGUCCUCUGGCUUCUUGCCGAGACCAAAGGGGUCAUAACCAUAACUGCAUGGACACACAUUACCAAAUUAAAACCAAAAAAAUUCACAAAACGGCUUGCAUGUCAACGUGAAUUAAGUAGACUAGAAGGGAGGAGAAGGCACAUACUCUCCGGGGACUUCUCCAUUCAAGUACUCCGGGACCUCAGAUCGGUCCAAGAGACCCUCUGGCAAGAAGAUCCUUCUGUCAGGACCUGGCAACGAAUGGAACAAAAAAAGUUUAUCAAACUAAGAAGCUAUUUGCUAUGGAUGUGAAACCAAACGCACUAUUAGUUAUCCUUCUUCAGUUACACCGUCCAUUUAACACAGGUUGAAGCAACACAAGUUAGGCAACUUGAGGACACAAGCAACAUAACUGAAAGAUGAAACACACAUAACUAGAGGACUUACCAUACCACUUGGCAAGCUCAUCAUUGGCAGGAGAGACAGGAGCAGCUUUUUUUGGUGCUGCCUUCUUUUUGGAGAAAAGAGCCACAGUCUUGAAGGAGGCAGGGCUAGAGGGAGAUGGAGCAGGCCUUGUGGCACCAUUGAGGUUGAUGGGGUUUCCAAGCAUUUCUGACAUGCCAAGGGAUGCAGCAGCAGUGGAAGCUGCAAGGGAAGCCAUGCUUUGGAAGCCUCACAAACUCAGAUGAAUGUCUCACAAGCAGGUGGUGAAGGAUGAAGGGGUUAGAGGAUGGAGAUGCAUAUACUAUAUGCAUGGACUGGUGGAUGUAAACGUGCCACGUCAGAUUCAUCAACAUGGACUUUGAUUGGUUUACAGGUGAGAUUUGCAAUCCAAUGCAAGGAUUUGAUUGGUUGAUCCCUGAUGUGUGAAGGAUGAUGGUAUCUCCUGAGCUGGAAGAUUGAUUGGUUCUGGAUAACAUGUUUUAUCCUCCAACCUCUUCGACCUUUGCAUAGGCAAGGCUUUUAGGUUUUUUGUAAUUAUCUUCAGACUCAGCAGAAAUAAGGGCUACCACACAAUUGAAGCAACACUCACAUGAGUAAACAGUAAGAGUGAAAGAAUUUGUUUUCUUUUGGAACCAAUCUAUGGGCGGACUUGUAUUUUGAAAGAAGAAUUUCAGCCAGUCUCGUGUGUGGACCACCAAAUUUCACAACAGAAGAUUUAGAAAUACCCAAGGCUUGCAACAUUGUGAGUGAUUCUAUACCACACAACGGGGUGUGGUUGUUCUUCUAUGCAAGAGUUCACUUAUUGAUUUGCAAUUUAUUAAAAUAUUUGCAACUAUUUCAGAGUUUGUCAAAACACGAGCUAGCCCUAAAAAAUCAAUAAAUGAGAUUUGAGACAAUGUUAAACCCUUGUCUGACUUUGAUAUACAAAGGUUCAUCCAAUAGUAUGAGAUUCUAUUAUCAACUUAGAUAAAGACAAUAGGUUACGAAGUCACUAUUUAAACUAGUAAAUCAUUAGUUCCAUUGCAUGAACUAAAAUAUAUUAAAAAUUCAUAACCUGUAAAUUUCAUACUUAGAAAAUUAUUAAAUGUAUCAUACUAUACACAACACACCAAAUCACCAAUUCACUCAAAAACCUUCUGUGUUACUAGUUCACUGCUUCAACCAGCCAGGUCACCAAUGCACUAAAAAAUAACCGGUCUAGUCACACGUUCCACAGCAUUUCCCCCAAAAACCAGUUCGAACCAGCUAUACAAACCGGUUUUGAUGGCCGACACUGGUUAAUCUGAGUGCUGGAAAUUAACCCAAACCAAUGAGAAUCAGCUUACAAGGCCACACUGCUCUUUUUACUUAGCAAUAUUCUGGCAUUCAAUUUCAUACCCCAGUUAAACAUUGGCAGAAUUCAAUAAUAACCCCACUAAGUAUUAAUAUGAAAAUUUAGUAUCUCGUGUAAUGCUACGAGUUUGAAUAUGCAGAGUUUGCCAUGAAUUAGCAUAUAGAAUGGAAUCUAAUAGGAGAGAAUUUUUUCUUUAUAUUUUAUACAAUUAACUUAAAUGGCCUCUUCCAUUAUCUUCUCCACUUGUCAAUUUCUUUUGAUGUUGCUUUGAUAAGCUUUUUAGUAUUGAUGACGAGGUCGUCCACGAGUGCAGUAAUCUCAUUCCUGAAAAUUACACAAAAUAUCCAAAUGGCGUUAAAAAUGAGAUGAGUUUUGAAGAGCAGCCAGUAGCCACGGAAAAGUAUCAGAUGUAUGAAAAUCUUUCAAGCAAUAAGAUCUUUACAGUUAAUGGUAUAUCUGAAGAAUAGUGAAUGGAGCCCGUUAUAACCACACACUGUUACCAUGUCACAUCUUUCAUAAAAGUGGUGGAGGGCUAUCAUAUAUAUCAUAAAAUUUCUUUUUGAAGAAGCAUGAUGUCAAAUCAUAUGAAGCGAGCCUUAAGAAUUAAUACUACUUGAACAGCAAGGCUGCAAGAUUUUCAUACUGCUAAAAUUCUUUGUUAAAAGUAGCAGCAAAAUCUUAGAAGUCUUAUUUCAGGUUCUGGUGUUUUCUAUUGGAGCAAUUAAUAGACCUGAAUGUGCUAAGUUGAUAAUAUUGUUUAGUAUUCUAAGCACCUAUCUAUCAUAAAUUUUUUAUAUCACGUUUUAUUUUGCAAUCAGAUCAGAUCAUCAAGUCCAUGGAUUUUCUCAACGCCAAAUCUAAACACCGAUCUUCUUAUAAAAUUAGUAGUCCCGAAUUUAAUAAAUAUGUAAAUCUAAUCAUAAUCAUUGAGCAGCUAAUUGACCGAAUAAAAUUAUACACAAAUUUAGGGAAAUGUAUUUGUAUUAUGUAUUAUACGGCAAAGUCUUUUCACAUUUUUUUUCUGACCUUAUUUAUUCCUUCUUACAUUUUCUAUUCAAAUUUGUAAAAUUUUAUGUUUGAAAAAAAUAUCAAAUACAGGAAUUUUAUCUCUUUUGGCAAUAAAAGUAAAAGUAUUAGCAAAGAAAAUAGAAAAGAUUUUCAACAAUUAUCAGUAAAUUAAUAGGAUGAAAUAACUUAAAAGGGUUCAGACAAAAUGAUCAUAUCUACACCAAGAAAACAAAAAAAUGCGGAUAGUUAGAUGAUUUACUUACUCAGAAAUUAUGCUUCUAGAUCCACGAAAAGGAUUUCCAACAUUAGAGUACCUAUUGUUCUCAUCUUGUGCAAUUCCUUUCCCCACACCAUAGCCAAACCCUAAACCAACACCGCAUCCAGCACCAAAUCCAAAGCCAACUUGGAAGCCAGGAAUUCCAGGGCCAAAACCCACUCCUGGAGUCAAACAAAUAUUGUGUAAGAUUAUUUGACGCAUAAAACAGUGCAGGAAGUAUGUUCAAACUUAAAGGUUAAAACAUGAACAAAUCAGCAAGCAGCAUAAACUACAUCUCCUCACUACAAUAUGGCAAGGGAUAAUCCUAAUCAUUAGUAGCCGCAUCCGAAGAGGCAUCUAAAAGCCUAAAGCCAUGCAGAAAAGAAUCAACAGCAAUGUUGAAACAAGAAGAUGAAAAGUAGCAUACUACCUCUCACUAUUAUACUAUUUUAGAUUUUUAGGAAUAUUUUCAGUUUGUCGUCAAUUCCACAGAGGAAUAAAAACCAUUGGUCAAAAGUUAACAAAAAUUUGUCAGAAUGCAUAAAGCAACUAAGGAUAUCAACAAAGUCUUUUAUUAAAUAAAACCAAUUAAAGAGAUUCAUGGUCAUGGUUAUAAGUGUAUGGUUUAUACCAUAACAAUCAAACCAACUAUCGAGCACCAAAAUUUACCUAAAUACUGCACAACUCUCAACGGGAAAUUUAACUCUUUGACAGGUACUACAAUCAAAAGUGGAUAUUGUAUUGUUAUAAACUGUAAUUUACCAAUGACUUGCACUCCCUUAAAGGGCAUUUCUUCCUGUACCCCAUAAAAAUCGAUUCCCACCCUUUUUCCUUCUGGACUAAUGGGUAUUCCAUAAUGUAGUUUUUACAUUCCAAAAUUCUCAUUUCGAAUGAAAGUGAGUAGAUUUGUAUGGGGUAUAGAAAACAGUAACCCGCCUUAAAUAGUUCACUUCCAGUCAUCUUUUGGCCCAACAGGGGAGCAAUAGUUCAAAAUACAGUAAAACAAUCACAAUGUGUAACUAAUCAAUUGGAGGAGAGCCCCCUUUCAUUCAUCCCAUCAAUGAUUUCCAAAAAGUGGUCAACCCAUGCAUGCACUUAAUGCCAACAUCUCCAACAAAAGGUAUAAUUUCUUUGUUAGUUCUCCCCCUUUAUCUCACUUCAUCGCACAUAUUUCUGUCUGCGGAAAUUCCUUCAUCUUCAGUGGAUUCAAGUCAUUACUUAGUCAAUAACCAAUAAAUACUGCACCUUUAAACACUACAGGCUUUGAGUUUCAAUUAUUCAACUGCAAACUAGAAUUCAAAUGACAAAUAAAGGUCUAUAAAGGUACAAAAUGUUUUCUAUAUUCAUUUUUUUUGUUCCCCACUGGUAUUUUUCUUUGGAUGCAAUCUUGUUCAAUGCAUCGUCAGACACUAAAUGUGAACACUACUCCAAUAGAUAUUCAAACCUAGGCUCACCAAAUUGUGAAGAACUGGCCCUUCCACCACACUCACCGCCUUAGGAUUUCUGUUUUUAUUUUUAGUUACAAACUUGUUUUUUUUUUAGUACAGACCACAUCUAUCCUUCCUUAGGAGGAAAAUAAAACUGAAGCUAACUACUAAGACAAGAAUGAAUGGCAAAGUUCUCCCUAUGAGUAUUCAACAACAAAAGGAACGAGCUGAGGGCUUAACUCGACACUUUAUUUUUCUUUUAUAGAAAACCAUUUGCAACUUAAACUUAAAACAUAAAAUACAAAAAGUGAAAAUAAAAAACGAUUUCUGAAUCCAAACACUCCUUUCUUCGUCGAGUGAUUAAGAAUGUGUUUAGACAAACUUUUACACAAGUACUUCGCAAAAGGCUUUCUCUAAAAUUAACUUAUCCACGUACCAGAAAUAAGAAUUUAAAAAAUUAUAAGAAAUAAUUUAUAUAAAUUAACUUACUUUUUUUUUUCUUAUUUUCACUGGUAGAAGGACUUAAGGAUAAACUUGAUGCCCUAACUUAAUUUUGCAAAUAAAUUUUCAUGAUUCACAUAAACUAGAAAAACUACGAGUCUAGUUACACAAUGAUUUUUUCCAUCGAAAUAUCGAAGCAUCGCGUAACAAGUAUGUGAAAUUGAAGCAAGUAAAGGGUAGAGUUGAGGAGUGAACCUCCGAGAAGGCCAGCGCCGAAACCGAGGCCGCAGCCGGCGCCGAAACCGAAGGCGGGACCCACCUUGCCGAGCUGGUCGGACUUGACCACCGGAAGGUUCCACAGAAAACCCUUGUCGUCAUCGCCGUUCAUCUUCAGCCGUUGCUCUGUUUUCAGUUUCUGUCGCAAUCUGUGCGAUAGAAAAAAGGAAGAGAAACGUCAUUUUUUAUUUAUUUUGAAUUUCAAGGUGUGAAAAAUAUUAUAUUUUUCAUUUUUUUUCCAAAAAAAGGGAAGAAUUUUGAUGACAUGUUAUUGAAAAAAAAUAUGAAGAAUACAAAUAGUGAAAAGAGGAAGCAAAAUUCACACCCAAAAAGAUUGUGAUAUGUGAAAAACAAAUUAAAAUAAUUAUUAUUAGCCAAAAUAUAUAUAUAUAUAUAUAUAUAAAUAAUUUUAAAUGAGUCAAAAUUGAAAAAAAAAUAAUAUGUAAAAAAAAAUAAUGAAUUGAUUAAAUAAUCUCUUUAUUUUUUUCGGUUUAAAUCUCUUUUUUUAUUUAAGUUUUUUUCUCUUCUUCUACUGAUAAAUGUCAUUUUAUUUGAUAUGUAAGAUUAGUGUAGAAAUGUGGGAGAGUAUGUCAUCUCUUUCUUAUUUUGUUGCCUUAAAAUAAGGAAUUAAGAGAAAAGUGAGGAGUCAGUUUGCAAAUUGUACACUAAUAUUAAUUUAAAAAAUUAAAAAAUAUUUUUUUAAAAUUCAUAUAAAAUGACAAAAUACUCUAUUAUACUAAUAAUAUGAGAUACCUAGAAUUGAAAAAUAUUUAUGUUAAAAAAAUGAUUAUAAUGGAGAAUUUUUUUUAUAUAUAGGUCUUUUAUAUAUAGUAAUAGAUAUUAUAGUUUUACAAAUAUAUAAUUUGCUAAGAAUUAUAUUAAAAUCUUAAAAUAAUAUAAUUUAAAAUAUAAAUUUUAUAAAAAUAAUAUACAUGGUGCUUAUUUUAAAAUAAAGAAGUUAUGUAAUUAUAUUUUAUUAAAAAGAGAAAUGAUUAAAUUAUUUAUUUUAUUAAAUAAGAAAAAAUAUUUUUGUUCAUUAAAACGUAAAAUUAAUAAAAAAUGUAUCCUUGUAUAGAUAAAAUUAAUAAAUUUAUCAUAUUUUAAUUUGAAACUAUCGACAUCGUAGGAGAAUAAUUGUUAGUUUUACAUAUAUUACUUUUCAUGCUGAGAUGUCAACCAAUAAUAAGAUGAAGGCUUAAUUAUAUUUUAAGUUUUAAAUUUCUAUUAUUGUAAAAAAAAAAAUAUGUUAACAACUUUUCCCCCCAAAUCUCCAUUUUAAUUACUUUUAGAAUUCCCUUCUUUAUGUAAAAUAUACAUUAAUUAUUUAAACUUUUAUAAUAACUCAUUUCCAAUAUUUAAAAAAUUGUUCUAUUCCAAUUUUCUAUCGAAUAUAAACAAACUACUAUGUUUCCUUUUCAAUUAAUUCUAUAUGUUAUUCCUUCUAGUUUAUAAAAUAUUUUUUGCUAAUUGUAUUUUUAAAGUACAUGUUAAAUCCACAAAAAAUGUUUAUAGAAAGUUAAAAAUAUCAUAAAUAGAAGUUGUGAAAAGUAAGACAGGUCCACACAUUAUCAACUAAACUGUUUAUAACUUGACAUAUUAAAGAAAGAAAUAUAUGAUCGACUCAACAUAUUUUAGAAAAGUCAAUGAAUUAAUUAAUUAACGAGGAAACAUAAAUUUAUGGUUACUUAUAAUUUGAACUAAUAAUAGUAAAAUGUGUGAGACUAUAAAUAAUUUCUCAAAACUACUAUUCUCAUUAUGUAUAUUUCAUUUUUUAUGUAUUUAAGAUGGCAUAAAUUACAAUAUUUUAUUUUUUAUGUUUUCUCAAACUAUGUUUUUAAAUUGAAUCUAUAUAAUAUUUAUUUUAUUUUAUUUUUAUUUAUUUAUAUAUAUAUAUAUAUAUAUAUUUAACUUUUAAGUGUUUUUGUUUUGAAUUAAUUAAUUAAAAAAUUUAGUCAAUAUUUUUUAAUUUUUUACUAAACGAAAUUGAGUAUUAACACAAUAAAUAUAGAUUCUUCAUUCAAUCUUCUUAACAAUAAUUUUCAUUCAAACUCAUAAAUAUUUAAAUUCAAUCUCAAAAUUAUCACUCAUGAUUAUCAUAUUGCUUGAAAUUAACAAAAUUAAUAAAUGUUUUUCAAAAUUGUAAAUUUUCAAUUAUUUUAAUAUUACAAUUCAGUAGGUUUAUAGUUUCAUUCCGAAUGAAAAUGAAAAAAAAAACCCUACUAUCAAAUUGCAUUUUAACAAUAAUUUUGGUUUGAUAUUAUUAAAUAUUAAAAACUAUAUCCUAUUUCUGACAUCUCUAUAUGUUAUUAAGAACAAUUAAUACAUACACAGAUACGGAUACGGACACGACACGGACACAGAUAUAUGUAUAAUCUCUAAAAUGUAGGAUACGGUGACACAUAUCUAUAUAUUAUAUAAUUUUGAAUUAUAUAAAUUGAAAAUAAAUAUUUAUGUGCAAAGUAUGUUUCAGAUUCUUUUGGAAAUAGGAAGAUAUUUUUCAUGACUGGUUCAAAAGAAUUUGUUCAUUAUUUUUAUAAUCAUAAUAAAAAUUUAUACAAUAAAUUUGAGUUUUUAGAAAAUUAUUGUAUUUAUACCUUUUAAAAUUGUGUUAGAACCUGGUAGAAUUUUCAAAAAUCCAACAAAUAUUUUUUGAAUUGAAUACUUCACCGACAAGUGUCCUACAAGUGUCGUACGAGUAUCGACACAGAUACAUGUGUCCGACACGGAUACGUCCAUUUAAGAGAAGUGUCCGAGCUUCUCAUGUUAAAAAAAUACAAAAUUAAAAUUAUAAAUUAUUAUUUUUUUCUUAAUUUGGAGGAAGAUUUCUUAAUCACACUAAAAUCAAAGUUUACUCUUUUCUAAGAAACCAAACACUGUCUUUCAUCUCCUGUAAAACAUACCCAAACCCAAACAAGAGUGUUGUAUCAGUGAUUGAGAAAAAACCUUAGAAGAGAGAAAAAAUGAGUAACUUCACCGAGAAAUUGGGCAUUAAGAUUGAAAAGAACCCUCCAGAAGACAAGCUCACUCAACUUGGUGUUAGGCAAUGGCCAAAGUACGCUUCUUUUCUCUGCCCUCUUCUUCUUGUUCUCACUUUUACCCUAAAUUUCACAUAUUUAUUGCUUGAUCUUCUUCAGCAUUGGAUGCCAAAAAAUUGUGCUUGGUUUUAUUUAUGAUGCUUUCUAUGGAAUGUAACUAAUGUUUUUGACAUGGGAAAAUUUUAUAUUUCAUUGUUAAGGUCUGGAAAUGUAUAUUUUGGAAUAACUUUUUCAAGGCCUUUUGUUGAUGAGCCUUUUUCUUAACAUGUCUUGAUGUAUUUGAAACAGUGUUGCAGAUGGUAUAAUCUGAACGAAAGUUUGGAUGGUUUAUUAUUCAAAUAAACCUGAUUUAGGCCUUGUUUGGAUAAACCUUUCAAUAAACACUAAUAAGAUGAGGAAAUACAAAAGAAAGAUUGAAUUAAAGUUUUUUCAAAAGGGAAAAAAUCACUUUUACAGAAGUUAAAUGAGAUUUAUUUUUUUGUAAAUUUGGCUUAUACAUAAGUUAAUUUGAACUUUUAGAAGAAAUUUAAUUCAUGUAUCUUUCUCCUAUAAGUAUUUUUUGAAAACGUUUCCUCAUCAAUUUGACAAAGCUAACUGAGUGUUCUUGAAUUCUAUGAUGAUUAGCUCUAGAGCAGUGAUGAAAUUGUAUGUUGCAGUUUUGAGUCCUUUUCUGAUUGCUGUCUAAAUUCACAGUGACUUUUCUAUAUUUUUAGGCAAAGGAUAAAUUAUUAAUAUUUGCUAGUUAGUGAGUUUUGUAUUACCCUAUUAGGUGUUUCAUAGGGUCAUUGUUAAUGUUAGUAAUGAUGUAUUGAUAGUUGUUGGCGAGCUCUAGUUUGAAAUAAGUAUCAAACGUAUUCAUCUUUCUGCUAAGCAUUUUCUCUCACGAUAUUAAAAGGAAUGAGGGACCUGUGGACCACUAUCUGCUAAACAAUGUCAAAUACUAUGUUCAGAGAUAAUCAUAGCCAUGUUAAUCAUGUGCUUUGUAUUUGUGGUUCGGUGGUUCAAAAUCCUAGGUGAAGGGUCUACAUAAAAAAAAUCUACUGCAGAAAUGAGGUUCAUAAAUGAUGCUCACCCUGUACCUUGAAUUAAUUCAUUAACUUUGUCAUUAUCAUGGAUGACAUUGUAAAUUUGAGACCAUGAAUCGAGAUUGGUGAAUAAACCUGUGAAGAAUGUACAUGGUUUUGUUUAAUUUAUAAAUUCUCUCUGUUUGCUUUAUCCACUGCACACUUUGCUUGCAGGCAUGCACUCAAAUGUUAUCACUUAUUAACAUUUGUCUAUUUCAUCUGUAAUUGGAUUUAGGGUCAUUUGUUUUAAAAUUGGGAAGAAUUGAUAUUUAGAACAUUUAUCUAGCAUUAUUCAGUGUAUUGGUUAGUUUCAACCAUAAACUUACAUUGAAACAUGUAUUUUUUUCAUUGGAAAGUUCAUGAAUUGAUUUUCCCAUGCAAAAUCAAACAGACCUCAAACUUUCAAGAUAAAGCAGUUACAUUUUCUUCAAUUACAUGUUUGUUCUUUCUUUUAUGAAGUUCUUUCUCUCUAUGUGACUUACAUGAUGUGUAACAGAUGGAGUUGCCCUCCGAGCAAAUUCCCAUGGACAUAUGAGUCUAAGGAGACUUGCUAUCUCUUGGAAGGAAAAGUGAAGGUUACCCCAACUGGGGAAAAUGAGUCAGUGGAAAUUGCUGCUGGUGAUUUUGUUGUGUUUCCAAAAGGGAUGAGUUGCACUUGGGAUGUGUCAGUUGCAGUUGACAAGCACUAUAACUUUGAAUGAAUCUACAAGUAGAUAUUCCCAGUGAAUGAAACAAGAGGCUGUUAACAUUCAUGAACAAAUGGCUGUAAUGUUGAAUGAAAUAAGAACUAUGAAGUAUAUUCCAGUUUUUUUGGUAAUGGUGUUAUCCUAGUUUUUCUUUCCUUAUCUCUGGAUACUUGUUUUAUUUUUCCCAUUUGCCCUUAAAUAUCUGAUAUACACUUAAUCUCACUACCACAUUGAUCAAUUUACUUCAUUUGUAUAUCUUCCAUAUGAACACUCUAAAACUGACUGCAGUGAAAAAAAUGCUAUUUUGUGGGCACUAUUUAAGUAUCCAUCGAAAAAUGCUUACAAUUACUACUUCCUAUAAUUUCUUCCCAAUGAUUAGUGACUAUAUUGUGUAGUAAAUGAAAGGGUGGGCAAUGAUGUAAUGAAGGGCAAAGAUAGGAAAAUUAAGAAGACAGAAUAGUGACAAGUAUCUCUUUAUGUAUUAUUCUAGUUUAAUGGCUAUCAACAAUGGAUUGAAGCAUUGCUUUCUCAACAAUAGCAAGUUUUACAGAGAAUAUAAAAGAGAAAAGUAGGAAGAGAGAGACAUCACAAUUUUUUCCAUACCAUGAAGUCCAUUGCUAUAUGUUCUUGUUAAGGAUAUGACAUCUAAAGAACUAUUGAGAGACUUCGUCUUCCUUCUUUUUAUCGGGCGGUUGACCUACACUUCAGCUUACUCCUUUUGGUCUCAGUCGCUUGAUCACUCAAUCUCCUGGGAAAUGCCGAAUGGGGGUACCUGUAAAAGGCACUCCGACGCUCAAGUCAGUAAAGGGUGGUCGGCACUCAAUUGUCAGAGUAACUGUUUUUUUAGAAUGUACGCCAUUUAUAUUAUUUUAAUGAACUUACCUUGUUGGGUCGAAUUAAUGAGGUGAAUCAUCCUUAGAGGUAUAUUACCUAAUUCAUAAUGAUGACUUAACUUUACUGACCUUGAUUAAGCGUUACUGGAUUGGGGUAUCGAUCGUUCUGCACAAAGGUGCAUCAUUCGGUCGGUCCGGCUGUAGGAACCGAGCCUUGUAUUGACCAAUACACUAUAUCCUCCCAUAUACCUAUACCUUCUAGAUUGGAAGGGUUAACAAUAGUGCCUCUUCCAUCAAAUAGUCUUGCAAGUAAAGCAUUAGAAGAUUUUGCUUGCUGACAGACAAGGCAUUCUUUGACAAAAUGAACAAUGUCCUUGUUAAUACCCUUCCAGUAAAAUCGAGAAGCAAUUUGAGCAGUUAUUCUAUUAAUUCCACCAUGUCCACCUAGUGGAGAUGAGUGAAAUUCCUGUAGAAUCUGCUUAACCAAAACAUGUUGAAAUUUUGCAAAUCCUUUAGUCAGCUCAUAGAAUUCUCUUGAGUAAGCAGAUUUCUUUUGAAGAGGUGUAAGGUUCUUAGAAAAAUUAUACACUAGUUAAGAGUCGGCAAAAUAUAUGAAUUAUAAAAGUGUUAAAAAUAGUUUAAAAAAUUAAAUUGAAUUAUAUAAUAAUUUAAGUGAACUAAAUUUCAUUAGAGUUAACUAAAUUAAAUUAAACUAUUAUAAAUUUGUUGAAAUCUAUAAAUUGUUUGAAUUAUUAUAGAUGGAAAACUCAAUUUAAAGUAAAUUUUUUAAUAUUACCUAUAUAAGGAGGAUUCUUCUCAUACUUUUUUUUUUCACACAAUUUUUUUUUUCAAUUUUAUCUUUAAAAAAAUAAAAAUUAUCAAUUAAAUAAUUUAAUAAUUUUUUAUUAAUUUAAUAAUUUCAUUUUCCCUUAAAAUUAUCAGUUCCAAUUAACCUAUUCCAAGUGUCACUUCCUUCUUUCCCUUCAUACAAAAAUUAUUUAUAUACUGAAUCUAAAUUCAUUUUUUUUUCAGAUUUUGUUAUAAUUUGUUCAUCUUCUUUACGUACACAUUAUUUUGUACAUCAAUUAAAAUAUUACAUUAUAAAUUUAUAAUAAUAUUUAAAAAAUCAGAUACACCAUACUUAUGAUGAAAUUAAAAAAUCGGAUACACUAGUAAUUUAUAAUUUGAAUUUAGUUCAAGCAAUCAUUAAAUUUUAAAAAAAUAAUGCUAAAUUUAUUUUAAACAAUUCAUUUUUUUUUAUAUAACUUAAUAAAGUUCAAAUAUUUUUUAAGAUUCCUAACACUAGUUUUACACUAUCAUCCCAUUAGAAAUCAUCAUGUAUGGUAUGAGUUCGUUAUUUUUUCCAUAAAUUAUUUUGAAAGGUAUAUUAAAGUGAUUUGUGGUUAGAUGGAUAAGUAAAAAAUAAUGGAGUUUAAAAUAUUUUUAAAUAAUGCUUUAAAUUAAUAAAUUUAUAAAGGUGAAAGAAACUUACAAACUGAGCAAAAUAUCAUUUGGCGUGGCAGAUAUGCUCUGUUUCGCGCAUACAGAAGAAGCGGCGAGAAACUGAGGUAUGGCUAUUUAUCUUUCUUCAUACCCAUCAUUGGAACUAAGAAACGGUAGUGUUUUGAUCGCACCGGUUGAGGUCAAAUCUUGGAGCAUUCUGUCGUGGAUUAAAUUCGAAAACUGUUGAAGUAAAAGAGACAAACUUUGCUUGUAUAAGCCUGUAAGAUGUUUGUGAAAAUGCCACUGUGAGGAAAAUAGUGGGGUUGGGUUGAGUUUACAGCUCUAGAAGUGAGAACCAAAGGUUGUAUGUUGUUCAUUUUAUUAGAUUUUUAACAUUGGACAAACCACCUACGUGGGAACUAUGUUAAGGUUCUGUCUCUGGUAACAUUUAACAGUUGCCCGAUUAAUUUAUGAAUGUUCCCAGAAGUUUAGGAUUUUAAAAGAGUCUCUACUGAAUUUUAAGGUACUUUGACAAUCUGAGCUUGGUGUAGCAUGGUACGGGUAUGUUGGGAGAAAACUACUUCAUAGAUAAUUUUGGGAGAGAAAAUUAAAAAAGAAAAAUGAAACUGACUUUGUUGUAAGCUUAUAUAAAAGUUAAAAAUGGGGUUUUGGUGAAACUAUUUUUUUUUACAUGUGUAAAUUAGUUUUUAGUUUACAGGAAAAUGUUCAUUUUAUUUUAUUUUUACUUUUAUGUUUUUCUGUGCUUAUAAAGUAAAUUUUCCAAAUAUACCAUACAUUAUUAUUAUUAUUACUACACGAGCAGGACCCUAGUUAUCAAUCCAAAGUUUGAAAUUUCGUUUGAUACCUAUCAUAUUGCUGUUCUUUCUAACCAGGAAAUAAUAGCUUUGAGAAUGGGAUAAGAGUUUGAUGCCCAACGAAUGUAAAAAAAAAAGGAAAUGAUAAUGGGGAAUUGCUCUGAAUCAUUCAACAUUUGCAUGAAACAUGCUUUAAUACAGCAAUUGUGUUCACUGCUAUACUAAUGGAAGGGAUUUUGAAAGAAAUUGAUUGUACAGAGAAGGAAAGGAAUAGCCUAGAAAGAAAAAAGGGGGGUAAAAUGUUUUUGGCUUAAAGGAAAGAAAAUUGGUCCUAUAACAAACCCCUGACCUUCCUUUCUUAAGUUAAAUUUUCCUCAGUGAUUUUAUUCCUAGUGGAACCAAAUUUUUGAUUCUAGGGUUUUGUUAGUUAAAAAUAAUUCUGUGCAUAAUUUUUAAUGACAACUUGUUUGAUAAGGGUAUGCACGAAAAGGGAAGAGUUCUAUAUCAACCGAACUGAUUUAUUAGUAUUAUUGUCUGACUAGUUGAAUUCCUGUUAUAUGUCAUCAUUGUCAUGUAAGUAUGAGUUCUUAAUAGAAUUAAGUAGGAUGAGAGGGAGAAUCAUGUAGGUUGUGCUUGCCAAAAGUAUAAUCUCUGUUUUAGAUAUAUUUAUAAGAGAUUGAUUUGUGUCCACUACUAUUCUUCAUGUUUUUUCAAACAAUUGGAAAGUAUAUAGUCCAGAAGAGGAAUCAAGCACACCAUUAGUAGGGUACUAGUUGUGUAUAUGAGAAGCAAAUUUAAGUUAAUCUCAAGAUGCACACAACACAACCAUUGAACAAUAGAAUUAAUCCAGAGCUAUGCAUAUUUUUAUGGUCUAUGUGAAAUACUUGUGCAAAUGAAAUUGUUCAAUGUUUAAAAAGAAGCAAAGAAUUAGCACUAAUCAGUUUCUGUGCUCAGGCAAAAUUUCAAAGUCCCAGCUCUCAUCUUCUGUUACCAUGAGUUGCUCCGCUAAAUCUAUAUUCUUUUUCCCUGUCUUCCUCCUGUGUUGAUUCAUUGCUGCCAAUACAGCUUUUUUUGAUUCCGAAGCCCCUCUUGUUCUUGUUUGCAGCGAGCUACAGGAAUAGAGAACAAACAUACAUGGGGUUGCCGCUACUUUCAUCUGCAUUAUGGGAACCUUCUCAUAACUGUGAGUUACCCUUUUCUCUUAAUUUAAUUUUAUGAUAUAGUACUUUUAACAAUAUUCUUGAACACCAUCCAAAAGGGGAAGCAACAACAACUCUCUAUCUUGUUUUAAUGUGAUUUUUUUAUUUGCAGGUUUUUCCUCCAGUGUGGACUUUAUCUGGCCCCAUCUAUCUUCUAAGUCAUAUUGUCUUGGGUUGAAGGUUGGAUUUGCUUUUUCCCAUUUAUUUUUACUUAAUAAUGUACACAUUUAGGAAAUCAUAUUGGUUCAUUCCUCUAAUGGAAUUAUGUGUACAAGCCUCGGGGAAGCAACUGCUAAAGGAAAUAUAAGCGUCACGUCACAUUAAAUUAAUUGUUGAUAUUGGCUUGCUAAUGAUAUUAUUGUUAGAUUUUAGAUUUUCCUAAUGUGUGUGACUAAGAAAUGAUUUCAAUCUCAAUGUCUUUUGGAGUUCUAUAAUCUCAUGACUACAUCUUUAUUUUAUUUGGUUGGCUUUUAUUGUGGUGGGGGUGGUUUUUUUUAUCUCUGAGGUUAUUCUAUUGAGAUGUUUAUAAAGCAUUAGCUGCAGAUCAGUGAUGGUACCAUCUUCAAGAUAUUGUUCUUGGUUGCUAUUACUGUUAGAAUUUCCCGGAAUAACUUCUAUGCUGUUUCAAGGGAUGUCCCAGUAUUUCACUUUUUGUUUUAACCUUUUCUAGUUAUUCAAUGCGAUUUGUUGUUUCUCAAUUGAACUUGCAUCUAGUGGUUAAAGGCAGAGUUGUAAUACUCUCUUAUCUAACUACAAAACCUGUUAGUCUCCUUACAGUGUUGAAUAUAGCUGAGAAUAAAAGGUUAGGUCCUGUGCACUUUAAUUAUACUCAGUCCUCCCUUCAUAUUGGUAAUGUACUAGUUCCAACUUCCAAGUGUGAAUUGCAAUGAAGUUCUUCUGGAUAAACCUUUGACAAAAUAUGAUUAAUUUCUAAUGUAGUGGUUGUAGUCACUUAUGUGAUAUAUAUAACGGAUGCGUGUUUGUAACUCUAGUCGGAAAGAUUCUCAAAUUUUAUGUAGUCUAAUUUUCUUGAAAUCCAUUUUGUGCUCUUAAUAGUUUAUUGCGGCCUUACUCCUAUUGAUUAGCCAUAGAAAAUUCCGAGGGACUUUGCUGUUAUCCUUUGUCUGACAUUGAAGAAAGUGUUUUCCAAGUCUUCUAAACAUCCUUGUUGGAAUUUACAGUUUAGUUUUGUUUAUGUUGCAGUUUAAGUGCCAGCAAUUUUGCAAAGGUAGAUCAACAAUCCCGAGAGUUUUAGUUUGUACCAGUCGAAGGCCCAAGAGCAAAGAAACUGUGUGGAGACGAAAAGAAUUACCACAAAAUGAGGAUUUACCUCUAAUUUUACCUAAGAAUAAGAAAAAACCUUACCCUAUUCCCUUUAAGGAAAUCAAACAGGCUGCAAGGGAGGACAAGAAAAUUGCACGGAUGGGAAUAGAGAAACCUCUUGAGCCUCCGAAGAAUGGAUUAAUUGUUCCAGACCUAGUUCCUGUUGCCUAUGAAGUAUUUGAAGCUUGGAAGCUUUUGAUUAAAUGUCUUGCCCAGGUCUUGCAUCACAUUCCUGUACAUGGCUGUAGGUAGAUUAUAUUAUAUUUUUUGCUGAAUGUCCUAGUUUCUUUGCAUUUGUUUUGUUGAUACAAGAGUUAUAUUCUUACCAAUUGAAUUCAUGCAGCGAAUGCUCAGAAGUUCAUGUAGCUCAAACUGGUCACCACAUUUGGGAUUGCUCUAGUCCUUAUGGUAGGCAGCGUCGGAGUGCUCAUGCCUGGGUAAAGGGUUCUGUCAAUGAUAUACUUGUCCCAAUUGAGUCCUAUCAUCUUUUUGACCCCUUUGGUAAGCGGAUUAAGCAUGAUACACGAUUUGAAUAUGACCGGAUUCCAGCCGUUGUUGAGCUAUGCAUACAAGCUGGUGUUGAUAUCCCAGAAUAUCCAUCACGCCGAAGGACCAAUCCCAUACGGAUGUUAGGGAAGAGAGUAAUUGACAUAGGUGGAAAUUUAGAGGAACCUAAACCAUGGCGCUUUGCGGACCCCUCUUCACUCAAUGACUUUGAUACUUACAGAUCUUUUGAACGAUUUCCUCGAACAUCAUUGUCAGAUCUACCUAAAAUUGCCCAAGACACAAUGAAUGCAUAUGAAAUUGUAAAAAAGGGUGUCAGGAAGUUGAUGAAGAAGUACACUGUGAAAGCGUGUGGUUAUUGCACUGAGGUUCAUGUGGGGCCAUGGGGCCACAAUGCUAAGCUUUGUGGUGAAUUUAAGCACCAGUGGAGGGAUGGGAAGCAUGGUUGGCAGGAUGCUACUGUGGAUGAAGUUUUCCCUCCAAAUUACGUGUGGCAUGUGAGAGACCCUAAUGGGCCUCCCUUGGCAUCUGCACUUAGGAGAUAUUACGGGAAGGCUCCGGCUGUGGUUGAAGUGUGCAUGCAAGCUGGUGCACAGAUACCAGACGAGUACAAGCCCAUGAUGAGGCUUGACAUUAUAAUUCCAGACCCUGAGGAGGCAAGAAUGAUUGCAUGAUGUAAUCUGAACGUGCUUACUGUGUUUGUCUGUUAUUAUACGUGCAUAUUGCGUAAUCCUAGCAUGCAAAACGCAUUCAAUGAUCUACCAGAAGGGGAGGCCUUGAAAUCAAUCUUCAACAGUACAUGCCUGAUUUAUUUACUAGGUGCUAGAUUCCCAUAUAUCCAAUGUUAGUGUACAUGAUAUAUAAAGCCAAUAGUAGAGCAAGUAGGUUUUAUCAGAUAACUUUGGUUAGUUAGUUUGUAAAAUGUCUUAAACUAGUGAAAAGUUAUGUUGGAAGAUCAAUGCAUGUGUUAAUUUAUUUUGUCACAAUUACAAUAUAAUCAGAUGAUCUUUUUAUACAUGGCUAGUUGUUACAUUUUAUACCCAGUCAUAAACAUAAAAAAGUUCCCUUGUUCACUACCCUUCAAUCAGUAAUAGGGCAAGUCACAUAAAAUCUAACUGUAGUGAUCUUCAUUGUAGAGAAAAGUGAUUCUGUAGACAUGAAAUAAAAAUUUCUCCCCUUCAACAUGCAACUUAAUGAUGUAAUAUGCUUUAAGUUGGUGUUUCCUCUUAGAAUAUCUACAUCACUAUGUUAUCAGAUUGGGUCAGCAUUCAGGUGGAUAAUCUAGCUAUUGUAUUGAUUUGUCAAUCAUUUCAAUCUUCACUUCGUCCUGUUUUGUGUUAGUUAAAUACCAAAGGAAUUAAAAUCAUUACAAUAGCUAGGAACAAACUCUCCACUGCCUAUUGUCACAUCAGCAAGUGGCCAAAAGCAAAGCCAAAAGGAAAACUUACACCAACUGCUAAGAAUCGUGACUGUAAAAUAAGCUAGGAAUAGAGCAGUAAACCAUAAAGUUAUUGCACUGGUUACAGCAUUGUGAUUGCAGUUCUUGUAGCAAAAAUUCAGUCCACAAUCCUACGUUUUUUUAGCAAUUGGCGGUUUUGCGAUUGAAAAACAGUUUGGAUCAUCUCUAGCUCUCUCUUCUUUCAAACCAAAACAUGUAACCUUCAAAUGGUUCCAUUCAUUUUCUAAAGGCACUUCAUACAGAUUAUCAGUGAAAAUUAAAUUUUGUAGAUAAAAAAGAAAUGUAUGUUCUGCUCCCAACUUCAAGAACUUGAGCCUAUCAAAGAAACACACAUAAACUUUGUCAUUGAUGAGCAACAUGGGUUUAACAUGAUCACUGUUGUCUCGGUCCUUAGGUGCAACAAGAAGACAAAGAACUUUGCCAGGGAAUUUGUUGCGAAUCCAGAAAGAACUUGAAGGUAUAUAACUUGUGUGAUCGAACCACUCUGGGAUCCUAGAUCCUGGCAAAACAUAAAGGAAUUUAUAAGUUUACCAACAUUAGGUACACUAUAUGUUAUUAAAUAAAAAUACAUUAAAAACAAGACAAAACCUGGUUUGGGAACAUGCUUAUACUCGAGGAUGUCAGCAAUAAACAGUUUGUUGCAUUUGAGAUGUUUCAACUUUGGUGGAAUUCCUCUGAUUUCCCGAAGAUGCUAGCAAUAACUCACACUAAGCUUUUUAAAAAUUGACAUUCUUUGAUGAAUUCAGGAAGGUGUGUGAAAUUAUUGUUCGAUAGGUCUAAAUCUCCCACAUUGAGCCAUCUUUUUCUUCACCCUCUUCCCACUUUAUCCACUGCCACCCUUUCCAUCCCCAACUCUCAAUAAGAGUCAGUUCUGGCAUCAUGACAAUGCUGCUUUGUAACUGAACAAUUCCACAGAAUAGCAGGGACGACUUUUGAAGCAACCCAAGUUCCCUUAUGUUUUCCAUCUUUCCUACAAUUUCUGGAAAACUCUCAAGACUAGAAAAAUGUGAAAGUUCCAAUAUCCUAAGUUAAUCCACCAAACCAAUCCAAUUAUGAGCUCUAACUAAAUUUACGCCAUUUUGAAACGAAAGUUCCUCCAAAUUUUGGAGAUCAGAUAUGGAAUCAGGUAUUUGUGUUAAACAUUCACAGCAGUCAAAAUUCAAAGCUCGUAGAUUCAUGAACUUCUGCAAAGAAAAGGAAAAAUAGAAAUAAUGAAUGUGUCAAUUAUACCUCUCUUUUGAAGAGUCUGAAGUUCAUCCUAGACAGUUAAAGAUAAUUUUUUCAAUGUAUCUUUAAAAUAUCACAAACACUAAUAAUCCAUUGUCUCUGGACGAAGAUGUCUUUAUCUUCUUCUCUAUAUAAAAGGAACUUGUGAGGAAAAGAAAAACAAACAAAUGAAAAGAACAACACUGAGAAUAAAUGAGAGAAUUGAUAUUUUCAACAGUGGGAUACUAGAAAUCCUAGUGAAAGACUAAAGAGACAUGGGGGACUCAUGACAAUCUAAGAUUAGUGAAUUUUUUUUUUGUUAAGUAGAGUCAUGCUACCUUGACACAAUUUUUGUAUAAGUCAAUAUUUUUUUUGUUAUAUACGUGUUUUGAAUAAAAAUAUUAAUAUAUAUAAUAUUAGUUAAUGUAAAUAGUAGAUAAAUUUGAUGUUUCAUAGUUGUAAAAAAGGAAAAACAAAGAUAAUUUUAAUAAAAUUAUAAAGAUAAUAAAAUUUGUUUAAAAAAAUUUUGUUAUGAAGAAUAUGAUUAUAGUUAACAUAAAAUUUAGGUUGUUAGCUUUAUGGAGUUAUAUAUAAAUAAUUUUUGUUUAUUAAUUUAUGUGGCAUUUGAAUAAGCUGAAGGUAUAAAUACACAGGUAAAAAAAACCUAAGAAAAUUAACAAUGAAAGUUGGGAUUGAAUUUUAUUAUGAAGUUUGUUUAUAUGUACAAUUGCUUCUAUUGUGACCUUUGCUUCAACAAUAUGGACAUUUUUUUUGGUUUAUUCAGAAUUGGAUCAUGCAUUUUGUUAUGAAUACAUUGAGUACUUGGUCAUCCUGAUUUAUGUCGACGCAUCGGGUUAUGUACCAAAUUUGGUCAUGUGUAAGUAGAUCAAUAAUCAUCAUUUUGAACUAGAUGAAAUUGGACCCCGUAAGCCUUGAAAAUAUUGUGGAGACUGUACACUGGGACAACAAAUGUCAUUAGUUGUAAAUGACAAAAUUAACAAACAACAAUUAUGUGUGGGCAAGAUAGUCGUAGAGCUUGAAACUCCCCACAAUCACAUCACCAUUAAGUUAAUUUAAGUAUGUAUGACAUAGGUCGACGUCGAAGAUGGGAAGUGACUAUCUCUUGAACGUCAAACUCUGAAUUUUUUCAAUUAUAUUUUUGCACAUGAUACAUAAGAGAUUGUGCCUCGUUCUUAAUAAGGCAACUAUAUCUUUUGGAUAUUAAUGCGCUGCUUGCAAUAUGCAUUACCAAGCCUUUGUUCUUUCGAAUAUGGUCUUAAUUAGAGCACAAAUAGGUAAGAAUCGUGCCCCUUUGAAAAUAAAGUUCAUGUUUUCAACAAGAUUUAUUGUCAUGUGGUCAAACCUCUUGCCCCGUCAUAGGUUUGAGUCCAUUUUUUCAAUGAUAUUUGAUCCAUCCAAGAGGCUGCUGACCGAAAUUUUGCUUUCAUCAUCGAUAACUUUGUUUGUAGAGUUGGCUGCUUCAUCUCAUAACCUAUCACAUUGUCAAAAAGGGGAUUAGUGGAAAAGUUAGUGAAUUGUGUGAUGGAAGUUAAGGAAUGUUUACCAUGUUUAUUAGUUGUCGCUUUAACUUUGCAUUUUUUAACCUGUUUUUGGAAUUAGAUGUUAUAUGGUGUAUGCAAUAUACUAAGGCCAAAUCAUCUCCUUCCCAAGCAACUUAUGGAGAUUCUAAGUUGAUAGUGUUGUUGUUCCUACGUCAGUAAUCAUGCAUAGAUUUGACCGAGGCAUCACAUAUGCUUGUAAAAAUGGGAAGAACCAUAUAUGUGCAUCCUUUAUUUCACCUUCAACAAUGGUGAAAGCUAAUGGAAAAAUGUUUUGAUUCCCAUCUUGAUUGAUGCAGUCAGCAAAGUUCUGUGAUAUUUUUCGGUUAAGAAUGUGCCAUCAACUUGAACUAUUGGCUUGCAAUAAUUGAACCUAUCAAUGCAUGACUUGAACGACCAUAAGACACAUUCUAAGAUGUAAGUAGAUUGGUCUUCAACACCAUCAACAACAUACGAACGAGUAAUAUAUUGAACAAUAGUUCCUGAGAUAUUGUCUCGUACAACUUGCAACCAUCUCGGAAGAUGAUUAUAUGAUUUGUCCUAGUCAUCAAACUCCAUUGCAAGAGCAUUUUAUUUAGCCAUCCAAGCCUUUUCUAUAAGUCACUGAAUAACCAAGAUGAUUAUUUAUUUCCACAAUUAAACUUUUUAUCAGAGUUGAUGGACUCGCCUUCAGCGAAUUCACCACAAAGGAAGCUAUUUGACUUGAGUCCAAAUUUAUGUGAUCAAAUGAAAGAUAAGUUCUCAAACAGGUGUGGGGAGCUUCAAUUUUUUUUUUAUUUUCUAUUGAUGUUGGAUUUUUCUAAAAGAGGCUCAAAUAAGCCAUUGGCGGUCGUUGUUGUAAUGAAUGCAACAUUCAAAAUAUUUAUCUGGCUAUGAUUCCACCAUGACAAAAUCAUAACCUUGAUCAAUGUAGUAUUGCUUGAUUGCAUUCAAAGUUGACUCCUUUGAUUUGAAACACAUGUGUUCCAAAAGGUCUAGCUAUUUAGUUUGGGAUCACAACUAACUGAUUGAACAUUGUGGUUGGAUGAUGUUGGAAAGUUGUCUUAUUGUGGUAUGUACUCAUCUUAUUCAUCAUCUUCGUUGAAUUCAUUAACCAUGUCUUUGAUGAUAUGUUUUUCCUCGUAUACAUACAACAUGAAUAUAUAAAAAAAAACAAUAUCACAAUAGGAGGUCCAAGUGCAAUAUAUAGACUUAGAAGACAAAUAAGAAGAUUACCUUGUGACACGUCUUUCCAUAAAUAAAUUACUUUUUAUGGAGCAAAUGUAUGUUUAAUGUUGUGGAUAUAUUACUAGAAAAUCAUUAAAUAGAAACUAAUUUUAGAAACUAAAAAUAAUUAGUUGUUAUAUUGCCUAAAUUAGAUACUAUUUUAGAUACUAACAAAAUUAUUGAUUUCUAAAUUAGUUUUUAUUAUUAAUAAAUAGUUUUAACUACCAAUAAAUAAAUUUAGACAUUUUUAUGAUAAGUUUAAAAUUUAAUUAUAUAUAUAUAUAUUUUUUUUUCUACGUGAUGAAGACAAAAUAAUAAUAAUGGAAAGAUAACAAUCUCGUGAUCUCAAGGAAAAAUUAUAUACCAAGAAUUCAAUUAUAAAAUAUAAAUAUUUAAUAGAAUAAUUUUUUUAAUAGAAAUUUAAUUAAAGAUACUCAAAUAUAUGAGAUAAUUAAACUAAAACUACAAUAAGUAUAAUUUUAAAAUAAUUAUUAUAAAGGUUAAAAAAAAGUAAUUUAAUAAGAAGUAAGUGGACCAUGAUAUAAAAGAUUUUCAUAAUUAUUAUUUACCGUUUAAAAAGAUUUUUAUAUCCUUGCAAAUUAAUAUUAUUUAUUUAAUAAAUCGUAUAUAUUUUUAAUUAAUAAAUAAAGUAUUUUAUAAAUUAAAAAAUCAUUUAUAAUUGAAAUUAAUUUAAAUAUUAAUAAUUUUUAAAAAUUUAAAAAAUAUUUAAUUUAGUUAAUAUAAUAAUUAAUUAUUAUUAUUUUCAAAAUUAAUUUUAUUUAAUAAUUUUGAUAGAGUGGAAAUGGAAUCUAGUCGACCAUGACAUAAUUUAUAAUAAUGUCUAAAAUGUUCUUUAUUGAAAAAAGUUCCCAAAUUGUGAUUGAAAUAUUCUGCCAUGAGAAAAUGUGGAAAUCUUUUGUAUUAGAAUCCCCUAAACGUAAAGUGGAAAAUUUUUCCCUUCCACUUUCCUCAGAACACAACUUUUUGUUGAAACACAGAAACUACAAUUUGGUAAAGCAAUGAAGCCUUCUGUGCUGCGUUUGUCACUUUUUGUUCUUGUUCCUCUGCUUCUCUCCCUCUUCUUUCUAGCACUCAUGCCUAAGGAAACCGCCAUGACAACCUAUGAGGUGUUUGGAGUGAAGAUAGAGAAGAACCCACAUCAGUCCAAACUCACUGAACUUGGAGUCUCAACUUGGAACAAGUAACUGUCUCUUUCUUUUCAAUUUUUUUGACUUCUGUUUUUUCAAGUAUGAUCUUGUUACUCACUUUUUCUCUGCUGCCCAUGAUGUGUUUCCUUCAAAGUUUCAACCUUUUCUGCACUGCAAAUUUUGGGUCUUUAUCAUGUCUGUGUUUCACACUCCUAUCUCAGAAGUUACUGUAGGGGUUAGGUAGUGGGAAUGUACAAUUCACUAUGGAGGUAAAGGUAAAAUCAGUAAUUUUCAUCAUUGAUCAGAAAAUAAUGGCAAAUGAUGUGUUAGAAUAUCAAUUGUUGAUCUUCUCCUAAAGGUAAAGUAAGUAAUUUCUUUCAUCGAUAAGAAAAUCAUCAGUUGGUGCUGGUAUGUAUACUAAUAUAAUUAUAUAACUAUCAUGGAUGUUUUGGAAUGUCAAUAAUUAAUUUUCACAUUGAUAUUCUACUUAUUGCCAUCUGUAGGAUUAUACCACCUUCUCACUGAGAAAAUUAACCAAUGAUAUUCAUACAGAUACAUGAUUUGUUAUGCAUAUAUACAUAUGUAGAGUAGGGUAUGUUGAAUCGUAUAGGUGUUGAGGCAUUCCGAUUUCUAGUAUUUGUUUUUAUUUUCUAUUUUUUCUGAUGUAAAAAAGUACACUUCUAGUACUUUAAAAUGCCUGGAUGACUGUUUCAUCCUAAGGGAUCUAAAAGUAAUACAUACGCAGAUGGUAGCAAAAAGAAGACCUAAACUAUUUUAAGGAUCUUAAUCAGAAUGUUUUCCUAAUAUUUCAAAUUUCAUCUGUUAUUUAUCAAUCAUAAACAAAUCUAUGGACAGUUGGAUUCAUAUUCAUUUCUAUCCUUGAAAAUUGUAUGCUUUUAUAGUUGAUGCUGAAUGAUGCAGGUGUAAUUUUGUAGUGCUUUGGUUCCAUGCUAUCUUUUAUAUUUCAUACUAGCUUUGACACAUGGGUCUAAACAUUGAACAGGUGGGAAGGUGGUCCAACCAAAAUUCCAUGGUCCUUUAAAGAAGAAGAGACCAUGUAUGUGCUGGAGGGAAAAGUGAGGGUUACUGUUGAAGAAUCUGUUGGGUCUUUUGAAAUUGGGGCUGGUGAUUUAGUUGUCUUCCCAAAAGGAAUGAAUAUUACUUGGGAAGUGAUUGAAGCUGUGAAGAAGCACUACAGCUUGAAAAAAUAAUCUGUGCCAAUAACCCCUUCUACUGUUGUUGACUAAUGAUAUGCCAUGUAUGAACUUGAUCAAGUAUGACUACUCACUAAAGCUAUAGUUACUAGUAGCUACAAGGAUGUACCAAAAGUCUUCACUUCCAUUACAUUGUACCUUUGACAGUGAUCCUAUUGAAAGUAAUCUCUCAUCAUUAUGAUUAAGAUGAAUAUGGAGGGAGCACAUUCUCAUCUCCUGACUCGUAUUUUGCAUUAUCUUCAUAGUUGGUUGAAUCCAUUGUUGCAGAUUCAUUGUUCAUGAGGACAAGAUAUUCUGCUAAAAGAUUCUUCUGAAUGAUUUGUAGCUAUACAAUAUGUUAUUAGCCAUUUCUGUUGGAAUUCCUCUAAGUAAAUGAAUUUAGUGCAAAAGAAUGCACCUGUGACGUACAUGAAAGAGAGAGAGUGAUAACCUUCAACAACCUCGUGGAAGUUUUUUUCCAAGAUUGCAGGAUAACAACACUAAAAUAUGAGGGUAUGAACAAUAAUUAAUAGACUCCUCGUGUCAUUUGUUCAGAAUUGAUUACGGAAAUCCUAAAAGCAAAGUAUACACCAAAAUAUCAAGGAGACUUUAUUACACAUCUAUUAAUAGUCGUUGAAAAUGUAAAAAUCUCAACCUAGUUCCGAAAAAUUAAAACGUCCAGUGCUUAAAGAAUAGCGUGGCUGGAUAUUUUUAAUCUUUAAAAAAUAGAAAAAAUUUGUGGCGUUAAGGAUUGAAGAAUGAAACUAUUAAGAUAUACUUCAACUUACUUUGUGCAAUGUAAUAAAUCUUACAACAGAGAAAACACUUAUUACACAUUUACCUUCAUGUAAUGGUCCAUCCUAGAAAUGAUUGUCACAUGAUUAGUUUGUAAGAUUGCGUUUUAUGUCACUUCCUAGGGGCUUUUAUUGUUGUCUCAUUUCAGAGGUGGCCCAGUUCAUUUAUCAUUAUUAACCCUUGGUCGGUUUCAAUUCCAUAAACAUAAAUUUAGAUGUGAACCAACACCUUGACAAUCUGAAGAAUCCUUGGCACAAUAGCUAAGAUUACUGUCAUUUCACAUGUGACAAGGUCACAAGUUGAAGUUGUGAAAUAAGCCAAAAGACUAACUACAAUUAAAUCCACAGUAGGUAAUGGGCACUGGUAGUACAACGGAUAAAAAAAAAGUCCUCAUUGAGAUUAAGAAAUAAUUAAAAAUUUUGUAUAAUGUGCUGCCUAAAUUAGCAAUGCUACACUACACCUUUCUUUUCUCUUCUAUUAUUUGUUUCCUAUCCAGCAAACUUGGACAAGUAGCUAUGCUGUUAUACAAGGGAUAAUUACAGCAGCUUUUUUUUAAUGAGUUUUGUACAAAUAACAAUGACAAUGACAAAUUAUACACUGAUUAUGGUAAGUGAAUGAUAUUACAGGCUCAUGGCCCUUGAUGAAAGCUCCAAAUCCCCCUCAUGUAAAUCUGAUUCCCCCACCUCAACAUUAACCUGUAAAAGAUUAAGCAAGUUUAGUUGAAACUCGAUACAACAUCCUCAUAGCUCAUAAUGCAUCAAAUGAAGGAAACAUCUCAUGUUAUUAAAUUAGCAGGGAAUACUAGAAGGUAACUGGAACAAUUCAUCGUUUUUAUGAUCAAUCCUCCAACAUACCGCUGAAUCUUUCAUCUUAUCUAGGUACUGCUCCAAAGCACCAUCUCCCCGAAGAAUUUUACCCCCACAUCCAAGGGAAGUUCGUGAUCCUACUGACUCCUCAUCAACAACAACUGCAUCAAUUCGAUCACUACCCGUCUUAAUAUCAGGAAUCUGUUGCACAUGAGCAAGGUGUGUAUUAGUGAAAAUCUGUAGAGAAUUAUGAUAGUUUGUGAUUGAUAUUUAAGAAUAAACCAACCGUUCAAUACCUCAAACAUCGCCUCAGUUAAAAUGCUUUCCAGUAGGGCUCUUAAACCUCUAGCACCAGUAUUUUUGGACAUUGCUUUCUUUGCUAUCAGUCUUAGAGCUUUCUCUGUGAAGUGUAACUUGACCUGGAGAGUAGGGGUAAAGUUUGUGAUAAAUAGAUUUCCUUGUGUCCACUUUACAAGCUACUUGCACUCUUAAUUGAAAAAAAAAAAGAAUUAACAAAUGGACACACAGAGGACAAUUUGAAUAUUUUGAGCAAAAGGCAAAAAACAAGUUGACAAAUUUGACCCAGCAAAGAAGAAAGAUCAAAUGGCCCAAAAACAAUGGCAGGCUCCAGGCAUCAUCAACAAAUGGAAAAAAUAAGUAUUAAUUAUACACAAAUUUGAAACGAGAUAUAUGAAAGGGAGUUAGUCAUUAGAAAUUUAGCAUAGUCUGUCAUGGACAAUUAUUAAAUCAAUCCCUUUAACCAAUUCAAAGUUUGAACAGUUUGCAUCUUUUGUUCGGAAUGUAUGUAUCUGGUGGCCACAAGAGUUCAGGUUUUCACACCAAAUAGUAGUCACAUGCAUCCACAGAAUCAGGCACUCACACCAUCACAGACACACAAGUACACACCAUGAGAGGCACACACAGAGAGAGCUGCUUACAUUAUUCAUGCUAAAUAAUUUCUUGUACUGCUUGCCAAGAGCAUUUUUUGGUUCAGUGAGGACCUGCAAACCCAAUAGUCAUAUGACCAUAUUUUCAAAAUUAACAUAUGAAGUAACAUAUACUAGAAAGAAAGGGAUUCCCAUCUUUCAAAAUCUUUUCUACUUUCCCAAAAGCAUUUAAAUUGUUUUACUCUAACUGAAAAGAGAGGAACAAAGUGUCAACAUCAAAUAAACGAGACCUUUUUUAUAUGGGUGUUUCAAUAAUUAUAGGAAGUCACGCAAUUGAAUAAAUAUGAAUCACCCAAGUUACAAUAGCUUCAGGGAAGUCACACGAUCAAAGAAAGAACUAUUGCUACGUAUCAAGUCCUUGGGGAACCCACCCUCAAAAGCUAGCUAUUAAAGAGGAAGAACCAAACACUUUAAUACUCUACCGAGCAUCCCAUACUACUGGAUAUGGGACUUGGGCACCCCAUAAUACCCAAGUCUUAUCACUUUUAUAACUACCUUGAGUAUCUUCUUCCAAUUUUGUUAGAAUUAUAAAUUAAAACCAAUUCAGACAAUUUUUAAGAUUUAAAUAUUAGAUAUACACCCACACACACACACAUAGAGGAGUGAUAUGAACACUGAU